UUCUUGUUCUUCUUCUCUUUCUAGAGAGAGAGAGGGAGAGUGAUGAGAGGGAGUGAGGGGAUGAGAAUGAGAGGGAGAGAGGGUAAUUUCCCAUAUACACCCCUCAUAUGAUGGCCAUUUUGCACUUAAACUCCUCCACUUUUCCAUCCUUGCACUGCCUUCACUGGGCAGAAUUCGCACGGAGGGACCAGUCUCCCCGACUUGGGACCGGUCCCCGAGAGCCUCCCUCGGGCGCACGCGUUCGGGAACCGGUCUCUCCCCGGGAGACCGGUCCUCGGGAGACCGGUUCCUCUCGGAGAGACCGGUUCCCGAGAGCUGAACUUUCGGGACUUAGCCAAAUUCCGGUAUUUCUCGUUGGGACCACGUUCGGGGACCGGUCCCUCCCUGAAAGGAACCGGUUGCAUUAAGCAACCCCGCUACACCCAGCCGAUGGAACCGGUCUCUCACCUCCAGAGACCGGUCCCCGAGAGUAACAUUAGCCCAAUGAUGCAGUUUGCACCAUUUGCUCUCGUGGACUCAACUCCAAGGCACUUUUUAUGCUUUGGACAUCUUUAACUUCCCCAAAGGGUAUUCUCUCGACAAACAGUCGAUCCUGGACGAAGCACAACUUUCGAAUUUCGAGAAUUCACUUCCUUACAUCCUCCCCUACUUAAAAGGAGUUUCAUCCUCGAAACUAACUAGAUUUUUUUACUUAACUUAAAUUCUUACCUCACUCCUCGAACAGAUGAGGGUGGUGCUUUCUCAUUAGAUCCUCGAGUUCCCAGGUGGCCUCGCAAUCAUCAUGAUUGCUCCACCUAACUUUAACAUAGGGAAUUUCUUGAUUCCUCAACUUUCGCACCUCUCGGGCGAUAAUCUCUACCGGAAACUCUUCAUAGCUCAAGUCUCCUUAAAGUUCCGGCGAUUCAUAUAGCAUCGCAUGCUCGGGGUCGUGAAUAUACUUGCGGAGAUUAGAGACAUGGAACACAUUGUGUACAUCCGCAAGCUUCAGCGGCAAAGCAAGUCGGUAGGCCACCGUACCAACUCGCUCCAAUAUUUCAUAGGGUCCAAUGUAUCGGGGACUCAACUUUCCCCGCACUCCAAACCGCUUCACAGGCCGUAUCGGUGAAACUUUCAAGAAUACUCCGUCGCCCACCGCGAACUCUAUAUCUUGUCGGCGUCUAUCAGCAUAGCUUUGCUGUCUCGAUUGCGCCGUGAGCAAUCUCUUGCGAGCAAGGCUGACUUUCUCCUCCGCUUCUCGCAACACAUCAGGGCCGAACUCAGCCCGCUCACCUACAUCGCUCCAAUGUAUAGGAGACCGACACGUACGCCCGUAAAGAGCCUCGAACGGUGCCAUCUCUACACUAGCAUGAUAACUGUUGUUGUAGGCGAACUCGGCCAUAGGUAGGUGAUCACACCAACUUCCCUUAUAAUCGAUGACACACGCUCACAACAUAUCCUCCAGAGUCUGAAUGGUUCUCUCUGUUUGCCCGUCGGUCUGAGGAUGAAAUGCAGUGCUGAAAUCGAGCCGUGUACCAAGGGCUUCCUGCAGGCUUUUCCAAAAGUGUGAAGUGAACCGGGGGUCGCGAACCGACACGAUCGAUUUCGGCACCCCAUGCAGUCUCACUAUCUCAUCGAAGUAUACCUGCACUAACUUGUCACCCGACCACGUGGUGUGGAUCGAUAAGAAGUGAGCCGACUUCGUAAUCGGUCCACAAUUAUCCAAAUUGCAUCGUGGCCGUCCGUUGAGCUAGGUAAGCCGAUCACGAAGUCCAUUGAUAUAUCCUCCCAUUUCCAAAUGGGGAUUGGUAGGCUUUGAAGCUUUCCCGCUGGAAAUCGAUGCUCGGCCUUUACUUGUUGGCAUGUUAAGCACUUCGGCACAAAGCGUCCAAUAUCACCUUUCAUUCCCAGCCACCAGUAGUGCAUUUUUAGUCCUUGAUACAUCUUGGUGCCUCCCGAGUGAUCGGCAUACGGAGAUCGGUGUGCUUCUUGUAGAAUCAAUUCACGAAGCUCUCUAUCUUUCGGCACACACCAUCGGUUUCUAAACCGAAGCGUACCAUCGGCAUCUACACUGAAAUCGCCGCCAUGCCCUUCCUCGAUGUUUCGCCGCACCUUUUGGAGCUCGGGGUCUGCGGGUUGCAGAUCUUUGAUCCUCUCCAACAAGGUCGGUUGGACAACGAGUGCCAUCAACAGAGCUGGAGUCUCGGGAGUAACUACUUCGAGGUCCAGUCGCUCCAUCUCCAGCCAUAGAGGAGAUUGAUUGGUAACCCACAUGGCAAGGUUUUCCGCUGACUUCCUACUCAGCGCAUCCGCGACCACAUUUGCCUUCCCGGGGUGGUAGAGGAUAUCAACGUCAUAAUCCUUUAAUAGUUCCAACCACCGCCGCUGACGCAUAUUGAGCUCCUUCUGUGUGAACAAGUACUUCAAGCUUUUGUGGUCAGUAUAGAUCUCACAAUGGGCACCAUAUAAGUAGUGCCUCCACAGCUUCAAGGCGAAAAUCACUGCCGCUAACUAUAAAUCAUGGAUGGGGUAGUUCUUCUCAUAGCUCUUCAGCUGACGGGAUGCGUAGGCAAUCACCUUCCCAUUUUGCAUCAAGACACACUCCAAUCCUAGAUAGGAAGCAUCGCUGUAGACUACGAAGUCUUCGCCCUGCACCGGUAGAGCGAGCACCGGAGUCGAAGUUAAUCUUUGGUUCAACUCUUUGAAACUCCGGUCGCACUCCUCGCUCCAAGCAAACUUGGUGCCUUUCUGAGUCAGGCGGGUAAGUGGAAUUACUAUCUUGGAAAAGCCUUCCACAAACCACCUAUAAUAGCCCGCUAAGCCCACGAAGCUUCGAACCUCCGUGACAUUAGUCGGGCGCGGCCAAUCCUUGAUGGCUUCAACUUUCCUCGGGUCUACAGAAACUCCACCCGCGGAAAUCACAUGCCCUAGAAAUGCAACUUCUCGGAGCCAGAAGUCGCACUUCUUCAACUUAGCAUACAGCUUCUCCUCCCGAAGGGUUUGAAGCACUAUCCUCAAAUGCUCGGCAUGUUCCUCGUCACUACGAAAAUAGACUAAUAUGUCGUCUAUGAAGACCACGACAAAUCGGUCCAAAAACCUCCUGAAGACACGGUUCAUCAAGUCCAUGAACGCCACUGGAGCAUUCGUGAGUCCAAAUGGCAUAACCGUGAAUUCAUAGUGCCCAUACCGCGUACGAAACGCAGUCUUCUGCACAUCCUUCGGCUUGAUUUUCAACUGGUGAUAGCCGGACUGCAAAUCUAUUUUCGAGUACACACACGACCCCUGCAACUGAUCGAACAAGUCGUCGAUUCGGGGAAGUGGGUAUUUGUUCUUGAUCGUGACUUUGUUCAACUUUCGAUAAUCCACGCAGAGUCGAAACGACCCGUCAUUCUUCCAUACAAACAAUACCGGGGCUCCCCACAGUGAUACACUUGGCCGGAUAAACUGCUUGUCGAGAAGGUCUUGCAAUUGACUCCUCAACUCUUUCAGUUCCGCCGGCGCCAUUCGGUACGGAGCCUUCGAGAUCGGUGUAGUACCGGGAACCAAGUCUAUGACGAAUUCGAUCUCCCGAUCCGGUGGUAUCCCCGGCAACUCCGCGGGAAAUACAUCCGAGAACUCCCGCACCACCGAUAGCUCCUCCAAUGUAGGAGCCACUCGUUCCACUUCCACAACAGUCGCUAAGAAUGCCGUGCAACCACUGUUCACCAACUUCCUUGCUCUUGACGCCGACACCGUCGCGACGAAACAAGAGCUCCGGCAAACCCGGUAGGUGAACUCCUUUUGUCCUGGCUCACGAAACGUAAUUACUCUGCUCUUGCAGUCGAUCGUUGCAUGAUAUUUCGAGAGCCAGUCCAUGCCUAGAAUAACAUCAUAGGCCUCCAGUUUCCUGAGUUCUAGCAUCCGUAUAGGCAUUAUCAAGUAACCCACUUGUACUGGACACGAUGCACACUCCGAGUAAGUAUUAAAUGUCGACCCAGGGCCCUCAACUCGCCACUUGUCACUCGCCUCAAUGAGUAUGUCAUGCAUGCGUGCGAAUGCUCUACUAAUGAAUGAAUGCGUGGCUCCUGUAUCAAAUAAAGCCCUGGAGCGAACUCCGUUAAUUAAAACCAUACCUGCCACAAGGCGAUGCUCCUCCGCCUCCGCAGGCUCCUCGGCUUGAACCUGAGCGGCAAAUACCCGCUCGCUCGGGGCCGAUCGCGUCACCUCGGGUUGACGCGACAUCAUCGCGCAUCCCGCCGACGCCGCCGUCGGUGGAACUCCUCCAUAGUGAGCCGGAAUCGCCGGCGCCGAUGGAAUCGAUGGGGCAGGUGAGGCUCCUCCUCCCGGGCAGUCCCGAAUGAAGUGCCCCGGUUGCCCACACUUGUAACACUUGCCUCGGCCUUGCUCACAGCGCGAGACCGGGUGGUCUCCGCUGCAUAUAAUGCAUCACCGCGCUCCACCGCUCUUCUGUUGAGUGCGCGGAUACUUCGGGGGUUUCUUGUAACGUGUUUGUCCCCCUAAACUACCGCCGCCUUUGGCGUUUCUUGCCCUUAUCCUUGGACUAGGCCAAAAGCUCACGCUUCUCCCGAACGUGGGCAUCUCCGUGCUCCGCCCACAGCGCUCGAUCGAAGACCUCCGCAAAGGUCGUGAGCUUGAGUAUUUGCACAGCCUUGUAGAUUCCCGGCCGAAGUCCUCGCAAGAAUUACUUGGCCCGGUCCCGGUCAUCCUUUACAACAUCCGGGACACAAUCUAUAAUAUGGGAGAACUCUUGUUCAUACUCCGCCACUGAGCGGUCCCCUUGCUCUAACUUACGGAACUUCUCCUUGAGCUUCCGCUUUAAUGUAUCAGGGAAAUAGUUGGCGAACAUCUCCCGCUUAAAUUCCUCCCACAGCAUUGGCGGAAGGCCGGGAAGCCGAUCCCGUUUGACGCGCUUCCACCAGACCUUCACCGCCUUUUCCAAGCAAUGGGUGGCGAGGUACACUUUGUCCCUCUCUAGGGUACGCAGAUCAUCGAAGAGGGUUUCCAUCGAGUCGAUCCAAGACUCGACCAUCUCCGGUUCCACCUUCUCGCCCUCGAAGGUUAGCAGAUGGAACUUGUUGAACUUAAUGAGAGCCGUUAAUGCGCGCUUUCCCUCCACGUCUUCGGCCGUCACAUCAGGUGUCGCCGAUCCCGACGCCGCCGCAGGAACAAUUGCCGGCGGGGGACGUGCCACCACCGGAACCACCACUAUACCCUCACCCUCAGCUGGCUCAGGCACGCGAGUCGAGGGUGCGGGUAUAUCGCAUCUACCCAUCGCCAUUGCGGCCGCCACCGCAGCCUGCCGCUCAAAUCCGGUCUCCUGGCGCUGUACCACAUCGGUCAGUGCGGUCACCUGCGCCUGCAACCAAUCCAUCACACUCGAUUCAUCCUGCUCGGGCACUUCAGGUGUCGGUGCCAGAAUAGAUCUGCGUGUGUAGCAUCUUGGAGACAUUAGUCCCUAAAACGCAAACACUUGGUCAGUCAUCUUACCCAAUUACCUCGUCGAAGUUACGACACAUGACGACUCCACAGCAAAAUCGGGCGGAAGCACAUAAGUGUACUCGUUCUAGACUCUUGGCAUCAUGUCGUCGGCCGCCGACAUAACCACCUCCAGACAAGAACUCAUACCACUCGAAUCCGUCUCUAUUCACAACUAGAGACAUAUUACCAACCUCGACCCAAUCGAAUUAACUUCCGCCAUCGUUAUAGGUUCACAUUCCACUCACGCACCUAUAACCUUAGGGCUCACCAACCUAGGGUCUCCUAGAUCAUCCUAGACUUUCUCUCUUUACUUGCUCUUAUUGCUCUGAUACCACAAGAACUGUCACGCCCCGCCCCGAAACCACUACCAAUUUGGCACGAUUCGGGCGCGCCGAGUGGACCGCCGAACGGACAGCACCUCCCCUGUCCGCCAAAGGCUCACAACAAGAAUGUGUACAAGAAUUUUCUAGGAAUUUAAAUUGUAAACAUACACAUUCAACGAGGCACAAUUAGUGCCAGCAACUACAAGAGCAAGUAAUCCACAGGAAUAACAUGUGAAAUAAAGAGAGAACUGUUAGGAAGUGAAUUCUCGAAACUCGAGGAUUAGACUUCGAUUAGAAUCGACUAGUUGUCGAGUGCGUAAACUUCGGAAAGUCCGAAGGUGAUUAUGAUGCAUAAAGUGCAUUAAGGAAUGGUCCGCAAGAGCACCAAGUGCAAAACUUGCACUGGAGCAGAAAUGCUCUCGGGGACCGGUCCCUGGCAGGGAGGGACUGGUCCCAUCAGGCUGGGCUGCGGAGGUCUCUGAUUAGACCGGUCCCUAGCAGGUAGGGAUCGGUUCCCGAACAUCAGCCCAGCAAGAAUAGCCGAAAUUUGGCUAAGUCCCGAGAAUCCAACUUUCGGGAACCGGUUUCUCGGACAAGGACCGGUCUCCCGGGGACCGGUCUCUCAGGCAAGGACCGAUUCCCGAACGCGAAAACCCCUCUGCCCGAGAUGGUAGCCUUCGGGGAUCGGUCUCCCCGAGCUGGGACCGGUCCCUCACUGCGAAAAUGCCCAAAGAGGGCUGGUUUGAAGGAUGAAAAGUUGAGGGGGCUAUUUGCAAAAUGGCCUUAUUAGAGGCUUGGGGCUUCUCUCUCCCUCUCAUUUGCUCUCUCCCUCUCACACUCUUUCCUUCUCUCUCUAGAAAGAAAAGAAUGAGAAGAAGAAGGAGAAGAAAGAAAGGAAGGAAAAGAAGAAGAAGUGGAAGGAGAAGUCCAAGAAGAAGAAGAAGAAGGUCUUCUUCCCUCUCUCCUUCAAGCUAGGGCAAGCUUGGAGCUUGGCUUAGAGGUAAGCUCCAAACCCACUCAUGGUAGAUUUCUUAGGAUUGGGUUUUAUUGCUUAGAAUUGGUUCAAAUGGAACCUAGAGGAGAUGAAUAGGUGGUUCGGGCUCGCAAUCGAAGCUCGCACCACGGAUUUCUUCCCCGUUGCCAUUCUAGUGCACGGAAUUGGGGAUUUUGGAAAUCUAGGGUUUUGAUCUAAUCUAUUAGGUCGCAAACCUAAUUGCUAGGUCCCGGAACGCGUCGGCGAAGACGGUUUGCCGAUCCGACGAGCGAGGGCGGAAUUAUCGCCGAAUCGGGUACUCGAGGGCUCGCUUCGCCCCGAGGAGUUAGGGCGACGUGCAAUAACCACAACGUAGAGUUUUCUAUCAUCGCGGCAUCACCAAGAGGUGGGUGGUGUCCAUCCCGAAGCAAUCGGGCUCCCUUCUAUGUCUUAGUACAUUUCGAUUCUUCAUCUUGUAUUAUUGCAUUAUAGGAUGAUUGUGCAUUGCCUUUCCUUAUGCUUUCCUUGAUGAUAUCGUAGCAUGUAUUGGAUACUGGACAUAGUGGAUUGAUAAGGAUUGGGUCGAGACUUGUGAAUCCUAUAGUGCAGAGAAAAUGAUGGGCUCAAUGGUUGGUCUAAUGAUGAACAAAGAACGAGUGGCAUCUAGUCAAUAGUAAACCAUGAACGAGUGGCAUUUAGUUGAUAGUAAGCAAAAGAACAAAUGACACAUAUGAGUCGUAGUGUAUGUGAAACCUAUGGACUAUAUGAUGAUUGUAACCCUAGAGGAUAUGGUAUUCUCGAGACGAGGAUUGGAUCAUGCUCACGGUCUGUUUUUAAAUCUUGUGAUGGAAGCCCCACACAAGUAGUGCGCUCCGGAGUUGGUCACGUGGGAUUGCCUAUUUUGGGUCCCGGCAGACGGUCUCGGUUCAUAGGUCGAGUUGACCCUCCCUACCUUCGAGAUGGCUAGUGAGCAGUAGGCUCCUUCAGGGAAGCCACGAGAUUAAGAAACAAGUAAAUGAGAUUGAUGAACGAGUAAAUAGCUUUACCUUUGGACAUGAUAAUGGGUUAGUUGUUUAUCUAUUUCAUUGUACAUGCAUUCAUAUAUUUAUGAUUGGGCAUAGUAGCGUAGCUUUACUCCUAUCAUUUACCGCUUUCCUUAUCUAUCUAUCUAUCGAUUAUCUACUUUUGCCCACUUGGACCUAGUGGGGAGAUCGGCGGAGUCGGCGGCUGAACCCACUGGGAACUAAGGAAGUUAGUUCUCACCCGACUCUUUACAGGUUCGAGUUCAGGUGUCCCCGGUGAGCGUGAGGAUCGUGGUAAGGGCCCGGCGCUCUAGUCGCAUUAGCUACCUCCCUUUGGCAUUAGCUGUCACCCCUUUUGUAUUUUGAGAGUAGAUGUUGUAUAGGGUGAGGUUCGAGUGAUUGUAUUUAUAUUUUGGGAGAAUGCAAAAGAUGUAAUCAACGAUAUAUAGUAAGUCAAAUGACUGUAAUAGAUAGCUUCUUCUCUCUUUAUGUACUUGUAUAUAUUUUUAUACUUGUAUCUUGCUCUCGUCUUGUGGCACUAGUGGUGCUUCUUGAUCGUGUAUAAUGAAUUGAUUCCUGGGUAAAUUCUUAUACAUGAUCUGUUGGUUAACCUUGGGCGGACAGGGGAGGUCCUGUCCGUUCGGCGUCUGUUCGACGCGCCCGGGCCGGACCAAAUUGGUAGCGGGCUCGGGGCGUGACAAGUACUUUACUAACUAUUACAAUAGUUCACAUCUUUUCAUUUACAUCAUUUUCUUUAAAUGAUUACAUCAUUCAUCCAAAAUACAUAGCUCUCCAAAUCCUCACCUAUAAUGAAUCUCUCAAAUAUAUAGGUGUGCUAAUGCAAAAAGGAAAGCUACUAUACUACCACGGUCUCACUGAUCGGGCACAAUGCCCUUGCCGCGGUCCUCUCUCGGCAACCAUGUACUUACCACUGAAAAUAGAGUGGGGUGAGAACUAUCUUUCAUAGUUCCCAGUGGGCUCGGCCGCCGACUCUGCCGAUCUCCCCACUAGGUCCAAGUGGGCACAAGCAACAACAGGUAGAUAGAUAGAUAGAUAUCUCAAAGCAUUAAAGGCAUAAAGGAAAUCUAUGCUACUAUGCCCAUAAUCAUGUAUAAUGAAUGCAUGCAUCAUAAAGUAAAGGUUUACUAUCAUGCUAACGAAUUCGAUUCAUGUUCGAAUAAUAAUGUUCAAUGACAUUGUUCACUGUUCCUUCACCCAAUCUGUAGCGAAGCCCUUGGGUUCGCCAAUAACUCACCUUUCAAUCGCAAAGUGGGGAGGGAGCUCCAAGUGCACCUAAGCUCGGGACCGUCUGCGGACCUCUAUUUUUCGGGGGCAGGCUAAGAGACCGGUCCCAGGUCGGGGAGACCGGUCCCUCUGGGCGAAAACUGCCCAGACCGGGCUGAUGUGGUUUUGGAUUUUUGAGGGGGCUUAUCUGGAUUUUGUUACUUUAGAGCCUAUAGAGAGCCUUUCUUCUCUCUCUUUCCCUCAUUUCUCUCAACCCUUUGCAUUCUAGAGAGAGAAGAAGAAAGGGAGAGGAAGAAGAAGAAGAAGAAGAGGAGGAGGAGCUUCCUUAGAGGCCUUGGAGCAUCAUCUUCUUCCCUAUUUUCUCACUUUGGUGGCUUUGAACUUGCGGUUGGAGCUUUGAGGAGGAUCAAACUUCAACCCUACUUGGUUUUGAGCUUGGAUUGGAGCUUCUCUUGAGGUUGGUAUCUUGUAAUCCCCCUUUGAUACAUGUUUUCCUAGGUUUUACUAGAUGAAACCCUAGAUUUUGGGAUUUAGGGUUUAUUUUGGGGGUUUUUGGAUUUGAGGGUUUUAAGACCUAAUUGAUGGGUUUGGAACCUUUAUUUAGGUGGGAUUUGAGGGACUCUAACUCACAUUUGGAACUAGAGAGAGAAUUUCUUCACCUAGGUGAGUUUUUCUCCACCUUAGCCUAUAUUGCCUAUCGAUUGAGUUUAGGGUUAAUCGUAAGGUUCGUUUAACCCUUGUUCCUACAUCUUUAGGGUUCUAGGAGGCUAGUGGGCAUCUUCGUCGGAGCUUGCGAAGAGUUGCAAGAGUUUUGGUGGGUUUGACUUCAUGAAAAUAGGGCAAAAUGGCCCCUAUGCCUUCUAAACUUUUUGUAAAGUAUUUUUGAAUGCAAUUUCAUGUUAAACAUGAUUUAUAUGAAUUUUAGAACACUUAACAUGCAUGCCCCAUACAUCGUAAAAUUUGUACUCCAUAUAGUAGAGCUAUAUGUGUAAAUUGCAUGCAUUGUGGAUAGGGCUUGGUUUUGCAAGUUGAGAACAUGUCUCCAUGCUAGAGUUGAGUAAAUUAUGCAUCAUGAACAUAUUAAUGCCAUGCUUGGAACUCGUUGAACAAAAGUGUCAUCAAGGGGCACUUGAAACUAGUAAACUAUUAAACUGCAAUAUAGAGACAUGUUGAUAGGCCACUAUAUAUCUGCUACAUUCCAUGUUAGAGAUAUGAUGACAUAAAGAUAGGCCAUUGAGAUACUUGAUAUAUUCCAUGUUAGAGACAUGAUGACAUAGAGAUAGGCCAUUGAGAUACUUGAUAUAUUCCAUGUUAGAGACAUGAUGACAUAGAGAUAGGCCAUUGAGAUACUUGAUAUAUUCCAUGUUAUUAGACAUGAGGACUUGGUACUUGCGACAGAUCGUUUGCCUACUUGCCAUUGUGCUCCUUUGCACAUGCUUGUGAGGGUCGCUCCCUACAAGCCGGCACUCCGGAGAUAGCCAUCGCCAUAUUCGCCGUGCGGGAUUGGGCGCCGAAGUGGAUUGCCGUGGGACAGGCUCAUUCCUAGGGUGGGGAUGGUGACUACCACGGGGCCAUUAGGCUCGGCACCGGCCAGACAGCCUACGGGUGGGUCUCAGGGCCAUAGACAGCCUUCGGGUGGGUCUCUUCAGAUUUGACUUUGAGUAUUCAUUAUGACAUAUGGACAGAUGAUGACUUAGUGUACUACUUGGACAUUGACUAGUAUAGUAAACAACGGAACUUUACUAUUUCGCAUUGUGAACAUUAUGAUAGUUGGAGACUUUUACUUCAUGCAUAGUUGCUUCAUACUUAUGCUAAUUAUGCUAAGUAGAGAUAUCAUGUUGUAGUAAGUUACAUUUUUACUUACCUUUCGCUUUUCUACUUUUAUAGUCACUGACAUCUUUUGUAGCUUUGGGCCUUGUGGUGCAUUCACUGAAGUCAGUAAUUGCCCACUGGGAACUAUUUUUAAUAGUUCUCACGCCCCUGUUUUAUGGUUUACUUUUCAGAGCCUUCGGCACCGGCGGAGGCACGGGAUCGCGGCAAGGGGAUCGCUUAGCUAGCUAGCGAGGAGCGGUACUUUGCCUAGGUGGUUUACUCUUUCUUUUUGUAGUUAAGAGAGAGUGAGAGGUUUUUGGCAUCCAUGUAUAGAGACCACCUAUGUAUCUACCUAUAGCAUUUGUAUCUGAAAUUUCCUUGUAUCACUUUAUAUUAUAUUUAGUGGAUUUACAGUUUUAUUCUUAUCCCUUGUUGUAGCUUUUAGACAUUCAUUAUGCUCUGAUACUCCUAAAUGUCUUUUAUUAUUGCUUUUAUUAUUGUUGUUUUUAGACGCCUUAUAUGUUUUAGACGUAUGGCGGGUCUGGGCACGUGCCGGGCGGGCUUCCGCUGGGUCCCGGGGCGUGACAGUGGUGCUCUCCAAACUUGUUGGAAUUCUUUCUAUGCCUAAUGUGUCAUUCAAUUGAGCAUAUGUUUGUAUUGUUGCAUGCAUUAUAGGAUAGAUGUGAUUUUAAUAUGUGAGUGUUGCAUGAUGUGAGUACACGUGCUUUUUGAAAUGUUUGAGAACCUAUUCGACCCUAUAUGUAUGCAUGAGAUAUAAUGUGAGCACCCAAUGAGAUGAAAGAACAAGUAAUACAAUAAAACAUAGAUCGAGUGGCAUUCGAUAAUGUAAAGUAAAGUGAUACUAGAGUUAGUGUGUGUGGCAUCAAAGAGAAAUGUGAUGCAAAGAACAAUGAUAAUGAUUAGAGACAAGUGAAGAAAAUGAAAGUGGCAUAAAGAACGAGUAAAGCUAAAGAACAAUGAUUGCUAGAGUUAGCAUAACAAAGUGAUGUAAAUAACACUAGAGUUAGUGUAAAGACAAUGAUUGAACUAUAUUCUUAGAGUUAAAGAUCGAUCAUACUUGCUAUGAGUUCCGUGCUUGAGGGCGGUCGCUCCCCCUCGAGCGAUGCGCUCCGGAGUUUUGCAUCACGGGUUGGAGUAAAAACGAGGACGGUCUUAGCGGGAGACAGCUGAGGGCCCGCGAUGAUGGACUUAAUGUGGGUAAGUUAAUGUGGCGAAACCCCCGGGUUAGCCGUGAGAUUAAAGAACAAAGAUUAAAGACUAAAGUUUAAAGAACAAAGAACUUGCAUACUUGCAUGAUUUACAUUGAGCAUAUUUCUUGCUUUAUUGUUCAGGCAUAUUAGCAUCAUGAUUAUAAUUUGGUUACUAUUCUACUUAUCCUUUCUAUUAUGCCUGAGUUAGUCCUAGUGGAAAAGUCGGUGAGAUUGGGGUCGAACCUAUAGGAAACUUUGUUGUAGUUCUCACCCCACUAUUCCACAGAGCCGGGACCAAGCGAGUUGGCGAGCGACCGUGGUAAAGGUAUCGCACCAUAGUCAGAGGCCACCGGAGUUAGGUUAUUUCAUAUUUUGUUAGUAGCCUCCCUAUUGUCAUCUUUUGUACUUGAAGAUGUUUAAAGUAAAGAGAAAGAAUGUAAUGUUUAUUUUGAGCAAAUGUGAUGUAAAAAUAAAUGAUGAAAAGUAUGUAAAGAAUUAUGAAUGUGCAAGUUGGAUACAUGUAUGUGAUCAAAAGAAAAUCAUAGUACUUGUGUAGAUAUUUAGUUUCCUUUCUUUCACUCAUGGCUAUUGCUUACCCUCGUAUAAGCCGUUUGUGUAUGUUUCCGCUAGUGCAAUUCUUGUUUGGAAAUGUACAGGUGAUGAGCCUUGGGCGGACAGGAGAAAUUCUGUCCGUACGGCGUCUGUUUGACGUGCUCGGGCCGGCCCAAAUUGGUAUCGGUCCCGAGGCGUGACAACAUUACUAUAUUAAACCAAACGCAUUAAUGCAGCAUCAGUAGUAAUCUCAUUUAGAAAUCCAAGAUACCUGGAUAUAUCGAAAUACUCUGUAAUAUAACAUAACUCGAACCAAACGCGCCCUUAUGGUAGAAUACCCAAAAUGCCCAGCUGGCUAAGGAAGCUGCGACUUGGGGUGUGUUUGGUUCAAAGUCGGAAUCAGUAUCGGAAUCAGAAUAAGAAUAAACUGGAAACAGAAUCAGAAUGAUAUAUUACCUCAUUCUGUUUGGCUCACCACCUGAAUCGGAAUCGGAAUGAACCAUUUCCAUUGUCGGUAUUUAGUUCAGAUAGAUAUUAUAAUUAAAUUAAUAUGCUAGUUUUAUCUUUAUGUUAGUUUAAAUUCAAACUGAAUAUAAAUAUUAAAAAUUUACAUCAAAAAAUUAAAACAAUGUCAAAAAUUUAAAUAUAUAUUUUUUUAAAAAAUUAAAAAUUAAAAUUAAAUGGAUAAUUUAAAAUAUAAAACUAAAUUUCAAUUUAUUCAAAUUCAAACUUAAAAUUAUAAUUUAAAUUUUAAUUUGAAUCAACAAAUUUAAUUUAAAUUUUAAAUAAAAUUUGAAUAAAACUUUAGAUUUUAAUUAAAUUUAAAUUUAAAUUCAAAUUUAUAAAUUAGAUUCGAAAUAUUUGAUUGAAUUUUAAUUUUUUAAUUUAAGUUUAACUUAAAAUUAAAAUUUAUAUAAAUAUAAUUUUUAAACUUAAACUUAUAUUUUAAUUAAAAAAUAAGCUGAAAAAAUUAAAUUUAAUCUGAACAAAUUCAUUUCGCUGGGAUUCAAUUUUCAAUCCGGUCUCGUAGACCGGAUUAAAAAGAAUAAUUGAAGAAUUCUUAUUCAUCCGAAAAUUAAAAUCAAAAUAAAAAUUUUGCAUGCUAAACACAAUGAAACAAAAAAAAAUUCGUUGAUUCCGAUUUCAAUUCCUAAAAUAAAAAGGGUGAAAAUUGGGCCAACCAAACACACACCCUCGGUUCCGAGUUGGCGACUCGUCGCCGAGUUUGCCCCUGCGUGUCCUUCCUUCCGCCCUAAGGCACACCGCACACGCUCCUACUAGAAACUACAUACGGGGCGAAGAAAGCCACAACCAUCCCCACUUUCUCCGACUCCCAUACCCAUUUCCGCUCACCUUUUCACUCUCGGAUUCGUCCUCCUUCCUAAACCCGUUUUCUGUUCCCCCUAUCAACGACGCCAUGCAAGAGGCGGAUCAACACGACCUCUCCGACGAUUCCGACUACGCCGCUUCCCAACAACAGGUAACCCUAAUCCGAACCCCCUCCCCCCAAUCGAUUCUUUACGGGUGUCAAUUCAUUGGCGCGAUCCUCCAGUUUGUUCUCAGUUGAUUAGUCGACCAAAUCAACAAGAAUUUUGUUCUUUUUAGUAUGUUUCAAUUUGGUGCGGUUGUUGAUUCAUUUCUUGUUACUUGUUACUUGCUGUUGGAAUUGGCGUAGUCGUUGAUUUGGGUUGGAUCUUUCUCUGUUUUUUGCUUUUUGUUUUUUAAAUUUAUCGGAUCGCAAUGUGGAGAUUGUUUAAUUGGUGUUCUUGAUCCCUAUGAAUCGACAAGAAGAUCAUUGGAGCGGUUAAUUUAUUUAUUGAGUUGUUCUUUAUGUGAAGGCAAUUGGGAGCGUUGUGCGAUGUGAUUCAGCUAAAAGUGGAGUCAGUGAGCCCGGUGGAUCGGAGGUCGUCUACUCGAAGGACAAUGUGACGAUCCACCCGUCUCAGUAUGCUGCGGAGAGGAUCAGAGGCCGAUUGCGUCUUAUCAAGCAAGACUCUUCCUUGUUUAUGGUGAAACACCCCCUCCCUUCUCCACUCGUCUCUCCAUUUUCUUAUGCGAAAUGCUUACAUCUAUUCUUUCUGUUUGUGAUUUGUAUUGGAGGUUGUUAAUACCUCGAUGUAUGACGGUUUAGAGAGUUUUGGGUUUUUCGAGAAUUGCUUAAAAUAUGGAUCGGGCAAUUCUUUGAAAUUAAACUAAAAAGAAAUAAACGAUAAAUUCGAAAAUUCGAAAACUUAAAUAAAAUGUGUGAUUCCCUCCAUCUCGCGUGGACAUUAUACGGUUAUCGAGUAUCUAUUUGAUUGCAUCUUUCUUUUUCUGAAAAGAAGGGCUAGAAAGACAAGGUGAAGGUGGAAUAAAACUAUCAAAUGAAGAAAAAUUGAGUCAUGUAUAUCUUCAUGGUAGGGUGUUAGGCCUUCAAUAUUGAAAGUGGAACUAAUCCUUAUGUCGGGUCGCAAUUCCAACGAAUAGGCAUUAGAACUAAUUUUCUUUAGAAUUUUAGACGAACGCAUUCGUUGAACUUCAGACGAACCCAUUCGUCGUGCAUGCGAUUCCUUAACGGCUCCUUUUGGAAGCCUCUCAGGUCUAAUUCUCACCAUAACCAUAUUUCUUUUAUAUUCUUUGUUUCUCCGGUGUUCAUCACCAGAUUUCUUGUAAGUUUUAUUACUAAGAAUUAUUUAUCUCUAAAUUUCAUUAUGCAAUUCUCAUAUAUGUUGAGCUAAAGAGUCUACAUGUUAACUGCUUUGGUAACCUGUAGGUAAAGUGCUAAAUCAAUAGGUUUUCGUGGGUUGUAUCCAGUAACAAUUUCAAAAGGACUCAUACCGGUUGUUCGGUUAACGGAACUAUUAUAUGCAAAUUCAGCCAUAGGAAGAAUAGUUUCCUAAUUACUAGUAUUUUUGCCAGCUAAGCACCUUAAUAAACCGACUAAACUUCGAUUGACAACUUUCAUUUGUCCGUCUGUUUGGAGGUGAUGCGCAUACGGAAAUUGGAGUUUCGUUUUCAUUAUUUCCAAAGAGUUCUCCAAAUAUAACUAAAAAUUGGAUGUCUUUAUUUGUAACUAUUGUUUUGGGUACUCCAUGUAAUCUAACAAUCUCAGUAAAGAACAAACGGGCAAUCUGGCAUCGGAUAUUUUUCUAUAGGGUAUAAAAUGUACCAUUUUAUAAAAUCAUUGACUACAACCAUAAUUGAAUCUUGCUUCCUAAUGGUCUCCGGUAAACCUAAAACAAAGUCCAUACUACGGUCUCUAAGGAUUGAGGGUGUCUCACGUGUGUCAAGGUUCUCGGAAAUUUCUUUCAUGACUAGCGCAUACACAACUCCUGUCCCUACCUCUCUAAAAAAUUUUUCUUAUUCAAAAUGUGGAGAGGUUUGGUGGUUUCGACUUUAGGUGCACUAGGUGAACUCGAUGCUAGGGUUCUUUUAGUCGUUCGUGAUGAGUUCUUUGAGGUUGUAAGGGAGGCCGGCUUGCUAGGAUUUAGGAGGACCUUUUUCCCUUUGUGAAAGAAGUAAUAAGUGUUGGGCCGACGGCCCAUAGUGAGUAACUUUCAUAUCGUAAAUUCAAGGUCUGCCUAAUAGGACUUGUGCAACAUCUAUAGGGAGAACGUCACACCAAAUUUGGUCCUCAUAUGUGGCAAAGUGAAGUGGAACUAAGCAUCCUUGGGUAAACGACAUCAAGGUUUUGUGUACCCAAGCUACUUUAUAAGGAGUAUGGCGAGGUUCAAAUUUCAAGUUCAUUCUUUCGAUGGCUGAUUUGGAGACUACAUUCAUGCAAUUCUCUUCAUCAAUAAUAACUUUGCAAUUUUUAUCCUCACAUUUUGGAUAUGGAAAAUUGUUGUGCGUCUCCAAUCAUCAUCGGGCUUGGGUGUAGCUAGGACACAUCGCAUAACCUAUAAAAAGGCAUUGUCGUUCUUGUUAUAUGUCUGCUCUAAAUCUUCCUCGUCAUUAGCAUCUCAUCUACAGCAUGUUCAACCUCCUCUAUAUCUUCCUCGUUGGGUUGAAAAACUAUAUUUCUCUUUGGACACUCAUAGGAGUUUGACCUAUCUUAUGAUAGUUGAAGCACCUACUGGAUGUUUGAUUAGACUUUGGACGUUAGCUAGAUUCUGACUUACCUUUAUCAUCAUGGCGGUUUGAUGCAUUAGUAAACUAGGAAAUGUUCAGGUUCGUGUUAUCGGCCCUAGGAUUCUUGUCGGACCAUUUUCUAAAAUUUGGUCCCCCGGUUUGGGAAGGAAACUUCUUAGGUGGUGCCUUAAGGUAUAUCUCAUAUUUUAGUGCAAGUUGGAGGCUUGUUCAACACUAGUGGCCCUAUAGGGUGUAAUUUCUCAUGGUAAUUUCUCACGUAACCCUUGCCAAAAUCUUGUAAGGUCCAUCAUCUCAUCCUCUUGAACAUCACACUAAAGUUUCAAUUCAUCGAACGAGCAAAGCAUUCGGACACAAAAAAGUUACCCUUGGUGUAACGAAAACAAUUGCUUAUAAAGGCGUUGCUAUAGGUUGGCGGUGGGUAUUUCUUCAUAAGCUUAACUUUCAUCUCUGCCCACAAUGUAAUAAGUUUUUACCUCAGGCACUCAAGUUCUCUCUUAACAACAAUCUAAUACGUGCCUGGCAGCGCCGGUCAACUUCAUCUUAGCAAACCUAACACGAUGGUUAUCAAACAUGUCAUACCAAUUGAAGUACUGCUCCAUUUCAACUAACCAAUCAGUGAAGGUUUUUGGAUCAAGUUUUCCAUUAAAGGAAGGGGCAUCUAUCUUAACCUUACGGGUGCGUUUGGUUCGCGCUAUGUUUUUAAGGUUCCUAGUAAUCCAAUAGGAAUAAAAAAAUAUGACGGUGUUUGGCUAAACACAUUAAGUAAUCUAGUUGGUAAUAUUAGAUUUACUUGGGAAUGAGAUUCAUCCCAAAGUACUAAUCUCAUUCCCUUGAGGGAGGGUGGGUAUCCUCAUAUUAAUGGAUUGGGGUAAUCAUAAUAUGUCUAAUAUCUUUCUUUCUCCCUACCCGCCGGCUAGUUGGUAUUAUUUUUCUUUACACUCUAACCUCAUAUCUCUCUCUAAACUUAUUUUUUUCUCUCUAAACUUCAACUCUUUUUCUCUCUCUAAACUAAGCUCUCUCUCCCCCUCUUUUUCUAAAAUCUCAACUCUCUCACUCCCUCUAAUCUCGACUUUAUCUCUUCCUAUUUCUUUAAUUAUGCUCUCUCUCUCUCUAACCUAUGUUCUCUCUCUCCCUUUUUCUAAAAAGAUGUUGAAAUUUUUGGUGGCAUUAUCUAAAAUUAAUUAAAAAAAUAAAUAAAUUAAUUGUAUAUUUUUUGUAAACUUAAAUAAUAUGACUAAAUAAUAUAACCGUGCGAACCAAACACAGGAAUGCCACAUUCUUAGUAAUAGGAUGAAUAGGAAUAAGAUUCUCGGANCUAAAAUUAAUUAAAAAAAUAAAUAAAUUAAUUGUAUAUUUUUUGUAAACUUAAAUAAUAUGACUAAAUAAUAUAACCGUGCGAACCAAACACAGGAAUGCCACAUUCUUAGUAAUAGGAUGAAUAGGAAUAAGAUUCUCGGACAUCUUUUUAUUGCUAGUAAUCUUUCGUAGUGCGAACAAAAUGCACCCUACAGGUUAUGUCUACGGUGUUGUCUAUAUUAUGUCGAUUUCUACCUAUUUGACCUUAGGCAUGUAGUGGUGGUCUCCUGUGUGCAUGUGGAACAAGUCCUACAAUUUGGUUUGGCUCACGGUUGUAGGUUUCUUUAUUUAGUGGUGUAUGUGCCCUAGUCCUUCACAGAUUUGUGGUGUUCUAUGUACAAUAUUAUCCCCGUUUUGGACUCGAUCUCUAGCUUGUGGAUUUUCUAAAGUAGUUGUUCGAGUUUUAAGGCCGUGCACUUUGGUAGCUAGAUUUUGAAAGUCAGUAUGAAGUGUUUCAAGUUUGCUUAUUUUCUCUAAAAGUUGGUUUAGUAAUAGGGUAUUUGGGUCGUCUAUGGAUUUAUCCCUAAACUUGGUUCUGAAUUGGGUCGUCAUGAUAAAACCUAGGCUCCGAUACCAAAUCUGAUGCAGGACGGUUAGGGAGUUUAGGGGUUUUGAGAAUUGCUUAAAAUAUAGAUGGGGCGAUUCUUAGAAAUCACACUAAAAAGGAAAUAAACGACAAAUCCGGUUAUUCGAAAACUUAAAUAGAGAUUGGUUAAGGAAAGAUCACAACUUCGAGUUUUGAAAAGAGAGUUAGGGUUAGGGCUUAGAAAGGGAUGGAAAAAGAAUGAGAAUAAUAGGAAAUUAAGGUUUAGAAUUAUCCGUAGAAAGAAAGAGAAAUCGAAGAAUUCGAUGUCGACUCCUUUCCACGUAGUAGGCUUGGAUCGCAAUCUCGAUCAGUCCGUUGUUGCGGCGACGACAGAUCGUAAGGGAAUGCGCCUCACGUACAGCUUCUCCUAUACGUCCUGAUUGUUGAGAGAUCCCACUGGUGGGUCCCGCACGGAUAAAUCGAUCUCAACGGCUCUCUUUUACUUGUAAUGGAUCCAAUGGCUAAGAUAAAAUAAAAUAGAAGAUAAAAGAAAAAGAAAAAGAUAAUUCAUGGGACUUGCUUUCGAGCUGGACUCAGUUUGAUCGAUGCUUUUGCGAAGGCAAGGAAAAUUUACGAGGAAUUCUAAUAGCUCAAUUCUCAUUAACCAAAGCAUCCCUUACAAUAGAGUUUUGAUGUUUAUUUUUAGAAUAUAGGUUAAAAAGAAAAUUAAACAAAUUCUCAUAGUAGAGUUCAAAACAGAGUUCUAAAAAGGAAUAGAAUUCUAAUAAAAACUUCAAAAUAACUAAAACUUUCAAAUAAAAAUCCUAAUCUAAUAAAAUUUCCAAAAUCAAUCUAGCCAAUUUGAAUCAGACUCAAAUUCAAGUCAGGCUUCUAGCAUUGGUCGGAAAAGGAGCCAGUUCCCCAUCAUAUCUACUUAUGAUGUCGAGUAUAAGUCAGAAAAGGAGCUAGUUCCCCAUUAUAUUUACUUAUGAUGAAAUUCUAAAGUUUAGUGAUAUGGCUUUUAGUGGAAAUAUGCUUUAUGGAGGGAUUGCAAAGUGCAAUGAUUUUGUAGCUGUUUCCUUUAUGGCUUCAUUUGUUUUCGGUUUUGCUUUGACUUCACUAGUCUUGGAUUAGUUAUAUCCUAUAUAGAAAUUCCUAUUUACUCGGUGUAUUUGUUAUCAAGGUAUUCAUAUUUCUUAAAUGGUAAAUAAUUUAUUUAGCAAAUAUUAUAGAACGCGUUUUCACCUGAUAUGCACUGGCAGAGUUGGAUACCCUACAAACCAAGUAUAGAUGGAGCUGAUUCUGUGGGACGACACUCAGAUUUAGUGCCAAUAGAAAAAGGUAUGUCGAGCACUUUCAUAAAUGUAUAAGGUUUCUUGAACAGUGGAGAGAAAAGCUCCUUAUUUUUUGCCCUGAUUCUAUGCAGAUAGAUAUCUAUACACCAUAAAGGCCCUGCCUCUAGGCGAGGUUCGUUCCAUCCGUAGGCACACGCCGACACUUGGCUGGCAAUACAUAAUUGUUGUUCUUUCAUCAGGUGAAGUAAAAGUGAUAAUGUGUUCUCUUUGAAGGGCAAUAUUUUUGAAUUUAUUAACUCAUGGCAUCUACUGCUUCCUUUUGUGAUAGCAUAUAAUAGGAAAUUCUUUGAACAUAGUUUAGCUUACAUUUCUUCUCAAAAGUUUUUUUUUCUAUGAAUGAAGGUGGUUCUACUAAUUUUGUUCACUGGAUGACAUUGUGAUGAUGCUAGUAUUUUGUCUUUAAUUUAGCUAAAAUUGCAUAAUGGACUAAAAUAUUCAACUAUACUUUGUACUAUCACUACACACCUUGAACCGACCCGGAUAUGAAGUUUUUCCUUAUUUUACUUAUUAGGUCAGGAACAAUAUUUUAUUUGAAAUAUCUCAAAUAAAAUAUCUACUAGUUUAGGAAUGUGGUUAAUUUAUUCUUUUCUUAUUUGGUUUUCUUAUCAUAUUAGGAUUAUUAUAUGGAUUCUAAGCCUAUAUAUAAGAGGCCUCUUCUUUUUUUCCUUCAAUAGUUAAUCUAAUUUAUAAAGAAGAGGUUUUUUAAAUAGGUUUUUAGCUUAGGUUAAGUUAGAAGAGGUCUCUCUGUCCCUUGGAGGGAGAAUUCCUUGAGCCAUAAUUCUAACAUUAGCUAUUGGAGCGGUCGUUAGGAGCGGCCGAUACUAACAUACUCUUGCUAGGCAAUUGUUCUAUACGUGAAGUUGUGGGGUUUAAUAUUUUGUCUGGUUUCAUUUCCUUCAUUUUGUAGUCAUUAUUGUAAAUUACGAGGUAUGUGUUUCACUCCAAUGGUAUCAUGGGUUAUGUUCUCUCAAAAGCAAAAACUGUUAGUGCUCAUAUGUCAGCAGGUGUGAUGACAUAGCCAAUAUUUUUCUGCGGCAACAUUUUGCAAAUUGAGGUGUUGAGGUGAUGAGGUAAUUAAAAGCACACAAGUAGGCACAAUAACACGAGGUACUUUGUAUUUAUUUGUCAAGAUAUAUCACGUAUAAUAUAGGUGAACCUAACAAUGCCUAAGUUAGUCCAACGAGGCAAAACAAAUGCUAUUUAAUGUUACGCUGCGGGGCUCUUUUGUAAAAACUUUUUGUGAUGAAAACAAUAGAAAACAUACUUUUUUGUUGAAACCAAAAGCCUGACCUGAAUGUGCAUCAAAUCUGCCACAUGGACAGAGUCUUCCCUGUCCAAAACGGACAAUUUUGUCCUGAAUGUAUGGCGUAGGGGCAUAGAUUUACAACAAUCAACCAUCCCAUCAACCACAACAACAACAACAAUCAAAACAAAGACUAACAAAAUGACAACGACAUAACUGAAAAAUAAUCAAUUUCUAGAUCCUCCAAUUUCCGCGUACAACUGAUCACCUCCAAUCUUCGAAAAAUAAUAUUAAAACACAAUAACGAGACUAAAGCAUACUGACAAGUAACGAGAUACUAAUACUGACAAUCGAAACUAUGUAGUGAAACUAUAUGAAAAACCAAGUAAUACAAUCCACAACUAUCUAAAAAAUGCAGUAAUACUAAGUACCGAAAGUAGAAGUCUAGAAUCACAAGGUAUGACCCAAAGACUUAGCGUGCUAGCGCAUGGGGUCACACCUAACUAGUGUCCUCAUGCAUCAUCUUGAACCUCACCACUAGUAUCACAUGUGGAUAACAGAGGGUGAGAAAUAUGUACACAUGUUUUUCAGUUAGUACUGCAAGUCGCUGAAGACAAGCUGUACUCACUGGUCAACAAAGAGAACGAUAAGGUAAAUAUGAUAGGUAGAAAUAUGCAUUGGUUAUACAGUAGCGAAAAGUAAACCAGGAAAAGGAGCAUGCAACUUAAUAAUUGAAAUAGUACUGCUACGUAACAAAGAUAAUCAACUAUUUGUAUGGAUCAACAACACGAAUAGUCCAAUAUCCAAACCGAAUUCGAGUACUGUCGUGUUGGUUUAAAGAUCUCAAGCAAAGCCCCAACUGCAAAGAUACCGUAUAGGACUCACAGAUCGGAACAUGACCACUUUUUUGAAAAAGAACACCGUUGCGGGGGCCAAACCGCUAGUGUACGUGAAAUACUCCAUAAGUUGUGGCGAUAGGUGAUGUACGCUCAAUAGCCAAACCAAUUGUAAAUUGCCGAGAGAUAAGGUCACAACAAUGUCACGCGGGUAAUAAAGGUCAAAUAAUUGUCAUAUAAUUAUGCAAUCAAAUAACGAACUGCUCUACAACUCGAGAAUAAACCAAACAUGCAAUAACCGAAAGUAGAGCAACUAAUGACCAUAUAUAGAAGUGGUGCGAAUGAUAACUCAACAAUAAAAAGGUAUAGAAUCAUAAAGAAAGAUAACCGAGUAAGCAUCAAUUUACCGAUUUCGGAUCGAAGCACCCACCUGUAUACCUGAUAUACCUGAGUACCCGACUCCUCCAGUGCCUCUAGGUGUCACGUGAAUCUUGACAUAAUUAUCGAAUGUCGAUAUAAGCCACUAUGUGUCAACAAUACCAAGUGACACACAUAUACUGCACAGAUGUGCACUACAACAUACUGAGAACAUUGGUUUUGCAAUACGAGUUUUGGAACUAGACAAACCCAUGAGCUGACUCUACAAGAGUCCAAACGGCUCGCAAACAUUAAGCGGACAACAACUCGUGACACUAAGUCGCCAAUAAUAUGAAUCAAGAUUUAACCGAUUUUCGAACCUUGCCCAAAUCGGUACCUAACCCACUGUGACCACUCACUAUCCCAAAACACACUAAUUUAGGUGUUGAGACAGCGGGAUACGAGGUGCACACUAAUAGAGGCCGUAGCCCCAAACUAGGCCGUAGCGGGUUCUGGCAUAUGUCAAUUUUGGCGUAUGAACCGGCAGAAGAUAAGAACAUUCACGCUACUAGUUUCAACCAGCAAGGACCCUUCGAAACACAUCCCAGGGGUUUUAGAGUCUAAGUGUACAACCAGUGUGUCAAAACGACGGAGUUUUCGCCCCGAUAAGUUCAGUAGUUGCCGUUUUCGGCAACGGAAUAACACACGACUUGAUCAGUCUCAAGGGUCAUUUCCACUUGGAAUGCAGCUGCAAUGAAGCAUGGAUUUAAGUGCCAUGGCACGGGGUCGUGCCGGAAACUUGCUGACACAGUACAGCACGGUGCGUGCUGGGCUGUGCCGAUGCCUGUAGGUCACAAAAAAUACAUGUAUGCCCACACAUAAUGGCAUGAAAUAUUUAUUUUCUUUAGCAAUAAAAUAUUCUAACAGUUUAUUAUUCAUCUUUAUCAAAUCUUUUGAACUUCCUUGAGAAAAUUACGUACUAAUUUAAAGAAUAGAGGAAGUGCCAUCGGCACGGUGACUGUAUCGUGCCUAUAUCUUAUUGGCACCAUACAACGUCAAGGAUUAAAGUGCCUAUCGGCACGGGCCGUAUCCAUUCCACCGUGCCGAUCGUGCUAGCAAGAUAUCGGCACGAUACAGCCCCCGUGCCGAUGGCACAACUCAAAACCCUCUAUUAUUAAAAUUAGUAAGUAAUUUUCUUAAUGCAGUUCAAAAGAAUUGAUAAAAAUACAUAAUAAAUAAUUGGCAUAUUUUGUUGCUAAAAAAAUAAAUAUUUCAUUCCAUUACGUGUCGGCACACAUAUUUUUUGUGACUGGCACGCAUCGGCACGGCCCGGCACGCAUCGUGCCGUACAGUGUUGGCAAGUUUCUGACACGACCUCGUGCCACGACACUUAAAUCCUUGGUCACAGUAGAUACAGCCCGUGCUGAUGGACACUUAAAUCUUUGCACAGAACCACUGAUUGCCUGUGCCGCCUAUGUCGUACUGUGCGAAGGCAGUGUCUGUAUGUGGUAUGUGGUUAUGUGAGACCAUAUUGACGUAAUAAUUUUUUUCUUGUUUUUUUUUUUUUUGCAUUUUUUCGAGUCCUUUUGAGUUUCUUUGAUGUAUAAUAUUUACAAAAGUUUUUUAAUACUUUAAAAUAUAAAGAUCUUGUAAAUCUACUGUCAUUUGGAGCAAUUAGUUUGUUUCAUUGCAUAAUGAGACCAUCUUUUAGUGAAAAAUCAAGUAAGAAGAUUUCCUAUUAUUACUUUUAUUAUUUUAUCUAGUGAAAGCUUUCCUAUAAAUUUUUAUCCAAUUUUCACUUUGGUUUUGGUUUCAUGCAUAUACUUUCGAAAUGUAUAUAAAUGUCUUUUCUUAGUUUUUAAGAUGUUUCUGACUUUAUUCUUACUAAAUUGUGUAAGAUACAAUACGCAAAAUAUUUUUAUAUCCAUUAGAGAUAUUAAAACACUCAAAAAAACUAAUUUUUCCUAGAAAUUUAAUUAGAAGCCCGAAAUCAUUUUAGUAUAGCAGAAUAUUGUUGAGAAAUUAAAUUGUAAGAUUAUUUAAUUCACCAUACCUAUUAAAAUUUUGAAAUGAUUGGGACUUGCCAAAAUUGUCGAAGCUAAAACUCUAGAUAUCUCUAUUGAAAUUAAAUUGAAAAUGAGAUCUCUAACCUUCUUGCACUCUCAAAUCUUUGAACAAUCCCCCCUUCUUUAUUUUGUGUGAAACAGUCUGUUGGCUUCCUUACAUUUCAAAGACCCCAACCUAAGGAUUUAAGUGCCUAUCGGUCUGGGCCAUAACUACCGUACCGUAUCGUAUCGUGCCAACAAGAUACCGACACGAUAUAGCCCCCCUGCCGAUGACAUUACUUAAAACCCACUUUUUUUAAAUUAGUAAGUAAUUUCCUCAAUAAAGUUCAAAAGAUUUGCUAAAAGACAUAAUAAGCAACUAGAAAAGAAAUCAGCAAGAAGUUAGUAAGUAAUUUCCUCAAUAAAGUUCAAAAGAUUUGAUAAAAUAGAUAAUAAGCAACUAGAAAAUUUUGUUGCUAAAGAAAAUAAAUAUUUCAUAUCAUUAUGUGUCGGCACACAUGUAUUUUUUUUACCGGCACGUAUCGGCACGGUCCGGCACGCAACGUGCUGUACUGUACCUGCAAGUUUUCGGUACCGCCCCGUGCCACGGCACUUAAAUCCUUGCCUUAAUCCCAGUCUUGGAGUAGUUCUGGGGAUGGGAGGCAACUCAUUGAAUUACCUCAGCACUUGAGCUAUUUUGAGAUGAAUGUUUUAAUUUUGUUUUGAAUAACAUAGAAUUCGUAAUCAUAGAAAAAUUAGAUAUGAAAUCAAUCCCGUGAUGAUUGCAGUUUUGGCAUUCAAUUUGCUUCUCAUCAACUUGAUUUCUCUUCUUAAACUUUUAUGUGUGCUUACAGUUAUUUUUGGAUUUCGGAUUCUUCUUUUCCUUUUUAUCAGAAAUUGCUGAAACUAUCGAAACAGAUGCACUAAGCACUGAAAUUAGUGAAACGAACCUAUCUUUUAAUCUCCAUCUAAAACUAAAAAUAAAAAUUUGUUCAGCAAUGACGAAAACUCUGAGAGAAGGUUCUCAUGACUUCUCUGCAGCUUAAGAAGUGAAAAGAUUACUAGGAUUUGGGUGCUUUAAGGUAUAACCUAGUCUCUGCUGGUCUUUUGUCUGGAUCUCCAGCUUCAGAAGGCUUGCUUUAGUUUCAAAUGAUGGAAUAGAGCAUUGUCUAGAGUUGUAGGCUACCUUUCUAAAUGCUACCUUUGGCUUUGCAUCGUUGUAGACAUGCUGCAAUGGUUGUCCUUUUGAUGUGCAAGAGAUUCUUCUUUAAUAAGAUUCACAUAUGGCCACCAAUUGUUAGUAAAUGUAUUGUCAUGCAGUAUGCUUGAAGGAAGAACCUUUUAUUUGGAGUCAUCUCAGAUAUAUUCUAUAAUAAUGAGCCACUAUUUUAGAGAUAGAGCAUCUGUAUGGAUUUAUUAAGUGCAACUUCUUGUUAGAAAGGCUAUCUCUGUGGCCGCCUAGGUGCAAUCUUGACAUCUGAAAGACAUGGCAAACAACAUACCCGAUUAUUAUUGUUUAACCUUACAUUUUUAUGUUGCUUUAUAAGAAACAUCAGACUUCCGUGCAUCUAUUGUUGAUGUUAGGAUGCUGAGGAUUCUCCUUUUGCAUUCUUUUGUAUGCAUAAGAUGUACAAAAUCCUUUUGAGAAUUUAGUUCUAAAACAUGCAGACUAUUUGAUGGAAGUAUGAUAUUUGUAUUUUACCCUACACAAUUUACAUUUUGAUCUCUUGCAAGUUUUAUACAAUUGUGGAGAACUUGUAUAUCUGAUUUAUUAGGUAAUAUACGCAGGGCUUGCAUAUCCUCCUUUUUAUUUCUAUAGUGGAGGGGUCCGUGAAUUUCUUGGUACAUUGAAGCAGCAUGUUUUUAUUGUGAGGUUGGUUUUAUCUUGCUUCAGAUUUUGUCUUUUGUGUAUUGUUUCUUCAUCUUUUCAUUAUUCAUUUGAGUCCCUGUUCCAUAAAGAAAUUAUGACAACAGGGAAUAGUCAGGGAUAAGGACAACAGCAAUACCAUUAAAUGAACACUAUCUGUGUAAAAUACUAAAAUGACAUCACAUAUAGAGUGGAAAAGUUGACUUGAUGAAAUUUCAUGGUGGGUCUCAAUCACUCUGCUUUCUACCUUGAUAGCCGCUGUUACAUUUUAAUGUAGGAUGGGGUUAUGAUUUGUUAUGACCACCUUAUUACCACGAUCAUCUUAGCACAUACAUAGCCUGCUCUAUGGUUGACUAGUUCUGCAAAGUCGACUGGUUAGCUAAACACCCGACAGGUCGACCUUACCAGAUUACUCAAAACUCAAUAUUGUCCAACAUUACAAUGAUUACAUUUUUGAUUCUUUCGAUAGGUGUGAAAUAGGUUCUUUUGGUGCGAGAACCACAUAAGCAAGAAUAUAUACACUAAAGAAGUCUUUUAAACUCUAAAAUGAUGCGACGAAAUGCUGAUAUACAGUGGAAAAUGAGGUGAUUCAAAUAAUUGAUGUGAAACAAGCAAUGCGUGACCACUCGUUAUAUGGUCUGAGCUUUGAUUUAGUUGCUAUAGAGUUCAGAAAAGUGAUAACUAAAAGUAGGAUCCAGUGGAGAGAGGUUUCUCUUCACUUGUGAGGAUUCAUAUAACUGGUGCUUCUUUGCAUGGGAUUUACCAAUUUAGGUGAGCCGACUUGAGUUGAAUUGAGAUGUUUUCUUGACAUCAACAUUGGCAUUGUCAUUCUUCCUUCUGUUAUUCCUUUCCUUUUCCACUUAAUUUCCUUGUGGUUGAUACAAUGUGCAACCUUGCUGUCCUGUACUCAUGGGUAAUAACUUUACUUUUAGUCCGCUUCAUUCUUUUGUCCUGUGCAUCAGUGUGAGCAAGCGGGCUGUUGUAAAACCUUUACACAGGUUUAUAUGAGGCAUACUUAUCUUUCUUGUUUAGUUUAUGUGGUAAAUGCAUUAAUUUUUCACUUUUGCAGCAUAUGAGGUAACAAGAAAUAUUUGAUGUCCUUAUUGUAAAAAUGUUGAUUUAGGUCUGCGGAAGAUCCAAAUGUUUUUCUUGUGAAUAAUUUUCAGGAUCCUCUGCAGGUGCGUGUUUCAGUGCUUACUAGCAUUCUAUUUCAGGCAACUGUCUGCUUUAAUGUGAUAGUGCCGUUUUUAUACUGUGAAAGUGUAUUUUGCACACUAUGUUAUUACUACAGCCAUAAGGUUUGCAUAUUGAUGAACUUACUCUGUAGAGGUUGCCAUACUCAUUAUAUUACAUAGUUCAACUUGUGAUUUUUUUUUUUUUUUUUUUACCCUGAUGGCUGCUUUUAUUUUCAUAGUUGACUUUGUGCUCGCUUAUCCACUAUCUAGACUUGUAUCUUUUGUUGGUUGUAUGUCUGAUACUUUCCUAGGUUUCUAUUGUUAUUAAAAUAGUCAGUCGUAAACAAGGAUUUAAAUGCCAUGGCACGGGGUCGUGCCGGAAACUUGUUGGCACUGUGUGUGCCAGGUCGUGCCGAUGCAUGCCGGUCACAAAAAGUCAUGUGUGCCAACACAUAAUAGCAUGAAUUUAUUUAUUUUCUUUAGCAACAAAAUAUUCUAUCUGUUUAUUACGUAUUUUUAUCAAAUCUUUUGAACUUUUUUUGAGAAAAUUACUUACUAUUUAAAGAAUAGAGGGUUUUGAGCUGUACCAUCGGCAUUGGGUUUGUAUUGUGUCGACAUCUUGUUGGUACGAUACGGCACGGUAGAUACGACCUGUGCCGAUGGGCACUUAAAUCCUUGGUCAUAAAUAUUAGUUUAUUACCUGGAGAGUCAGCUUAACUUGAUAAUAUGAAGAUUUUAUUUUUCAAUUGAGUUGCAGUAAAGAGUCAGUCAUAAAUAUUAGUUUAUUACCUGGAGAGUCAUCUUAACUUGAUAAUAUGAAGAUUUUAUUUUUCAAUCGUGUUGCAGAACUUCAUGCUAUUGUUUGUUGAUUGUGCUCACUCGUACACAUAUACAUAUUGCAUGGACACCAAAAAUAUGCAUCUCUGUUUCCAAUGGGGAUUGAUUUGAAAAUGAAGUGUAAAUAUGAUUUGAGCUCAUAUUCCCCUUAUGUUACUAAUGUUUGCAGCUUUUAUUUUACUAUUGCAGUCAUUAUUAAAUGGAAUGAAAGACUUAAGGUUAACUUAUUAAAUGUUGGACAAAUAUCCUUGCACUUAAGAAGUUUCAGCAAAAGGAUAAUUGUAUUGUGUUUCCCCUUAAGCUCAUAUUCCCCUUAAGUUACUAAUGUUUGCAGAUUUUAUUUUACCAUUGUAGUCAUUAUUAACUGAAUGAAAAAUUAAGGUCAACUUACUAGAUGUUAUGGUUAUUGUUUUACCAAAACUUAAUUAAGAAGACUAGAAGAGGAUUUGAGCAGUAAUUUAACUAUUGUCUGCUGGCCACGGUAAUAUGGUGAUAGUUUUAUUAAAACUUAAUUAAGAAGGUUAUUGUAAGAGGAUAUGAGCAGUAAUUUAACUAUUGUUUGCUGACCAAGGUUUUAACUUUUAAGUGCCAGUGGUAUGUAGUACAUACUAGUGCUGACUAGUGCUCGCCAGGGUAAACAGUGGCGAACUGCCAUUCUGACUUGUGGCAUGCACUACUUGUGCUGCUGGCGCACUUCCCAUUCCGGCACACUUUGUUAUGGGAUGUUUUAAAUUUUUUUGCCAACAAACUGUUCAUGUUAUUCUUAAAUGAUAAUGUGUACUUUAUUUAUUGAAUUGCUUCUAAAUUUAAGAAAUUCUGUCAAACACAAGAUUUCAUUUGAUUAAUGAUUAAAAUUUGAUUAAAAUAGAAUUCCCUCAAAAUUAGUUAGUGGUUUUAUAUAUUUUUUAAGGCAGAAGGAUGAAUGGAUUUGCAUUAAAUGUUUUAGAUUUGAUGAAAGCAAUUUCAAAUUCAAGGAGUCAAAAUUCCCCAGAUCAUUCCUCAGUUUCAUCAAAUUCAGAUCAUCCAAAAUUCCAAAUGCAUGAAUGUAUAAUAAAAGGUUUUGAGUAUUCAUUCUAAGCUUCUUUAGAUGAAUUUGAGAAAAGAUAGGGCUUCAUGAAUUUAAAAAAGAGUCUCUAGGUGUUUUGACUAUCUGUGGAUUCUACUAUGCUGAGACAAUGUCAACAUGGUAUGACAUGGGAUAUACAAUUAAAUACUUACUACUGAGUACCGACCAACUGAAAACCACUUGAUCUUUUGUUCACAGUUUUCUAGGGAAAAUCCUGCAAAAUAUGUUUGCCAUGCAACUAGUAAAGCCAAUUUGCGUGAUAAAGUUGUAUGCACAGGUUGAAGUUAUGCAUGAUAAACCAUAAGAGAUUGUAUGGGAUGGUGUCAUAAUAGUCAUAAAGUGAUAAAACAAUCGCCAAUUUGCCAUCUAGUUUGUAUCAAGUUGUUAUUUUUGCCUCAGGUAAAGAAAACUAUUCAUCUUUUCUGAAGUCACCAAAUUAUUGUUUUUUCUCUUGUUAAUAUCGAUUUAUCGGAUGUAGCAUUUCUCUACUUUUCAACUCUUUGCCAGACUCUAUACAAUAGGAACAUAGUUAAUGUUUUAUAAGGUGGAACCUUUUAUGCAAUACAACUCUCUCACUGCACUUAUUGUUAUGUUCAUCUUUUGUAGAAAAGCCUGUCGUCACUGGAGCUACCACGGGUUGUUUCCAUUGCAAAUGGAACAUCACUACACAAUUCAAUUAGUUUUGCUUCAGCUGAUAAUUCUGAACAGCUGAGUGGAGUUAGAAAUGAUGGAUCUUCUUCAAUUUCUGAAUAUGGUUCAAGGCAGAAGCAUAGGUCUCAUGACCCUACUCGUGAUAUUUCACUGCAUGUCUUGGAGAAAUUUUCAAUGGUUACCAAGUUUGCCCGUGAAACAACCUCAAGUCUCUUCCGUGAGAAUCAUAUUAAUAGCAUCAAUGCCUAUGAAAAAAAGCAACAAGUCAGGUAUGCUGAGGAUAAUAGUAUAGAUAGUAGGCAUAAGGAUGAGCAAGCAGCUUCAGACAAGGUUUCAGUGGCCUCCGAUCCAUUAGAGGUAACACUAUGUUCUUAACCCUUUUAGAAGAUUCAAGGUUUUAAGCACUUAGAAUCAUUACGUACGAUAGCAGAUUCUGGAUCUCCUUUCUUAAUUAGCCUAUGUAGGACAGUGGUUCAUGUUCAAUUAUAUUAUUUAAUCAUUAUAAUAUCAUUCUGCUUUGUAGUAAUCUAACUUUCAGCAAGAGUUGAUAGAAUAUUAUUCAACGUUGUUCUGUUUUACGAAUUUUUAAGUAAUUGAAAUCUUCAAAAUACUGUUAUAUGUACUCAUUUUUUCUUUUCUUUCUUCCAUUUAGUUGCAUUUUUAUCUUUUGUGUAAUACAUUGUUCUCGGAAAUUAUCAUUUCAUUUAGCCUCUAAUCAGUGACCUUAUGUGUGUUUAUCCUUGCCUCUAAUUGAUCAUUAUGAUCCUUUACAUAACCUACGACUUGUUUUUGUUUAAUCCUUUAUUUUAUGCUUUUCUGCAUUUGGAUGUAUUCUACUGUGAUCUUCUCAAAGAUAGAGACACAGAGAUACCGAUCGAGAUAUUGUAUUUUGUAAUUCACUUCAGCUUCAUAGAGACAUAAUCUCAUCCUUAAGUUGUCACUUAUCUGAAUGAUGAUGUAUUUUACAUCUUUCUAUAUCCUUUUUCAUAACUACCCUGAUGUUUCUGUGGUCAAGCUUCUGUCCAACAAGUUGUAGGUAUAGCAUUUCCUGCUUGAAAUAGAAUUUCCGUAGUUAUUGAUUAUUUUGUUAGAUCAGUGACUACAGUUUGGUAGUUAGCCUAACCAAAAUGCAAUUUUAGCUCCACUAUUUCGGAAUAAUAAUGUUGAUUCUUGCUAUAAUGAAUGACUUAGCAUUUUGUCGACCAAAGCUUUGAUAAAAGUUGGAGGCUGUUUAUGCUUCUGCUCACGAGGCAGUCUAUGAAUUUGUGUUUCUGUGACUACUUUUCGUAGUUUGUAAGUUCUUGGAUAUAUAAAAAAAUAGGAAAUAUCUAAUAUACCCUUUAAAACUUAAAAUAUUAAUAGAAGAGUAAAUUUAAAAAUUUUGAAUAGUAGUCGCGGGUAUAUAAGCAAAAGGCCCUAAAAACAAAUGAAUAUUGCCCAGCAACUGCACAUGAGGGAGCAUAUGCAUUUGUGUUUUCGUAACUAGUUUCUAAGUGCUUGGAUGUAUAAGAUUUCCUCCUAGUCAUGUUCACUAGUCAACUUGGCAUGGAACAUAGAUUACUAGCUAAUUAAAAUAAGACACCUCUAUUCUUCACAUUUUAUUAAUUAUACAUUGUUAAAGAAUAUAAAACAACUAUUAUUCUCCAAAAGCUUAAACUACCAGAGAACGGUAUUUUUAAUAUUUAUAUUCAAUACUGCCCCCUCACGUCUGAACUCAAGACUAUUUGAUAGGCCCAAGACACGGAUUUGAAUUAAAUGGGAGAAAAUUAAAUUAUGAUACGAGUCUAGCGGGUCUCGAACUCAGGACCUCCUACUCUGAUACUAUGUUAAGGAACAAAAACAACCAUUAUUCUCCAAAAGCUUUAGCUACUAGAGACCGGUGCUUUUAAUAUGUAUAUUCAAUAUACUUGACUAAAUUUUAAAAUUUUAGCAUGAUAUGUUAAGCUGUCUUAUCGUCUAUAAACUUAAAACUAUGCUAAAACAAAUUUUGAAUUUCCUCUUUUUUCCUUUUUUUCGUUUCUGCAUAUCUUUUACUCAUCUUAUUUACGCACAUAAUAUAUGAGUGUAUGUUUUCUCACAUAGUUUGGACAACAUUUAUGCACCUAUGUAGCUUACUAUUACUCAUGCUCUAUGUGAUAUCUUGGCCACGCGCAUAUGGCGACCUUUUUCCAAAACAUUGAUUAGCAACAUCAAUUUCCAUUAUAUAUUCAAAGUCUGCUUUUCUGCUUUUAGAUUUAGUUGCUGUUAUAUAGAUGUUGCUUUAUCAAUAAUUCAAUAAUUUAAUUUCUUUGUGGUCUAGCUGCUGUUUUUAUAUUUGGUUGGCUUUGUAAUUGUUAGUUUUUAUUAUUUUGAUAAAUACAAGCGUUGUUGAGCUUUUAAAUUGUCUUAGUGUGAUAUAUUUUGUUAGGAGUGGCGCAUGAGUGGCAAAUUGAUUAUAGAAAAAUUUUGAAUAUGGAAUAAAAUUUUUUAAUCUUUUUAACAGUUCGAGAAAGUUUAUCAGUCUCUCUAAUAAUGAUAAUGUUUGUACUUGUCUCACUAUAAUAUCUUGUUAUUUGUGAUAGUAGUAAACAAUCGUAAGAAAGUAUUAGAGUUUAUUCUUAUAGUUUACUAUCUAUGUUUUUUGCAGUUUGAUAAAUUACCUCUAGUAUGGGGAAAACAAAGAGAACGCCCUCUAUACCUUGAAGAGGUAUGUGCUUUCAGAGAUCUAUAUAAUUUACAUUCCUUCUAUCCUAGAAAUUUUGUCUACACUAUAUUUAAUCUAGUCUAUAUCUAUAGAGCUAGGCUACUAUACUAUGGGUAGCACGGAGGCCUCCGUGCUACCAAGUUGUUUUCAAUGAUACGGCUUCCGUGCUACCAAGUUGUUUUCAAUGAUACGGCUUCCAAAUCGACGAUCGGCUCCGUUAGACAUGAUCUACACUAUUAAAAGUAUUUGGAAUCUAAAUUUCAUAAUUUUUCGACAUCAUUUGACUAGUGAUCAAAAGGUUUCAAAAUUGACAAUUUUAAUGGUAGAUAUGAUGCGUUUGUGAAUUUAACGGUAUAAACAAUCCAAAUUUGAUGAAAUUUUUAUAGAAAAUUCUUUUUACUAUUUAGAGUAAGAUUAGUACCUCUGAUCUUAAAUUCAAGUCUUUUAUUAUCAUUUUUUAUGAGAUUUUUAUUUUCAGCCGUUCAUUUUUAGACUACUCGUUUGAUAGGUAAAUGAUGCCGAAAAAUUAUGAAAUUUAGUUUCCAAAUACUUUAAAUAGUGUAGAUCAAGUGUAACGGAGCCGAUCGUCGAUUUGGAAGCCGCAUCAUUGAAAACAACUUGGUAGCACGGAGGCCUCCGUACUACCGAUAGUAUACCAGCCUAGCUCAUAUCUAUAUCACUUUGAUCAUUUUAUGUUAGAAGAUUAAGAAUAAAAGUCCAAAAUGAGUAUUUUUUGCCCAAAAUCUGAGGUCCAGUUGGAAAAAAGAAAAGCUGUGGUGAGCAAGCAUGUAGUUAAAACCAGUGUUUGAAAAAGCGCGCCUGGGGCGCAGUGCUCUCUUUGAGGCGAGUGCUAGGCUUUAAGCAUGAGGCCCGGUGUUAAAAUUUAAUGGGUUUUGGGCUUGGGUUCUCAAGUUUUGAGUUUGUUAAUAUACGCUAACCUGUAUGAUAAGAAGCAGCAACAAAAGCUGAUGCAGGACGGUUUAGGGAGUUUAGGUGUUUUCGAGAAUUGCUUAAAAUGCGGAUCGAGCAAUUCUUAGAAAUCAAACUAAAAAAAAUAAACGACAAAUCCGGAAAUUCGAAAACUCAAAUAAGAGAUUGGUUAAGGAAAGUUCACACUUUCGCGUUUCCGCAAGGUCGGAUCCAUUGUACGCACGUGGGCGAGUCAAUUUAACUUCCGUCAAUCGUCGGAUUUAGCGCCUUCGUUAGAAUUUCUAAAAUAGUGGAAAAGAGAGUUAGGGUUAGGGUGAGGGAUGGAAUUAGAAAUAGGAUAAUAGAAAAUUAUGGUUUAGAAUUAUCAAAAGAAGGAAUAGAGAAAUUGAAGGAUUCGACGACGACUCCCGCAGAGUAGCUUGAAUCGCAAUCUCGAAUAGAAAAUUGUCGCCGCGACGGCAGGUUUUAGGGGAAUGCGCCUCACCUAGGGCUUCUCCUAUACGGUCUGGUUGUGGGGAGAUCUUGCAGGUGGGUUCUGUGCGGAUAGGUUGAUCUCAACGGCUAUCUUUUAUUUGUAAUGGAUCCAACGGCUAAAAUAAAAUAGAAGAUAAAAGAAAAAGGAAAAGAUAAUCCAUGGGACUUGCUCCCGAGCCGAACUCACUUUGGUCGAUGCUUUCGCGAAGGCAAGAGAAGUUCACGAGGAAUUCAAAUAACUAAAAUUUCAUUAAUUAAAAGCGUACCUUACAAAAGAGACUUGACCUUUAUUUAUAUAGAGAGUAUAGAUUAAAAUGACUAAGAAUAUGACUAGGAGUCCUAAAAAGGAAAUUAAAUAAAUCCCCAUAGCAGAAUUCAAAAUAGAGUUCUUAAAAGGAAUAGAAUUCUAAUCUAAAACUUUCAAAUAAACUGAAAAAAUCCUAAUAUAAUAAACUUCCAAAAUUAACCUACAGAUUUGAAUCAGACUGAGAUUCAAGUCAGACUUCUAGUACCGGUCCCUCGUCCAACAAAUUUUCUGAAUAUGGUUCCGACAACGAGUAUAAGUCCGAAAAGGACCUAGUUCCCCGUCAACUCUCCCCGGCUUGGAAAUAUUCGGCUUCAACGAAUUGCGACUAAUGUAUUCUUCAUAAUGUUUCGGCUCUAUCUUCUGAAGCUCCUUUUUGUGAGCCACAUUGCGUCCUCAUGAGACCUAUACAACCAUUUGACUAAGAAUGUGUGAUUUUCUCCAUCUCGUGUGAAAACAAUCGAGGAUUGCUUCGAUUGCAUCCUUCUUCUUUUGCAAAGAAGGGCUAGAAAGACAAGGUGAAGGUGGAAUAGAACUAUGAAAUGAUGAAAAAUUUGAGUUGCGUAUAUCUUCAUGGUAGGAUGUUAGGUUUUCAAUAUUGAAAAUGGAACUAAUCCCUAUGUCGGGUGGCAAUUCCAACGAAUAAGUAUUAGAACCGAUUUUUUUUAGAAUUUUAAACGGACCCAUUCGUCGUGCAUGCAAUUUCUUAACAGCUCCUUGUGGAAGCCUCUCUGGUCUAGUUCUCACCAUAACCAUGCCUCCUUUAAAUUCUUGAUUCUCCGGUCUUUAUACCCAAACUUCUUUUAAGUUUCAUUAUUAAGAAUUAUUCGUUUCCGAAUUUCACUAUGCAAUUCUCGUACAUGUUGAGCGAAAGAGUCUGCAUGUUCACUGCUUCGGUAACCCAUAAGUAAAGGUACUAGAUCAAUAAGUUAUCAUGGGUUGUAUCUAGUAACAAUUUCAAAAGGACUCAUGCUCUCUUGAAUAAAUCCCUUCCUAACUAGUUCGUCGACUAGUCGUUUCAACUCGGCACGUUCUUUUGGGUUUAUCCUAUAAUGGGGUAGAUUUGGCAAUGAUGCUUUGGGGACUAAGUCUAUGGCAUGUUGAAUGUCUCUCAAGAGGGGAAGCUCGUUAGGUAAGUCCUUAGGUGUUAAAUCGCUAAAUUUAAGUCUCUAAGAAUUGAGGGCAUUUAAGACAAUUUAAGUGUCGUGGCACUUAAAACCUUGGAUUUAAGUGUCGUGGCAUGGAGUCGUGUCGGAAACUUGCCGACAUAGUGCCUGCUGGGCCGUGCCGACGCGUGUCGGUCACAAAAAACACGUGUGCCGACACAUAAUGGUAUGGAAUAUUUAUUUUCUUUAGCAACAAAAUAUUCUAACUGUUUAUUAUGUAUCUUUAUCAAAUCUUUUGAACUUUAUUGAGAAAAUUACUUACUAAUUUAAAAAGGCUUUUGAGCUGUGUCAUUGGCAUGAGAGUUGUAUAGUGCUGAUAUCUUGUGGCACGAUACAGCACGGUGAAUAUGGCCCGUGCCGAUGGGCACUUAAAUCCUUCCUUAUUAGGCAAGCCAUGGAUGUACAACAUGAAUGUCACUCACUACGGUUGGCCAAACACUCAUUGCUUCGUUCACAAAGAGAAAAAGGUCGUCCUAAAUCCCAGCAAGCAAGUCUCCCUUAGAACUUCAAAGAACUCGUCAUGAAUGACUAAAGGAACCGUAGAAUCGAGUUCAUCUAGUGCACCCAAAGUCGAAACCACCAAACCUCUCCACAUCUUGAAUAAGAAAAUUUUUUUGUAGAGUAGGGACGGGAGUUGUGUAUGCACUAGUCACUAGAGAAAUUUUCAAGAACCCUGACACAACUGAGAUCAAGGAUUUAAGUGCCGUGCCACGGGGUCGUGCCGGAAACUUACCGGCAUAGUAUGGCACGGUGCGUGCCGAGCCGUGUCGAUGCGUGCCAGUCAAAAAAAUUCUUGUGUGCCGACACAUAAUAGCAUGAAAUAUUUAUUUUCUUUAGCAACAAAAUAUUCUAACUAUUUAUUAUGUCUUUUUAUCACGUCUGUUGAACUUUAUUGAGAAAAUUACUUACUAAUUUAAAGAAUAGAGGGUUUUAAGCUGUGCCAUCGGCACGGGGUCUGUUUCGUGCCGGUAUAUUGUUAGCACGGUACGGCACGAUAGAUACGGCCCGUGCCGAUGGGCACUUAAAACUUUGCUAAUAUGACGUGCAACAUCCCUACGGGGAACGUCACUCCAAAUUUGGUCCUUGUAUUUGGCAUAGUGAAGUAGAACUAAGCAUCUUUGGGUAACUGGCAUCAAGGUUUUGUCUACUCAAGCUACUUUAUAAGUAGGAUGAGGUUCAAGUUUCAAGUUCAUUCUUUCAAUGGCUGAUUUGGAGACCACGUUCAAUCAACUUCAUCAAUAAUAACUUUGCAAUUGUUACCCCCGCAUUCUGUGUACGCAUGGAAAAUUGUGGUGCAUCUCCAAUUGUUAUCUGACUUGGGUGUAGCUAGGACACAUUGUAUAACCUAUAAAAAGGCAUUUUCAUUCUCAUCAUACGUCUGCUCUAAAUCUUCCUCGUCACUAGCAAUCUCACCUACAAUAUGUUCAACCUCUAGGUUUUCUUAUUUGAGUUGAAUAACCAUAUUUCUCUUAGGACUCUCAUAGGAGUAGUGGCCUAUCUUACGACAGUUUAAGCACCUAUCGUAUGUUUGAUCAGACUUUGGACAUUCGCUAGCUAAAAAUUCUCAUAGCAGAAUUCAAACAGAGUACUAAAAAGGAAUAGAGUUCUAAUCUGAAACUUCCAAAUAAACUAAAAUCCUAAUAUAAUAAAAUGUCCAAAAUUAACCCAUAGAAUACUGCAUCAGACUGAGAUUCAAGUCAGACUUCUAGUACCGGUCCCUUGUCCAACUUAAUAUUCUGAAUACGGUUCCGAUGACAAGUCCGAAAAUGACCCGGUUCCCCAUCAGAAGCUGACAGCAAGCGGCAGCAAGCAGCAGCAGCAGGUAGCAGUGGCUGCAAGCAGCGGCGGCAACAACCAGUAGCAGUAACAAGCAAUAGCAGCAGCAUGCAGCAAGGACUUCGGCAUGGCAUUUAUACUCCAGUUCUGUAAAAAAAAAAAAAAUCUAUUUUGAACCUUUUCUCAGAUGUUUUGGUGAGAUUUAUUUCCCUCUUUUUCCUUCAUAUUUGUUCGAAUGCUUCAUUUUUAUUAAAUGUGCGCCUUGUCUUGUUGAGGCACGCGCUUCUCGCGGUGAGACUCGCGCCUUGACUCCAAAAGGCCUUUGUCCUUUUUCCGCCUUACAUUGCGCCUCAUGCCUUUACGAACACUGGUUAAAGCCUGCAUGCAACCACUGCUUUUCUGGGUCAGACCUGUUGCCGAUAGUGAUUGUUGCAUCCCUUUCAUGUCUAAAUAAAUAAAUAAAUAUUCUCUUGCUAGUUUUUCUAUCAUCUUUUUGAAAAUUUUCUCUGCCAAGUUUGGUUAAUGGCUUUGUAAUCGAGUUUUAAUUCUCUCAUGUUUCUUCUUUUAAAUCAUAUUAAUGACUUUUCAGUGAUUCUACUGCUAUUUUUUUUUUUUUUUUCCUUUUGUCAUUAUUCCUCAAUGAGAUCUCUUAUGCAUAUUUUCUUACUUUGGUUUCAGUGGGCUGCUUUCUUAGAUUCUGAAGGGCGAGUAAUGGAUUCAAAGGCGCUAAGAAAAAGAGUAUUCUACGGUGGAGUUGACCAUGAUCUGAGAAAAGAGGUUUGUGGCUAGUGGUUUUUAACUUCCUGAGUCUCAAUAUUAACCUUUGGAUUUUGUGUUUUUUUCUUUUAAGGUCUGGAAGUUUUUGUUGGGAUACCAUGAGUAUGAUUCAACAUAUGCUGAGAGAGAAUACCUUGCUGCAGUAAAGAAAUCAGAAUACGAAGUCAUUAAAUCCCAGUGGCAGGUUAGCAAUGUUCUGGCAAACCUCUUUUUCGACAUGUAAAAGGAAAUUGCGCAUCUUUCUGAUUUGCCUGUACAUAUAUCUCUGCAUUGGUGGAAGCAAGGAUUUAAGUGCCCAUCGGCUGUGUCUACCGUGCCGUAUCGUGCCAAUAAGAUACUAGCACGAUACAGCUCCGUGCCGAUGGCAUAGCUUAAAACCCUCUUUUUUUUUUUUAAUUUAGUAACUAAUUUUCUCAAUAAAGUUCAAAAUAUUUGAUAAAAUACAUAAUAAACAAUUAGAAAAUUUUGUUGCUAAAGAAAAUAAAUAUUUCAUAUCAUUAUGUGUCGGCACACAUGUAUUUUUUUUAUAGGCACGGUCCGGCAUGCACCAUGCUGUACCGUACCUACAAGUUUUCGGUACGGUCCUGUGCCGCGGCACUUAAAUCCUUGAAUGUAAGUUUCAUUCGAUGAUUAUAUCUGAUCUUUGUGCGCUGCUUGCUUGUAUCCUACGUUGGAUUGUAGACACUUCUAACAGGCAACAGCACCAUAUUUUGCCUUCCAAUGCACUUCCGACUAACUUAACAGAGAGUUUUUUUUCAGGGAUUUUUCCAUAUCAAUAAUAGUGUAAUGGAUAAGUUCUUGCUGUAUUUCUACUUUCCAAUACACCACAUACCUUUGAAGUAUGUUAUGUUAUAUUUUGGUGUCAAAUUGUAAAGUUGGCACCAAAAAUCUUGAAGAAAUAAAAAGACAAAUCUUUCGUUACUCAUUUAAUACACUUUAAUUAGAUUAACUUGCUUAUGUAAUUGGAUUUAACUUUUUUUAUUCUGGCCAGCUUGUUUAUGUACAGAAGAUUAAUUUCCCUAUUGCCAUCUUGAAGAUAAUUUGAUUUUAAUGUUAUAUUUAAAUGUUCCAAGAAGCUUCUGUGAAACUAAGAACCUGUUUGGAAACAUAAAUCUCUCGCUCGGAAUGUCUUUAUAAUUUACUCAAGAAGCUUGUCGUAUCUAGUGGAUAGGAAUGUGAUCAGAUGUCUAGAAUGGACUAGCAUGUUUAGCCUUCAAGUCUUUGCUUUUUGAAUAAGAUAAAUCACCUCAUAGGUGAAAUAUAUUAUUCUACCAAAUUAUGGAUAACAAGACAUUUCAAGGAAAAAAAAGAAAAAGAAAAUCAAACUAUUUACUUGUAAUCACACAAAAUAAUUGUCGUACUGAAUAAUUUAUCCUUGGGAUGUCGGAAGGGGAUCAUGGGCUAGUAUAUUUAAUAUUUUACGACCACCUCCUUGAAAUUUUAUUGGUUUUUCUAGAGGCAUUCGUUUUCCUUUAGGUCUAAUAUCUUCUCCUUCAGGAAAGAUUUCGUCUUGAGGUACAUUUGAGAUAGGUAUUUGGGGUAAAUUUCCUAUAGAGUAUACAGUUGUAGGUAAUGGUACAAUUCUAUUAAAGGAGAACUAGAAGUUGCGGUCGACUGUUCGUCAUUUACACAUUCUAAAUCAAAUUUAUUGACUUCUAAUUUUCUUGUCUGAAAUACUAAAUUACAUUCAUCUUCUAUAUCUUUGACUUCUUCUAAAAAUUCAUCUGCUGCUUCUUUUAGUAAUUUUAUUUCUUCUUUCAAGGUAAGAUUCAUAAUCUUUUCUUCUUCAUAGAGUCUAAAUAUCUCUAUAAUUAUUUCAUCUUGUAUUUUUAACUCUUGUUCUUGUUCUUGUUCUUAAUAUCUUUCAUCAUACCUUCUCUGAUUAUUCCUUAUUCUUUCUACAAUUCUCUGCUCUUCUUCUAUGGUUAAUUCCUUGUCUUCACUUUCAUAACUCAUAGCAAUUGCCCAUUCUAUAUUUAGUUCAUAAAGAAGGAUUUGUUCAAUGUUAACAUUUUCUCUUUCCAUAUUAUGUUGUUCUAUUCUCUCUUAUUAUGACUAUUUCAUUACUAUCUUCAUUAGUAAAUCUUCUUUCUCUUAUUUCAUAGUUAACGAUUCUCUCUAUUUGAACUAAUUCUAGAUUAUAUUCUGAGCUUUCACCAUCUGUAGAAGAUUCAUUUUCUUUAUAUUCCUUAUAAUCAGUAAACCUUACAGAGGUUCUUCCUUUUGUAUUGGUAUACAUUACAGUAUCUAUAGGGGCUAAUAUAGUUUUGGGAAUAAAGUUGUCUAAAUCCCAUUCUAAUCCUGCAUACUGUUCAGAAGUAAUAGGUUGAGGUUUUAUGUCUAAUACCUUCAUUACCCAUUAAUCGUACAAUAUUGUUGGGUUUUACUUUAAAAGAGUUUGGCUAGUUUCAGGAAGUUUUCCUAAGAAUCCUACACACACAAGUAAAUUGGUUCCUCUCAUUUGUUUGGUACAAGAAUUUUCUGGUAUGAUUGUAAGUAGGAAGUUUGAUUUUUCAGUUCUUUGAAAGGUCUUGCUAUCCAUGAUUUUGGUAGGAUAGCAUAUUUCACCAACAACGUGAUUUAUCUUAUUUUGAAAAAAUGACUUGAUGGCCGAAUAAGAUAUUCCAUUCAAAAUAUUUGAGCAUGCUUGUCAUCAUCCAAAUAUACAAAUUUCUUGAGUAAAUCAAGAGGAUAUAUUGAAUACGAUAUUCGUGUAUCCAAACAAGGCCUAAAUAUUUUUAGUGUAUUAUUCCUUGACCAAGAUUCCAACUAGUUGAAUUUCAUCCAUAUGACAGCUAGAUGUAUUGAUCAGUUUAGUAUGUUAUCAAAUCUUCAAAUUGUAGACAAAGUAAUGGCAAAAGUAUCUAACAGCAAAAUCAAGGGUUGCUAUUUAUUUUUGAAAGUUGUUUGGUGGACUGAGUCUCUGCUUGGCUAAACUUCUAGAAUAGCUCUAGGAAACAGAACUUUUUGAACAGGUCCAGCAACGCUAGCAGGCCUAAACGCUUACGUGAUUAGUUAUGUAGUUAUAGCUUACCAGCUAGGACACAAUCCUAAAUCUAAAUGUUUCCGCAUGAUAUGAUAAAGUUUUGGAAUCAAUAUAUAUACUGAUUUUAUGAGUUUGCAUAAGAUAUAUUGCUUAAACUAAAUUUUCAAAUGGCUCCAUGCUUGCACGACCAUCUGCCAACUGACCUGUCUUUGAACUUUGUGUACUAAUGUAAAAUGAUAUUAAAGGUUAUGUAUGCUAUUGACUCAAUAUAAUAACAAAACAAAAUUUAUUAACUAAUAACAAGGAUUUAAGGUUUAAAGUGCCGUGGCACGGGGCCGUGCUGCUGUCUGCUUGGCACGGUACGACACCGGCAUGCUUCGGUGCCGACACAUGGUACGCUUGCUGCUGAUACUGGUACACUUUAGUGCGAACUUAUUUCAGUUUUUUUGAUUCCAAUAAGCUCUUAUAGUGUUAUUUUGAAAGAUUUAAUCAAAUAAUUAUGAAUAUUUGCUAUGUACAACUUACUAUACUCAUCAAUUAAUAUACUUGUAAGUUUUUUUGUAUGUAAAGUACAACAACACCUGAUGCAGAAUAAACAUUUUUAUAGGUUAGAAUUUAAAAAAUGCAAAGACAUCCUUUUUUCUUUUUUUGACCAUAUUACAGUUUUUCUUUUAUAAAAUACAAAAAAUAAUUUUUACAAUUAUUUUAAAAUUAUUUAAAAAAAUAUUUAAAAAAGUAUUUGAAAAAAUUAUUUUUUAAUUAAUUUUUUGCAAAAAAUUAUUAGAUCUAUCAAAAAAAAAGCAAUAAAUUAUAUAAGAAAUAAAUUAAAUAAAUUUAAGUAUCAAUUGAUUUAAUUUAGCUUUUAGUUUUAUUAGCAUUUUUAAUCUUCUAACACAAAAAUAAAUUUUUAUGUUUGAUGUGCCUCAAAAUUUGUUUAUUGAGUUCGAUUUUGUUCCCUUGAUUCGCCAAAAAUUUCGCGUGCAGCCCACCACUGACAUCCUAGGGGGUGCGGGGGGCUUCGUCCCCUACGGUAUGGAUCAAAUAUGUAAAUUAAAAAUUUGCCCAUGUAUUGAUAAACAAGAAAAUUAAAUUAUAAUUUUUUGACUUACCUAACAAGUAGAUUUUCAGUUUGCAAUGUCUUUGGGGCGUGUGGGAUACUUCUUGAUAUCCCAAAGAACAGAACAAAAAGAAAAAAAAGCAAAAAAAAAAAAAAGAAAAGCAAAGAAAAGGUGUGUCGGCACGGCAUAGAGCCGUGGCGGUUCUGUCUCGCGCGAUACGUAGGUUCGUGUCGCGGCAGGACUUGCGUAUCGCUCUGUCUUGCGCGAUACGCAGGUUUGUGUCGCGGCAGGACUUGCGUAUCGCUCUAUCUUGCGCGAUACGCUGGUUCGUGUCGCGGCAGGACUUGUGUAUCACUCUGUCUUGCGCGAUACGCAGGUCCGUGCCGCGGCAUGGAGGGGAGUCCGAACCCUCCCUGUACUAUGCCACCUUCUUGGUGGCAUGGUACGUGCCGCCCCAUGCCGUACGGCACGGGACUACACUUUAAACCUUGGAUUUAGAUGCUCAUCGGUAUGGGCCGUAUCUACCGUGCUGUAUCGUGCCAACAAGAUAUCGGCACAAUACAGUCUCCGUGCUGAUGGCACAGCUCAAGACCCUCUAUUCUUUAAAUUAGUAAGUAAUUUUCUCAAUAAAGUUUAAAAGAUUUGAUAAAAAUACAUAAUAAACAGUUAGAAUAUUUUGUUGCUAAAGAAAAUAAAUAUUUCAUGAUAUUAUGCGUUGGCACACAUGAAAUUUUUAUGACUGGAACGCAUCUGCACGGUCCGGCAUGCAUCGUGCCAUACCGUGCCGGCAAGUUUUCGGCACGACUCCGUGCAACAACACUUAAAUCCUUAAUAAUCUUGAUUUUAGAAGCCAAUUUAGUCAGCCUUUAGCUACAUUUUAAAUUUAGUUCAUUCAUUAAGGAUCGGUCCCUUCCAUCAUUAAGGAUCAUAGACUCUUCCAAAGGCCACUUCAGAUCUUUAGUGACAUCUCUUGGAGAUGUAAGUCGAGAAUUGUUUAUGGUCUUGAUUUGUAUGCGUUCUGCUUGUUUUGAUGAUGCAGUAUGUAUGAACUCAUGCAGACUAAAAUAUUUCCCUGACUUGCAUUAGCUCAACUUAAAAGAAAUAUGGCAAAUCCCAAUGUGAUGGUGAAAUCUAAUAUAUGUUUAUAAUCUAAUAUGGAAACAUUGUCUCAUCGAUCCAUUAGUAAACUAGAUAUGUAAGAACAGAAGCAUCAAUUAUGGUAAUAUGCCAGAAAUAUUUGGCCCAUUUGUGGUUUCUUGAUUGUGGUGGUUGUGGGACUAUUUUUGGAGUGUAAUGAAGGUGGUAAAUUAAAAAUAUUCUGCCGUUGAGAAUGACAUCAUGAGCAUAAUGCAGUUCAUAACCAAAUAAACUUGCUUUCUCUCAUUUGAAAUAUCAGUCUAGUUUACUCUUAUUUUAGCACAUUACUUCAGUUUCUUCUGCGAACGUGUUAUCAUCCAGUUAAUACUUGUUAAUAUGUAUUUUAUUUUGUCACAUUUGCAGAGCAUCUCACCCAUGCAAGCCAAAAGAUUUACAAAGUUUAGGGAACGUAAAGGCCUCAUUGAGAAGGACGUGGUAAAUUAUCCAGCUUUUCUCAAUUUUUCAUAUGCAUUUGUUUCAUUAUAGCAAGAUAAACAGUAUUGUGCUUUAUUAGCUUAUAUGAUAACCUACUAUUUGUUUACAAUGUGAAGGUGAGAACAGACCGAUCAGUUCCAUAUUAUGAGGGAGAUGAGAAUCCCCAUGUUGCAGUUUUACGUGACAUACUGUUAACAUACUCGUUCUACAAUUUUGACCUUGGAUAUUGCCAAGUAAGUUUAGAUAUAGACCUUUAUCCCCAUUCUUCUAAUCUUAAGCUCUCGCUGUUUUGUUGUUUGCAACUUUUUGGUGUCAACUGCUCUCUGCUGUUUACAAAUAGAUACACUUCUGAAUUGGGAACAACUAUGGAGAACUAGAAGUAGAAAUAAUUUGAUGUGCAUUAGCUCCCUUAAAUCAUAGAAAUAAAGAAAACAUAGAAAAAAAUAGAGAAAUCGAAGAAACAAUUCUAAAUUUAGACUCAAAACAUUAUGUUAUACUAGUGAAGGACCCGCGCGUUGUGCCAGGACGAUUUCGUAUAAAUAAAUAAAUAAAUAAAUAAAGUAAAAGAAAUAAAAAAAUAUUUGCUGCAAUAAAAAUAUAAGAAUAAAUUAUAGAAAGUAAAAAAAGAUCUUGUCAUAGUUUACUAAAUUCUACUUGUUGAAAGGUAAUAUUGAUACUAUUAAGUACAACUUUUAGAUAUUUUCGUGUAAAAUCAUGGAGCUUACAUGGAUAGCUUAUAGAUUGUUGUUAAUAUAGCAAUUAUUUUUUAUACUUGACUGGUACUUGUUGUUAAAAUGUACUUCGUGUUGAUGGCCGGGAGUGAUAGGGGCCGGGGAGUACUAUCACUCAGAUGGAGCACCCAAAGGAGGAUAAAUUUGUGAUUACAUGAGAACUACCACCUAUGAGGUCAACCUCUGGUGUAGUAAGAGAUUUUUCUAUGAUAAGAGUGAUGCUAGUAAUAGAUUGUUAUCCUUUUGUGUUUCUGGAGUUGUUUCCUUAAAGAUAAGAUAAGUUGGGAUGUUAAAUUAGUGAUCAUUUUGUAGUUUUAGAAGUUAUAACGGGAGAUGAUGCAUGACAUUUCUUACUUUUAGUUUGUUCCAUCUGGAACAUAGUAUAUGGUUUUUGUCUUAGAUUUGAAAUCAUGGAUUCCUAUUGUGAAUCAUCAAUUUCAGUAUGUAGUUUACCAACUGCUAUUAAUGUUAAUUUUUCUGUUAUUUUCAUGAUCAUCUUUGUUAAAUCUGAGCAUAAGUUUUAUUGAUUGUUAUUAGAAAUUCAUCAUUUUGUCUGUCCUAAAAGUGUAUCUGUAGUCUUUGUGCAUUUUGUAAGUACCUAUUUUUGUAAGAUCUGAUACGCUACCAGUCAAAUUCUCAAAACCAGUUAAAGUUCUACUGGGCAUUCAAUGAAACUACUUUUAGAUAUUUUUCUUGGAUAAAAUUUAUCUAUUGGUCCUUUAAUUUUAAAUUUCUCUGUCGUUGUUGUUAGUAAGCCUGCUUACCUGAUAUCACAAUGAUCUACAGGGAAUGAGUGAUCUUCUAUCACCAGUAUUGUAUGUUAUGGAGGAUGAGUCUGAGUCAUUUUGGUGUUUUGUUGCAUUGAUGGAACGGUUAGGACCCAAUUUUAAUCGUGAUCAGAGUGGCAUGCAUUCUCAACUUCUGGCAUUGUCCAAGGUACCUCUCAACUCACAUUUCGAAGCUCUGUAUGCACAAUCAGAUGGUUGUCUUUUGAAUGGUACAUUUUUCUUUUCUUACUUUGUUUUUAUUGUUGCGUAUUAUCAGAUAUUUUGUGGAAAUCUCAGUAAAUCCAUAAACUGAUGAAUAGUUAAAUAAUAAAUCUUAGGAAUCAAUUAUUCUUUUGUGUCUCACUAGUCUAUGUGUGACACUUUGGGUGAAAGUACCUGUGCAGGAGUGUUGUGGACAGAAAUUGAACCCGGUAGUAUUGUUGUAAACUGAAAUUGAGGGCUCAAAAUAGCUGUCCUGGUUUUGGUCUGGGCCCCUAGUAUUUUGAACUAGAGGUUUUGUUAAUUUCAAGCAAUCUGUAUGAAUUGAAACGUCUCAAAAAUAUUCACAGGAUCACAAUAAGUAAGGAAUUGAAUCUAGUCAUAUCAAGCAUAGUUUCACAAUAUUUUGGUGCAUGAAUAUGACAUCAUAAUUUCCUUCUAUAGCUGUCUAUCACUAAUAAUGGAAAAUAUGCAAAGAUUAUUAGAAUUUGAUCUUCAGUGUCUGAUCUUCCGUAACUGAACUUUUUUUGUGACACAAUCUAUCUUAAAGAUAAAUGUUAAAUUUUGAUCAGAUGCCCUAGUCUCUAAUCAGCACUGAGCCACUGACUGAAAUCGAAACUGGUGGAGACCAAACAUUUUUUGUUUCUGCCCACAGCUUUGGCCUGAACUUUAAAUGAUGCUGAAUCUACGUUACUGUAGAAUUUCAGGAUAAUCUGCAUCUUUUAGGCCGGGUUGACGUAGCCCAUUCUGACUCGACUUGUCACUGCAUCUGUUCUUUCUUAUCCUGACAACAAACUAUUUUGCUUUGUUGGCUCAUUUAAAUUUUCAAUUCAAAGUUCAAAUUUAAAUGUUAAUUUUAAAUUCAAAUUUCAUAUUAAAAUUCUGAUUUUAAAUUUGAAAUCAAAUUCAAAUUCAGUUUUUGAAUUCAAAUUUUAACUUCAAAUUCAGUUUUUGAAUUCAAAUUUUAAUUUCAAAUGCAAACUUCGAAUAAUUGAAAUUUCAAAUUCAAAUUUAUUCAAUUUUGAAAUACAAAUUUAGAUUUCUGAAUUCACAUUUUAGUUUAAGUUUUAAUCCAAACUAUAAUUUCAAAUUUAUAUUUUGAUUUCAAAUUUUAAAUUCAAAUUCAAAUUUUCAAUUCAAAUUCAGAAUUUGAAUUCAAAUCUCAAAAUUUAAUUCAAAUUUUAAACUUAAAUUUGAAAAUCAAAUCUUCAAAAUUCAAAUUGAAAUUCAAGUAAAAAUUCAAAUUUUGAAUUCAAGAUUAUAUAUUUCAAUUAAAAGAGAAAUCAAAAUUUGAAUUUAUUUUGAAUGAAAUUUGAGGUGAUUGGGGUGAGAGGGGUAACUUCAGAAAUUUUCAUAAACUAUAGGAUUACUUGCAAUUAGUAAUGUAAGAUAGGUACAUCCGUCCUUGGUAAUAUUUUUGGGGUAAUCUUGCACUGUUAGUGAUCCUACAUUACUGAAAAAUUACACGGGGAAUGAAUCAAAUGCAGUAAUCUAAAAUGAUUUCUGUAGGAUUAUCAGUAAUCCUGGCAGGAUAGCUUGAACUAAACGCGCUCAUAAGGUCUGGCAGGAAUCUCAAUGAUUGAUUCUUAGGGCAAAUGGCUUGGUUAGAUUGCACGGACUUGCCGACGAUAAGUUCUUCCGAGCUUGUCAGUCUUCCUUUUUGGUAUUUGUCUUUUUCUUUGGGGGGUUGUGUGAAAGUGGAAUUCUGAAUGCUUAUUUGGGUUUAUGAUCAGUGAAUGAUUCACCUAGUACUGCGUUUAUUAUCUAAUUGGUCUAAAAUCAUCAAACUUCUUAUUUCUGUUGUCAAUUUGUUCGAGUCAAAAGUGAUGAGGCAAUUUUAAGUUAUAGGAUUUUCAAAGUAAAGAUAAAUUAUUCACUGAAGUUAUGGGAUGAUCUUAAAUCCCCCAAAACUUCAAGCCAUUUCUUGUAGGGGCAUUCUCAUUAGUUGGAAUGUAGCAUUUCUUUGUUUUGUUCAUACAGUAAUAUAAUGUCAAAAUGCUAGGAAUAUUGAAUUAUUGUGUUAGAUUUGCCACAUCCCCAGUAAUCCUUUAUAGUAACACAUAUCAACCACCACUCAAACAAAAUUAAAUAACGUACAUUAUAAAAAAAAUAAAAUCUAAAGUUGAUUUUUAACUCAACUUUAGAUUUUUUUUUUAGUUUAAACUUCAAAUUUUGAAUUAAAAUUUCAAUUCUGAACUAAUAACUUUUGGACUAAAUAUUUGCUUGAAUUUCAAAUUGAAUUUGAAUUUGAAUUGUGAUUUGAAAUUUAAAUUCAAGUUUUAUUUUCAAUUUACAAAUUUAAAUCUGUAUUGAGUUUUUACUCAAUGUAAUUUGAAAGUUGAAUUCAAAUUUUAUUUUAUGUUCCAAAUGAAUUUUAAUUGUGAAUACAGUUUUAUAUUGUAAAAUUAUGAAUUUAAUUUAAUAUUUAAAAUUUUAAUUUAUAAUUUAAAAAUUACAUUUUGAAUUGUGAAUUUUUAUUUUAAAAUUUGAAUUGGAUAUAAUUUUUAAUUUGAAAUUUAAUUUUAAUUUAUAAAAAUACCAAAUUUUAUAUAGAAAGGGUAACAUACGAAGUUUGAGAAAAAAUAAGAUUACUCACGAUCAGUAAUGUAAGACACGCACCCUCUAGGUAAUCAGAUUACUCCUUUUUGGGUGCUUCUGAUUAUUUCCAUAAUGCAAGAUUAUCUUGCAGAUUUCUGAACCAUAUCAACCAAAUGCCAUAAUCUUAAAUUCUCUUUCAUAGUCCUUGCAAGAAAACACAAACCAAACUUCUCCUUAUUGUCAAGUUUAAUUGAUAUAGCAACUAUAGUUAUUAGCUUACCUUAAUGCUCAAUAAUAAUAAUGAUAAUUAGCAAGGGAUAAUUUAUCAUGGGUAACUAUUUAAAGCCUUGCAAUUCAACCUCCCUCUUUAUCCUGCCGACCCUGAGAAUUCAUCAAUGCACUUUCCAAUUCUGCCAUGUACAUGAUAUCUUCUCUGAGUGCGGUGAGAUAUUUGUUGCAUGGUUCCAUACUAGACCUCUGCGACUUUGGUUGCUGAAGAAGUGCCACAUAAAACUUCUGCUAGGCACGUGUGACGCCCCGCUUCCAAGAGGGGUCACCCAUCCUAGAACUACUCUAGCCCUACACUUGUUCAACCCUUUUAAUCUCUUAGAUCUAGCUACCGCCCAAAAAUACUAUAGCUGGGAUAAGAGAUUUAGCCCUACUAUACUUUAUAUAUAGGACUAUUUCAAAUCCUCAGGGUGUCACUGUCACGCUCCGGGACCCAGCGGAAGCCCGCCCGGUGCGUGUCCAGACCCGCCAUAUGCCUACAACAUAUAAGGCGUUUACAACAAAGCGAUAAAUAAAACAAGAAUAAACAAGUAUCUAGAGAUAUCAGAGCAUACAACACUAGAUUCUAAUGACAAGAGGAAAAGUAAAAGAACUAAUCCACUAAUAUAAGCCAUAAAGUAGUACAACAUAAAAUUCCAAAUACAAGUGCUAAAAGUACGACAAUGAUGGUCUCUACAUAAAGGUACGAAAACUCACACUCUCUACACUAAGUACAAAAUAGAGAGAUGAAUCACCUAGUAGAACAUACUCCUCGCUAUCUAGCUAGUAGCGAUCCCUUUUCCGCGAUCCCGAACCUCUCCCGGGGUGGAUGGCUCUGUAAAAACAUCAACAAAACAGAGGGCGUGAGAACUAUUAAUGUCAUGCCCCGGGACCGAUCCCUUUGGUCUGUCCGGGCAAGUCGAACAGACGCCGAACGGACAGAGCCUCUCCUGUCCGCCCAAGGCUCAAUACAUGCACAAUUCAAGCAAAGAGAAUGCACAAGCGGAAACAUACAAAAUGGCUUACACGGGGGUAAGCAAUAGCCAAAGUGAAAGAAUACUAAUCUAUGCAACAUACGAGUAGAAUGAUUCACUUUAAACCAUUUACAAGCAUUCACCUUUACAUUCACGAUUCUUUUACCAUAUACAUGCUUUUCAUCAUUUCUUUUUACAUCACAUUUCCUUAAAAUAGAAAGCUUACAUUCAUUCUUUAACAUCUCUAAUCAUCAAAUACAAAAGAUGUUAUAAGGGUAUGCUGCUAGCAAAAUAUGGAACCCGACUCGGGUGGCCUCUGUUUAUGGCGCGAUACCAUUACCGCGAUCGUCCGUUGGCUCACUCAGUCCGGGCUCUGUGGAAAUAGUGGGGUGAGAACUACAACGAAGUUCCCAAUGGGUUCGGCCCCCAAACUUGCCGACUUUCCCACUAUGUCUAAAUCAGGCAUAAUAAAAAGAAUAAGCAGAUAGAUAGUAGCCGAGCUAUAACAAAUGCAGCUAAUAUGCCUGAACAAUAAUACUCAAUAAUCAUGCUCAAUGAAAUAUUCAUGAUGAAUGCAAGUUCUUGGUUCACAUUGUUCAAUCUCAUGGCUAACCCGUAGGUGUCGCCCAAGUAACUCACCAACUCGUAAUCCCAAUUGUCGAGCGAGACUACUACAACUCGAUAGGGACCGUCCUCUGGGGAGACUACUACACCCAGUGAUGACUACUCCGGAGCUCAUCGCUCGAGGGGGUGCGACCCCCCUCAAGCCAAGACGUAAGGCGAGUAUGAUCCAAUCCUUAACUCUAAGGAUGUCAAGUUCAAUCCAUUCCUUAACUAUAAGGAGACAAUGCACUUAUGACUCUUUAACUCUAAGGUUGUCAUGUCAUAAUGCCAACUCUCACAUGCACUUGCAUUUUCUACAUUCCUUUAGUGUCAUUUACACUACAUGUUCUUGGUUCUCAACUCUAGCAUUCAUUGCCCAUUAAUGUCACUCUUGUUCGCUAAAGGUCAAUCACACUAACUCUAGUGUCAAGAUCUCAUUAAUGCCACACACUAACUCUAGUGUUAUCUUUUCAUUUACUAAUGCCGCUCGAUCUAUAUAUCAUAGUGUCACAUUGUUCUUUGUCUUAACUAGGUUUUCAUAUCUCAUCUCAUGCAUACUUAGGGUUCUUAGGUUCUCAACCGUCUCAUAAUGCAUUUGUACUCACAAUAUGCAACAACUCACAUAAUAAUCUUCUCAAUUACCCUAAUAUGCAUGAUUCAACAAUACACUUAUGCUUAAUAAGUGACACAUUAGACAUAAAGAGAAGUUCAAUGAUUUUGAGAAGCACCACCCACCUCGUAGGCUUGCUAAGGUGCUCGGGUUCAAAUUUCACGAUUUUUAGCCACCAAUUUCCUUGCCUGCGGCAAAACGAAGCCAAAUUAGGCUUUUUCGCUCAUAACUUCGCAUAGACUUUUCGUAUCGACGAACCGAGCGCACCAACGUGUCGGAAAUACCCCCAAUUAGGUUUCUAUAAGGUCAAUUUGUCUUUAAAACCAACCAAUGCAAAAGCCCCAAUUUGGGUGCCCUAGCUAUAGCUUACAUAUAAAACCCUUGUUUUGAUCUUUAAGAGAAGCAAAGAAAAGCUCAUUAACUCCUAGAGAACCCAUCAAAACCAUUUCUAGGUCCAUUCAAACCCAUCUUAGGGUUCUACCAUGAGAAGGGGCAAAGCUUACCUCAAAGCUUUCCCUUUUCUUGUGCUAGGGAAGAAGAAGGAGAAACUCCACCCUUUUGUCUUCUUCUCCACCAAGCCCUCCUCGCUCCACCUUCUUGAGAGAGAGAGAGAGAAUCCUAGAGAGAGAGAGGGAGAGAGUUUUGAGAGAGUGUAAAUGAGAGGAGAGAGCUCUCACCCCUCCCAUAAGACCCCACUCAUGUAACAUUUGCCAAAACACCCCUCAACUCUCACCUUAAUACACUGCCCAGAUUGGGCCCUUUUCGCAUACGGGGACCGGUCUCUCCCCUCAGGGACCGGUCCCCGAGAGCUAUUCUCUUGGGACUUAGCCAAUUUUCCCACUUCUGGGAUUCCACGCGCACGGGGACCGGUCUCUCCCACCAGGGACCGGUCCCGGAGAGCUAGUCUUGCAAUACUUAACCGUUUUCACAAUUUUCACACCUACGGGGACCGGUCUGUCCCACCAGGGACCGGUCCCCGAGAGCUAGGUUGCGCGCAGAGUUUUCUGCCCAGCCCAACACGCGUACGGGGACCGGUCUCUCCCACCAGGGACCUGUCCCCGAGAGCUCAAAAGCUGCAGUUUGCAGAUUUUUGAUUCUCUAGCUCUCGAAGAUCCCCUACAAUGCACUUUUUGCAUUUUAGACGCCUUCGGCCUUUCCGAAGCGUCCCAACCUCGCACUUUGGUCAUUUUGACUAACGAACGAUAUUUGUUUAACGAGGUUUCGGUAUAUUACAAUUAAAUAAUAUUUCCCAGUGGGCAAAUCGCCGACCUUCGCAAAAAACACCACUAGGCUGAAGAGGCAAAAGUAAUAUGUUCGAACAUUUAAAUGAAAUGUACAACAUGUAUGUUAAGCAUGGAGUAAACUUACUAAACUACUGUCUCUACUUAGCAUGAAUUUUCACAUGUAUAAAUGCUAUUCUACAUGAUUAUGCAUAAGUAUAAUCAACAUGAUGUCCACAAGUACAGCUAGUAAAAUGUCAUUGUUUACUAAUUUGUCUAAUGUUCACUUUGCUUUUUGGUUUAUUAUUGUUUCAAUCAUAAGGGACCUAUACAAGGGUAGUCCGGCUUGCGCCGUGCCUAAUGGCCCCGUGGUAGUUAACAUUCCCACCUUAGGAAUUAGCCUCUUCCACGGCAUCCCAUUUCGGCGCCCAAUCCCGCACAGGCGAGCUUAUGUCGCGAUGGCUAUCUCCGGAGUGCUAGCUUGUGGGGAGCCACCCUCACAAGCAUGUGCGAAUGAGCACAAUGGCAAGCAAGCGAAAUUAUCUGUUUCAAGUCCAAUGUCAUCAUGCCUAAAACAUGGUAUAAAAGCUAGUGAUUCAAAGGCCUAUCACUAUGUCAUCGUGUAGAAGUUUAACCAUUCACUAGGUUGAAUGCCUCUUUAUGGCAUUUUUGUCCACUAUGUCAAGCAUGAGUUUUAUAUCCAAGAGCAUAAUAUUCUAGUCAAUUUCAUCACAUGAGAUAUGAUUCCCAAUCACAUAAAAGAAUGCUAUUCAUACGCAUGGUUACAAUGCACAUAUCUCUACUACAUAGAGGUGAUUUUUCAUAAAACAUAACGUAUGCAUUUUAAGCAUUCUAAAAUUCAUAUAUGCUCUAUCUAGCAUGACUAUGCAUGAAUUUCUAUUUUUACAACAAAUAAAAUAACAUAGGGGCAGUUUACCCAUUUCGGUGAGGUUAAACCCACCAAGAACUCCUUGCAACUUUUUCGUUUGCGCAAAAGAAGGUGUCCACUAGCCUCGUAGCUCCCUAAAGGAAAUUCUAAGAGGGAUAAGUGAAACGAACGAACACUACAAGUGUCAAACUUUAACCAACCCAAGAAAAGGGCAAAAUGGUGAAAGUCUCUCUCAAUCUUCAAAUGAGAGCUAGAACUCUUCAAAACCAACCUAAAGGAAGGUUCCAAAUCAAUCAAUUAAGUUUCAAAAGCUACAAAUCAAAAAUCCCCAAAUAAACCCUAGAUUUUACAUUUCUAGGUUUUCAUCUCAAAAAUCCUUCAAAAACUUGAUCGAAAGAGAGGAUCAAGGUUACUAACCUUUCUUGAUUCUCCAAACCUAGCUAGGAUGGUGCUAGAGUUGUAGUUCCCUCUUCAAACAAGCUCUAAACAAUGCUCCAAAGCUUCACCUAUGGAGAAAAAGUCACCAUCAUGCCAAAAGGGGAGCAAAAGAGGUGAUUAAUUCUCCAAAAAACCAAGAAAAAGGGAAGAAAAUCAAAGAGGGGAAGUGGAGAGGCCCCCUACCUGGUUCUCCACUGUUCCAAGCUCAGGGAGCCCUAGAAGGGAUGUGGGGUGCUUUAUAGAGUUGCUACAAAUGCAAAAACACCCCUAAAAAACAAGGAGUCUGCAUACUGCACUGCGUACCGGUGACACGGGAUUUGGUAUCGGUACCAAGCAGCAGCAUGCGCAAACUCGAGCCUCGGGUUUGCGAGAAAACGUACUGGGUAUCGGUACCAGCCCGAUGCAGUACCGGUACCAGGUCCAGUACCGGUACCAGGUUGAUGCGGUAUCGGUACUUUGCCCUGCAGAGUCAACCCGAGAGCAGUCCAAUUUCUUCAUUUUUGGGACUUUGGCGCUAAGUGUUAAACCUCACUUCUCGGGAUGCGAGUCAUAGGCCGGUACAUAGUCAACGACGCUCCAGAAUACUUAGAAAGACUCGGAACACAGAUCAAACACUCGAAUCUUGCAAUUUGCUAAAGUUCAGUGUGUUACAGUCACAUUCCUCAUACCCUCCUUCCCUCCCCCCUCUUUAAGCACUGAUAUCCCUGCCAGGCUCAAGCAUACUCACGCACCAGGCGAUAUGAGAAUCGUCGUCUCGCUAGCCUUAGCCGAUCUUGUGGGAAGCCGCAUCCGCUAGGAACGGUUGUCAACCAGGGAGCCGCACUUUUGCCAACUGUGUGACUUUGGUUCAGCUGAGACUCAUCUCACACUUUCGAUUGGUGAUUGCCGCUGAUAUCAACUAUGACGGCCCGCUUCUCAGGGGGUUCAUCCAUCAUAAAACUACUCUAGUAUAAAGACUCGUUCAACCCUCUUAACCUAGCAGUAGCAUUUUGGGUCAUGACUAGUGCCACAGUUGGUAUCAGAGCCAAUCAUCAGCCGGAAGUGUGAGAUGAGUCUCUACUGAGGCAGAGUCAUAUAAUGGGCACGAAUGCAGCUCCCUAGCUGACAACUAUUGUGGAUAGAUCACGACUCACACAGAGGUCUGCUAAUGCUAGCAAAAUGAGUAUCACAUCGUUUAGUACUUACGAGUGUAUUUGAGCCCGACAAGAAUGUUGGGGCUUAAAAGGGGAGGGGGAAUGUGACACCUCUAGAACUUGAAAGUUAUAUAUAUAAGGUAUAAUAGGGCUUAACCUCUUACUUGGCUAUAACAUUUUGGGCUAUGGUUAGGCCCAAGAAGUUAAAGAGAGUUGAGCGAGCCUAAAGCUAGAGUAAUUUUAAGAUGGGUGAACCCUGAUAGAAAGUGGGGUGUCACAACUUUCUUGUUGUCCUCUUUUUAAUAUUUGAAGCUAUUUAUAAUUGUUAUAUUACUAAGUUAACUUUCUUUAUUCAACGGGUUUACUUGUUUUCUAAUUUUUCAAAAAUGCUGGAUUUGUUCGCAGGAACUUUUUUUAUAACAUUUCCCAAUAAUUAUACUUUUUUAUAACCUUGUUUGACAUCGUUGUUGUUUUUUGUUUCUUUAAACACUAAUUUUAUGUGAGUUGAUUUACUGGCAGAAAAACUUUGUUGUUGUUGUCAAGAUUGGUUAGACACCUGGCCAAGUGAUGGAUGAGAAAUAUAUUUCUAAAUCUUAAAAGAAAAAAAAUAGUGUUCAAUAUUUUUUUUUUAAUUUUUUUUAUGGGUUGCCAAACAGCUACCUUGAAUGUAAGGAUUGCAGCAAACCAUCAUCCCCUCCACUAUUUCUUGUAGAAAUUCUGUUCAAAAAACAAAAAAAAAAUGGCAACAAGGUCAAACAAGGCCUAAAUUUGUUGUCUUGUACCCGGGUUGCUAAUGUAAUUUGGCUUCUGGAAUGGCAUUGUUGACACUCUUUUCUAUCUAAGAGCAACAUUUUUUUUUAAUUGUUUUUCAGUUGGUGGAGAUUCUUGACAGCCCUUUGCACAACUACUUUAAGCAGGCCGAUUGCUUGAACUAUUUCUUUUGUUUCCGCUGGAUUCUUAUACAGUUUAAAAGGUAAGCCUCUUUCAAAGUAUAAUUCCAUACAAGUCAUGAUGCUCCAAGUUCUGCUUUCUUUUUAUUUCAACGUGUAAUAGUUUCCUAUUGUAGCUUGUGAAACCAAAAGAUACUGGACAAUGUGUAUCUGAGCGAUACACUUAAUUAAAUAUAUUUUCAUGGAUGAAAUUUGCUAUAUGGAAGGUUUCCUUCUGGAUAAUUGAUCAUUUCUCUUUUGAAAAUUUCCUCGUGGAAUCAGGUUGGUUGGUUCUAGUAUUUGUCAACCAAGUGAAACUUUAUGCUUGCUAUUAUCUUUUGGUAGACAUGAAUGGAGCUUCUUCUGCAUUUCAAAACAAACUUUGUUAGCUUUUCUUAUACCAACCCUAGCAAAGAGUGGCGUAAGGCAGCAAAAACAGUGGGCUGCGAAGUUGUUUUUGAAAAUUUUCUUGCAAGGCUGAUAAUUCUUCCAGAGUCCUCUUCUGUAUAAAACUCUAGCACAUCUUUAUAGGUGUUUUCCUGCCGUAUCACAAUAUCUGAUGCUGCGACCCCCUUUUCACUCUCUCUUGUGUUAUUACAGGGAAUUCGAGUAUGAUCAGAUAAUGCGAUUGUGGGAGGUACUGUGGACGCAUUACCUGUCGGAGCACUUCCACUUGUACCUAUGCGUUGCAAUCCUGAAGAGGUACCGCAAGAGAAUCAUGGGGGAGCAGAUGGACUUUGAUACCCUCCUUAAGUUCAUCAAUGAGCUCAGUGGCCACAUCGAUCUUGAUUACUCCUUGAGGGAUGCUGAGGCUCUGUGUGCGUGUGCUGGAGAGAGCGGAGCUGCCUGUAUUCCACCCGGGACCCCACCGUCCCUUCCAAUUGAAACCGACGGUGGGCUUUAUCCACAAGAAGACGACGUACUGUGAAAAUGUUUCAACCUGAAACUAGAUUGUUUAGAUUUACUUUCUGAUUUUUAAGUACUUUGGCGUAUUAUAUGAAUCGAAAUGAUAUUCUGUAAAUAGAUAAUGGUGGGGUGACUGCAGUGCUUUGCACCAUACGCAUGUAUUUGUUUUCAUGAAGAAUCAAUAAGUAGAUUAUUUGAAAUUAUACUAGGGGGUUGUAGCGUCAAGAUGAAAGGAGAAAAAAAAGAAACAAGAAAAGAGUAAUAUCUAUUUUUGUUCAAAACGAAGCUGAUAUUCCAUACCAGAGCAAAUCAGAAUUCUUCUCUCUAGGUUACGGACAACAGUUUAGGGAGAAAGACUUGGUUUAUUCCAUACGCAGCGAUCCCGUGUUUAACCUAAUCAAAACGAAAUCAUCUCUGAAAGAGGCGUACAACGCUACACAGCCCACGUUUCUUUAAUUGUACAGUGCGUGACUUUGGAUGAACAAAGACUCGAAUCUAUACACCGAGAAUGUAGCAUCAAUUGCAGCCACCUCUGCAGCAGACAGCGGCCAUCACCAACUAUCCGCAUCUCUGUGAGUUAUGAAACCUAGGAUCUAGUAGGUUAUAUUAACGCUGGAGGGGGAUAAAUAAGUUGUAUAGCUCAAGAAUAAAAUAAACUUGAUGCAAUCAAAAGUAAAUGCGGAAAAUAAAAAUUAGCACAUUAAAAUUUAUAUAAGAAAAUUAUGUAAAACCUUCAAAUAGGAGUAAAAGGAGUAAAACGCCAUAGGAUUGAAAACACCAAAAUAAUCUUGUCAGGCCCCGAUUCUAUCGCGGAAGCCUAUGGGGAUGUCAACAGAUCCGUCGAAAAGACGGAAUUUUUUCUGUCCGAGCGAAGCGUCAAUAAGGCAAAACAGUAGCAAAGCAAUUCUAAUCCCAGAAUCAACAACGAACAAUUUGUAGACUCUACAACUAAGAUUCAACAUGUAUCAGAGCAUUAUAAAUAACAUAAAACUACUAUACAUCCAUUAUACAUGAAAUCACAAUUGGAAAAUAUAAAUAUAAAAAUAAAAUGCCAUGACCUCGUCAGUCCUAAUGUACAGUACAUAAUCCAAAAACUAACUAGCUGAGUGCUUCUGUAUAGCUCAUAGACACAGGUAGGAGUCGCUCGCUAUCUACGGUGCGAUCCUCUUACCUGGAACAACUACCGGCUCACAAAACCCUGAAAAGUAAACUACAAGAGAGCGUGAGAACUACUAAACAGUAGUUUCCAGUGGGUACGGUCAACGACAACCAUAGCUCACCCACUAGGUCUACUCGGAGUAAAGAUAGGUAAAGAACUGAAUAACAAAUAUAAUAACCUGAAUAGAACUCCAAUCACGUCUAUCAUGCUUCUACACAAUACUACCUUGCCAUGCAAUCAGCUAAAGCACCCAAUAUAAAUGUAUAGUGUAACGUAAUCAUAUAUGUAACUAACCCUGUCAUGCAUCAACUAGAGUACUAAUAAUAAAUGCAAAGUAUCACCCACUCAUACACAUCUAACCCAAUCAACACACUGUAACCCAAUUAUAAACUGACUAACUCAAUAGUUCGAUCGAACCUGCGCCCGCCAAUUACCCAGACUACGCUUCCGUAGGUGCGUCCGUCAACACGUAGGCUAUGCCUCCAGCCCGGAUACCACUCCCAUAGGUGGUCUGUCUUUCCAAAAGGAAAUAUCUCUGCUAAAUCACAACUAGCACUCCGGAGUGAAGAGCCGGGACUGAUUUUAAAAGCCCUUUAUUAAUGAAUACCAAUUUUGAAAUCAGAGUUACGAAAAACGUACCUUUUUUUUUUUCAACCUGGCCCACGUGACGUACAGACCCGCCACAAAUAUAAAGUUACUCUGUCCACUCUGACAGAGUCUCCUUUGUAUUUGCACGGCGUACCAACAACAAUAUCAGGAUCACAACAAAAACUUAUAUUCACCAAUCCAAAAACAAUUCAUGCGAUACAUUUCCAUACAGCUAGCGAUCCUUAGAGAUGAUGCAUGCCUCUAAACACUCCUUAGGCGCUAGAUGAUGCGAUACACAGUACAACAGUCAUCCUAUUUGAAAGUGCUCCCCAUCCGAAAGCUUUAUUUUUAAACUCUAUUCAUUCAUUCAUAAAAUUCAUUCGACAAUCUUUUAAAAUUGUUUCCCACUCGGAAACUCCAUUUUGAAAACCGACUACCUCGAGGGGUAGAAAAAUCACGAUGCAUAAAUCCAAUGCCAAAGAUCCAUAAAUCUCCAAUUAUUCCACAAAUUCCGUUUGCAUGCAUAAAAGGAAAUCACCAACUCAAACAUUUCACAAAUACUCAAACAGUAGUAUUCAGCAUCUAACUCAACCAUUUAAUUAUUUAAAUUACUAAUGCGGAAAUGAAAUAUAAUCAGGGUGACGAUUGCUACUGUAGCCUAGCUAGGACGUCCUCCUAUCGAGCCCAAAAGCCAAUUCCUUGUCCGAACCAUCUGGGGAAAUGGGGGGUGAGAAAACACAAUCAAGGUUUCACAAUGGGUACGGCAGAGCUACGAAGGCAAAUCGUAUUCAUUGGAAAACAAAGGAGAUAGAACAACAUAUAUGAUAUGAUGUAAGAGCAACUACAAUAGUAAUAGAAAUAGGAUAGUAAAUGAGUAAGAACCGAACUACUACUAUAACAAAAACUCAACUGAGCAAAUGCAUCAAGGUAUAUAAUCCAAAACCAAACCCAAUUUGGUGCCUGCCAUAUUGGUCCGUAGACCUCAAGCAUUGCCUGUUACAUUGCUUGCACCGACCUGAUUCAUCCGUCCACUGAACGAUCUAUCCGGAUAAGUACACCUCCGGUCGGUGGCCAACCCGACCUGGUAUCAAUGAAUACACCAAAGUGCUGUGAUUAAGUCAUGCUGAUAUGCUCAAUGCGAAAGCCGGCUGAAGUUGGUGCCUUCGCCAAAGCCAGAUAUAAGGGCGUACAAUGGCGAACCACGAUCAACUAGAUCGAAACACACGACAAAGGAGUCGAUGUGUUGCCUGGACCCAAGGUCCACAGAUAUACAACAUAUGCAAGCCUGCUCUACAUGUCUAUCCACAACUAUCAUCAUGCAAUCAACAAGGUAUAUAUAAACAAACGAUAAACAAACGUAAUCGACAUGUAGAGACUACGAUACUGAUAUGAAAGAAUAGAGGAAAGUGAAACGAUCUCACUGACUACCAGCUCGAAGCACCCACCUUCACUAUCGCGUCGAAAACCUAGGUGCGCAACAAGUCAACCGGAUCUACGAAGAUCCACCGGAUCAGUAACCAACCCACCAAUCCAACAUACUCAACUCACAAACCCCACACAAAUCCCCAAAAUCGGUUUCCUUAAACCGAUUACCGUAACUUGCCAGAAGUCCCGAAAAUCACACUGGGACGCCGUCGGGACCCACUAAGUGUCCCGAAACUCACCGACUCGUGUCAUGAGUCACCCGCUGCCACAAAACACAUCGAUUUGGAUGUCUUGGCAGCAAGCACAAGGUAACACAAACAAAUAAUUAUCGUCGGAUAAUUGUUCGGAUCCGGGUUUCCAGAAGUGCCAAUUUCGACACCAGAACCCACCGUUGUUAAGUAUUUUGUAUUGGCAAGUUUCGUGAUUUGAGUCGGAGUCUUGAAGGGUUCGGUGCGUGAUUGAAGAAGAUUGAAGAAUCCAAGACUUCGAGAACACAGAAGCAUCUCACGACAUGAAUCACGAUGCUAAGGUAAGGUUUUAAUUCAUGUUAUGGUGAUUCAAGCUUAGUUAUGACAUUAGAAUCAUGCAAAUCAAUGAUUUAUGGAUUAGGAAUUGGUUUUGAUACUUUUGAAACCUGAGAGUGCUACAAUUCUGGAAAUUGCGCAGGGUACCGGUACUGCACUGGUUCCGGUAUAGCAUUGGUCUGGUAUGCAGCUUGAGGAAUUUUUGUUCCGUCACUUGGUACCGGUACCAACUUGAUGUAGUACCGGUACGCCGUGUAAAAGUCCAAAAUCUUUCUAAUCCGACUCUAAUUGAUUCUAAAGUCUAUAAAUAAGCUAUUAGGGUUCUUUAAUUGAUAGAACAUUACGAGAAUUCAUAUUUGAGAAACCCUAGAGGCUAGGAUUUCGUUCUAAACCUAUUUUCUACAAAUUAGCCUCUUUUAGAUCAAUUCGAGAUAUUGAAAAUUGCUAUCUAUAUGUCAAAUGAUCUAUGCUUUGCUUAGAGAUUCUUCUCUGGUUUUUAUCGAUACUUUAAGCGAAGGAUCACCAUAAUCAUGAUGUUCUUCAUAGACGGCGUCGUGGAUUCGCCAUGAUCAAGGUGGUUCGAGGAUUCGGAUCGUGAGUUCGAGGAUUCGAGUAGCGUUCGUGGAUUCGGACGUGUGCGAGGUGUUCGUGGAUUCGAACGUGAGGGCGUGGACAACCCGGAGGAUUGCGCGAGAUUCAUAAGAGGUUAAGAGAGGUCGAGUCCGUGGGUCGGUAAUCACCUUGUAAUCUUUUCUCUUAGUGAAUUAUUUUUUUGCGUGUUGGUCCCGUAGGUUUUUACUCUAAGUUGGAGUUUUUCCACGUAAAUCUUGGUGUGAUUUUUAUUUUCCGUAUUUAAUUUUUAUGGCAUUGAGAUUUGUGGUUUUUGGCCGAUUCACCUAUUCACCCCCCCUCUAGGUGUUUGAUAGUAUCUAGAUAAAAGAUCCUAGGGCUCCUCGUAACUUACAAUUUGUAACGCACUGGACCUGUGCAAAUUGCGAGGUUCGAGUGUUUGACUUGAGUUUUGAGCUUUUACACACCUUGUGGAGGGUCGUAGACGGUGUUCCAACCUGUAGUUCGAAAUUCUGGAUUUUUUUGGCUAAGUCCUGAAAGUUUCACUCUCGGGGACCGGUCCCUGGUGGGAGAGACCGGUCCCCCUGAGGCAACCGGUCCCCCGGGUCAGAGAGACCGGUUCCCGAACGCGUGGCUGCGGGAGAGUCCUGAGGGACCGAUCACAUGUGGGGAGAGACCGGUCCCUCCACCCGAAAUUUGCCCAGAUCUGGCUGUGUGCAGGUUGCAAAGUUGAGGGACUUUUUUGAAUUUUGUUGCUUUAGAGGGCCUAUAUGGCUUUUCCUCUCCCUUUCUCCCUCAUUUCUCUCCCUCACACUCUUUCUUACACUCUAGAAAGAGAAGAAGAAGGAGAAGGAAGAAGGAGGAGAAGGAGGAGAGGAGGGUGGGCAAGCUUGGAGGAACUUUGGACAUCUUCCCCUCCCUCUUUUCUCACCAUUAGAGAGGACCGGAGCUUCGUUGGAGGCUUGUUGGAGGAGAGAUCUUCCACCCCACUUGAUUUUGAGCCCAAGUUGAGACUUCUUUUGAGGUUAGUAGCACGAUUCCAUCAUUUGAUUCAUGUUUUAGAAGUUUUCUUGAGAUGAAACCCUAGAGAUGGAAACUUAGGGUUUUUUUUUUUGGGGUUUUUUGAUUAGAAGCUUUUAGAGCUCAUCUAAUUGGAUUAGAAUCUUGAUUUAGGUUACUUUGGAAGGGAUUUAGCUUCCAUUUGGAUUUUUAAAGAGAAUUUCUAAACUAUAGGUGAGUUUUUGACCCUUUGUUAGAAUUGGUUAAUGUUUGAGUCUAGGACUUUUCGUAACGUAUGUGUAUCUCUUCUUUUGUGACCUUUAGGGUACUAAGAGAAUUAUGGACAACUCUGUUCGGCGAAACGAAGGAGUUUUAGUGGUGCUCGGUGGGUUUGAUCUCACCUAAGAAUGAGAAAAUAUCAUUUUGUGGAUUUAAGUAUCGUAAAAUAAAAAAUCAUGCAUUUUCAUGUUAAAUGUAUUAUUUAUAAAUUUUAGAAUGCUUAAAAUGCUUAUGUUGUAUACAAUGCAUUUUUCGACCUCUAUGUAGUAGAGAGCUUGCAUGUGAGACUUAUGCAUGAGUUUAGCAUUUGUAUUUGGGACUUAGAAUUGUGUUUCAUUUGGUGAAAUGACAAUGAUUAUAUAUACCCUUGGUCAUAUAAGAAAACAUUAGGUCAUGAAGUGGCUUGGGACUUGAAUGUCAUGUGAACGUAGUAAGCUAAUGUCAUAAAGAGACAUUAAGCUUGGGCUAUAUGUGAACUUAGUAAGCUAAUGUCAUAAAAAGAUAUUGAGCUUGGGCUAUAUGUGAACGUAGUAAGCUAAUGUCAUAAAGAGACAUUGAGUUUGGGCUAUAUGUAAACUUAGUAAGCUAAUGUCAUAAAGAGACAUUGAGCUUGGGCUAUAUGUGAACCUAGUAGAUAAUGUCAUAAAGGGGCAUUAGACUAGAGUGGUUUGUGAAUCUAAUGUCAUAAAGGGGCAUUAGGCUUGGAAUAUGUGUGUGUUAAGGAUUUUGUAUUGGCAAGUUUCGUAAAGUGAGUCAGAGUUUUGAAGGAUCGAAGUGGAUUGACAAAGAUCGAAGAAUCCAAGACUUCGAAGAAAUCAGAAAAUACCUCACGACGUGAAUCACGAUGCUCAGCUAAAGUUUUAAUUCAUGUUAUGGUGAUUCAUAUUUAGUUAUAGACAUUAGAAUCAUAAACUCAAAGUUUAAUGGAUUAGAAAGUGCCUCGGAACGUUGUUAAACCCGAAACGGUGCAAUGUGUGAAAAAAUGCACUGUGUACCGGUACAGCAAUUGACCAGUACCGGUACAGCCAUCAACUUUGGCAACGCAGAUUUUUGUUCCGUCAUCGUGUAACCGGUGACAGCCUUUCGUGUACCGGUCACUGUGUAAAAUCGUGAAAACUUUCUAAUCCGACUCCGUUUGAUUCUAAAGUCUAUAAAUAAGCUAUUGGGAUUCUCUAACAUAUCAUGCAUCACGAAAAUACAUGUUUGAGAAACCCUAGAGGCUCGGAUUUCAUCUAAAACCUAUUUUCUACAUAAAGCCUCUUUUAGGUCAAAUCGAGAUUUUGGAUUUUGAUAUCAAUAUGUCGAUUUGAUCUCCGCUUCGCUUGGAGUUUGCUUCCCUGGUUUUUAUCGAUACUCUAAGCGAAGGAUCACCAUACACAUGAUGUUCUUCAUGGAGGCGUCGUGGAUUCGGCGUGAUUGACGGCGGUUCGUGGAUUCAGAUCGUGGGCUUGCGGAUUCGAGUGGCGUUCGUGGAUUCGGACGUGUGCGAGGCGUUCGUGGAUUCGAAUGUGAUGGCGUGGACAACCCGGAGGAUUGCGCGAGAUUCAUAGGAGGUUAAGAGAGGUUGAGUCCGUGGAGUCGGUAAUCACCUUGUAAUCUUUUCUCUUAGUGAAUUAUUUUUUCGCGUGUUGGUCCCGUGGGUUUUUUUCCAAGUUGGAGUUUUCCACGUAAAUCUCGGUGUGAUUUUUAUUUUCCGCAUUUAUUUUUAUCGCAUUGAGAUUUGUGGUUUUUGGCUACUACACCUAUUCACCCCCCUCUAGGUGUUAGAUACAAUCUAGAUAGAUUCUUGGGCCCCUCAAAAUUUUCAAUUGGUAUCAGAGCAAGAUCUAGAUAAAUUGUUUAUCUAAUGGCAAAAGGCGGAAACAUUAAUCGACCACCGCUCUUUGAUGGCACAAACUAUGCCUAUUGGAAAGUUCGCAUGAGAGCUUUUCUAAUUGCAAUCGAUGAGCGCGUUUGGCAAUCAAUCGAAUUUGGAUGGAAACAUCCUAUUGAAAAGGUCGAGAAUGUUGAAACGCCAAAACAACGGAACAAGUGGACGAAAGAUGAAAACGAGGCAUCUUCGUUUAACGGUAAGGGUAUAAACGCUUUAUUUAAUGCAUUGUCUCAAACGGAGUUUACUCGUGUUUCGGCGUGUGAAACCGCCAAGGAGAUUUGGGAUACUCUACAAGUUACGCAUGAAGGAACGAGCUUAGUAAAGGUCCAAAAAUUGCAAAUGCUAACAAGCAAGUUUGAUUCUAUUUGUAUGGAUGAAAAUGAGACCUUUACCGAGUAUUAUACGCGUUCACAAGACGUUGUCAAUACAUGCGCUAACUUGGGAGAGAAAAUCCCGGAUUCAAAAGUUGUUAGAAAGAUUAUUCGAACUCUUACGGAACGCUUUCGGGCAAAAGUUGCCGCGAUCGAAACCGUUAAGCAUCUGGACGAGAUGAAAGUCGAAGAGUUAGUAGGCGCUUUACAAAUGUAUGAGAUGACUUUUCCUACUAAUCAAUCUUCUUCCAAGUCUUUCUCUAAAAGCACAGGGGUUGCAUUAAAGUCGACGAAGGAGGAAGAUGAGGAUUCAAAUUUCGAUGAAGAUGUAUCUCUUGCUGAUUUCGAACAUCAACUUGCAGUAUUAACGAAGAAGCUCAAUGAAGCGGAAUCGACGGUCAAAUCAUCUAAAGACAAGAUUGGAUUUUUGGAGCAUCAAUUUGCGGAAACCUACAAAUCCAAUCAAUCCUUGACCAACCAAGUUUGACAACUCCAAUCCGACAUACAAAAGUUCUCAUCGGGAUCAAAGAAAUUUGACCAUAUGUUCGGGUUGGGUCAAACGGAUAAGUUAGGUCUCGGAUAUGAAAGAGUUUUUGUUGAGAAGGAUUCUAAAUCAACUUCGAAAGCCUCAACAACUUUGAAAGACAAGGCAUGUCAUCGAUGUGGCGUCAAAGGACACAUAAAAAAGAAUUGCCCUAACAAAGAAAAGAUGAAUCGAUCGGCAAGGUCUUCACAUCGAUCGACAACAUCUAAACCUCAAGCAAACCGGUUUUCUUAUGUGCAACAUCAAAUCCGACCGAACCCAAAAGCUAAUCGGAUUUCUAAACCUCAACGACAAAUUCAACCAAAGCCUCAAGCAAAGAAACCACCAACGGUUGAUAAAAAAUCUAAGCAAACGGCACCAAACGUAAACUAGCUGAGAGGACCAAAGAUCCGACAAGUUUGGAUCCGAAAAGGUGAUAUCUUUCCUUACUUCUCGUCUUAGUUGUUUUUGAUUUCUUGAGUAGUGCUUUGAUAGGUGCUUAUUGCAUAUUUUUAUUUAUUGCAUUACAUGUUUAAAUGAUCUUUGGUGCUUUGAAUUUUGUUUGUUUAAAAAUCAUUUUGAGGAAAGGUGUUUAAGAAUUCAAAAUUUUUUUUUUUCUGAGAAAGGAGAUGCUUGAGAAUUAUUAUUUUGAGGAGAGCAAUUUUUUCGAAGUCGCUUAAACGGUAUUUAACUUCACAAUCAUAUUAAGCUAAAUUCAUAUUAAUUAUCGUUUUUACUCCACCUUUUUAUAAUUUAAUAUAUGAUUUCUUAAUUCAUAUAUUCAUCAAAAUUUUGAAAUCAAAUUUGAUCUCUUGGUGAUUAAUCUAUGUCGGUUGUGUGUGUUGAAUAUGAUAGAUGGAUAUUCGCUAAUAGACUAAAAUUUGUCAAAAUAUUUUCAAUUGUGAGAUUGUCUAAUUUAGGGAGAGUUUGAAAUUAAAAAAAAAGAAAAACUCCUAUGUUUAAAAAGAUGUGGAAAGAGUUACAUCCAAAAGGGGUGUGAAAACUACGACCACAUGUAGGAAAGAGCUACCACCCCGGUCGUCCGGCAAGUGUGUGAAGCUACCACAUGAAGAUUGAGUUGAAUAACCGAAAAGGUUGAGAAAAAUUUGGAUAUUUUAAAAUUUUCGGAGUUGUAAGGUGAUAGUUUGAAAAAGAUGCUCAAAGAGCCAACCCCGGUAUAAUAUUAGUUAAAUCUCUAUUUUGAAUGUAUUGUGACAAAUUGGUGUCAAUUUUGCCGAAUUUCUAAAAAUCAUUUUUCGUGAACCGUUACAUCUUAAUGAUUUUGAAACUUGAGAUCGUUUUUGAUAAUAAAAUUUUGAUGUUUCGAUGUAUUUUGAAAUCUUAUAAUAUUUUAUUCUCAUUAUAGUGAUUUUUGGAGUAAAAUCCUUAAUUUAUAUAAAAUUAAUUUAAUUUGAUGGUUUUUUAAAGUAAAUUUUUCGAAAUCUGGGGAUGUGUGCCGGUACACAAUCCCGUGUACCGGUACGGUUACUGUAGCCGCGGAAAUAUAACCGGAUACAGGGCUUUUAUUCUCUCUCAAAUUCGAACCAAACUUCGUUCUCUCUUUCUCUAAAAAUCCCUGGUGCCUUCCUCUUCCAGAUCUACAUGAUUUCCCUCAGAAAUUUGUGAGUAUUUAGCUUGGAUUUAAUCGUUUUAUCGCAUUCAUGCCUAUUUUUCGAAAAUAUUCCGAGUUGAAGCUAGAUCUCUAUUUUGAUUCGUUUUUGAUACAAUUUUUUGUUGUAGAUCAGUGCUUAAUGACAUUAUCUUGCUUCUAGAACACUUGAAUCACAUCAAAACACAUUAUUUUUUGCUGAUCUAUUUUCUAAGCUUCAUUUUGCAUGUAAUUUCGGGAUUUUUCAUAAAAUGUGAUUUUUGAUGAAAUGUUUUUGCAUGAUCUGGUUAGAAAUAGCAUUUGAAUGCAUUCUAAUGUUAUUAGAAAAUUUUUCGCUAUUUUUACAGAUUUUUUCAAGAUUUUGUUCAUGCAAGGUUAAUUUUUGUAUAGGAAAAAUGGUGUUUUCACUUGUGUUGCUGAUUUUGAUGCUGAUGGCUGCGAGACGUGGCCGAGGUGGUGGUAGAGGUCGUCGUGGGGCCUCUAAGAGGACACGUACAACUGAAGAAGCAUCCGGAUCUGAUCCGGAUUAUUAGGCGAGCUCCCCGGAAGAGACUGAAGAACCUAUUGCUCGUCCUGGCAAGGGCAAAGGAAUAGCUGGAGAAUCCUCACGUGGCGGUGGUUCUCGUGCAAGAGAAACUCGGUCGAAGCAUGCUGCGGAUGUUCCCCCAGAGCGACGGAAGAUGUUCAUGAGCAAGUCUUGUAUUGGAGAGCGUUAUGUCAACUUCAAUGAUCUUAUACAUGACGUUCCUGAUUUUGGGCGACUACUUCAGCAGGUUCCUAUUGAGCCAGUUGGUAGGGUUCCUGCUCGGGCUCCUUUUUGUGUGGAACUCAUUCGUGAGUUCUAUAUGAACGGGAAGGUACUUGCAGAAGAUGAGGAGACCGGGGCUUUUCUUUUUGAGACAGUCGUGCGUCAGCAGAGGGUCGUCGUUACCCCAUAUACAAUUGGAGAGCUUUUGGGGAUGAAUGUGGACACUACAGGUCUUCUUUAUACUUCAGGUGGAUUUCAAUUUUCAUCUCACUGGGAUACAGUUGUAGCAGCUAUCUGCAAAGCUGGAGUGCAAACGAAUCGUGCUUAUGUAGAGUCCAAGGAUUUGCGACCAAAGUAUCAUCUACUGUCCUUGGUCUUGAGCUACAAUGUGCAACCAACGAUUGGAACAAAAAGGAUUCGUUGGGAUCGUUUGCUUCUACUGUUUCUACUUGGUCACCCGGAGCAAGCAUUUGGUUUGAACGUCAACAUUCCCUUUCUGAUGUGGCAGCGGAUGAUUCAUGUUAUUCAGGCUUCUGCUCGACGGGAUUUACUUCCAUUUCCUCUGUUGAUCACGAGGAUUCUGCAGGACAAUGGAGUGGAUGUUUCUUAUGAAAAGUAUGAUUUUGGUCUUGGUCCAAUCGAUGCUGUUACCUGGGCCAAGUCAGUCAGCACUCUAAAGACUUUUCAGCAAACAAAAGGGCUAUCUCGAGCAGCUCCUAGCCAGGCACCUCUACCACGCGCAGAGCGUGAAGGAUCUUCCAGUUCAGGGGGAGAAUCACUUCGCCAUGAAGUGCGAUCUUUAAAGAAGAAAGUGGCUGAUCUUGCUAGAAAGGUGGAAGUGGGUAUGAAGAGGAUGAUGGACAAGUUGGGCUGUAGACAUGACGAUAUCUUUCCUCCUCAGCCUGUCUAUACUAGGUCUACUUCACGACAUCCUCUUAUUCCUCCAUCUACUGGAGCUUCAGAUGCGGGAGGUUCUGGAGCUGGCGCUGGAGCUGAUGAUGAUGAUGACGAGGACACGGAGUGAUUUCUUCGUCAAGCUUAGUCUUUCUAUUUUGCUGUAUUUGCUGUUUAGGAUGAUGUUUUCGUUUAGUUUUUCUUGCUUAUCUUUCUUUUGCAUGUUUUUACUUUUGUUUUAGGCCUGUACCUAUGACUUGACUACUUUUAUACUUUCUAGUAUGUUUUCGCUCUUUAUUUGCUUUCUUUUGGCAAUUUUUGAUAAAAAGGGGGAGAGCGUAGAUGAACAGGGGGAGAGCAUGGAUGAACAGGCAUUAAACUAAGCAGAGGAUGAUGAGUUGUGAACAAAGGGGGAGAUGUGAUCGAGAUGUGAACAAAGGGGGAGAAGGUAUAAGAAUUUAAGGUUAAUUAUUUUUGAAUGAAUUAUUUUGCAGGAAAUCAAGACUUCAAGACUCCUAGUUGCGUCUAAGUCAUAGAGUCUGUUUUAGGAGUUUUUGAUGUAAUUUUGAAUUUCUGAAUCUCAAAUUGUAUUUGGAUUAUACGCGAGGAGUUCAAUGUUUUGGUGAUGACAAUUGAACUUCGAUUCUUUUAUGUAUUUUUGAGUUUUGUGAGUUUUGCCACGAAAUUGCCAAAGGGGGAGAUUGUUAAGGAUUUUGUAUUUGUAAGUUCGUGAAGUGAGUCGGAGUCUUGAAGGAUCGAAGCGGAUUGACAAAGAUCGAAGAAUCCAAGACUUCGAAGAAAUCAGAAAAUACCUCACGACGUGAAUCACGAUGCUCAGGUAAAGUUUUAAUUCAUGUUAUGGUGAUUCAUACUUAGUUAUAGGCAUUAGAAUCAUAAACUCAAAGUUUAAUGGAUUAGAAAGUGCCUCGGAACGUUGUGAAACCCGAAACAGUGCAAUGUGUGAAAAAAAUGCACUGUGUACCGGUACAGCAAUUGACCAGUACCAGUACAGCCAUCAACUUUGGCAACGCAGAUUUUUGUUCCGUCAUCGUGUAACCGGUGACAGCCUUUCGUGUACCGGUACACUGUGUAAAAUUGUGAAAACUUUCUAAUCCGACUUCGUUUGAUUCUAAAGUCUAUAAAUAAGCUAUUGGGAUUCUCUAACAUAUCAAGCAUCACGAAAAUAUAUGUUUGAGAAACCCUAGAGGCUCGGAUUUAAUCUAAACCAUAUUUUCUACAUAAAGCCUCUUUUAGGUCAAAUCGAGAUUUUAGAUUUUGACAUCAAUAUGUCGAUUUGAUCUCCGCUUCGCUUGGAGUUCGCUUCCCUGGUUUUUAUCGAUACUCUAAGCGAAGGAUCACCAUACACAUGAUGUUCUUUAUGGAGGCGUUGUGGAUUCGGCGUGAUUGACGACGGUUCGUGGAUUCGGAUCGUGGGCUUGUGGAUUCGAGUGGCGUUCAUGGAUUCGGACGUGUGCGAGGCAUUCGUGGAUUCGAACGUGAGGGCGUGGACAACCCGGAGGAUUGCACGAGAUUCAUAGGAGGUUAAGAGAGGUUGAGUCCGUGGAGUCGGUAAUCAUCUUGUAAUCUUUUCUCUCAGUGAAUUAUUUUUUCGCGUGUUGGUCCCGUGGAUUUUUCUCCAAGUUGGAGUUUUCCCACGUAAAUCUCGGUGUGAUUUUUAUUUUCCGUAUUUAUUUUUAUCGCAUUGAGAUUUGUGGUUUUUGGCUAUUACACCUAUUCACCUCCCUCUAGGUGUUAGAUACAAUCUAGAUAGAUCCUUGGACUCCUCAAAACGUUCAGUGUGGACUUAGUAAACCUAAUGUCAUGAAGUGGCAUUAGUGUUGGACCGAGAUUUGGGCAUAGUGAGAUGUAAUGCCAUAAAGGGGUAGUGGACAUAAUGAUCGGUUUAACCUUCACGUUGGACAUUGGACUAGACCGAUGGGUUGCUAGUGACUGUUACCAUGUUAGAGACAUGAUGAUUGGACAUUUGAGACGAUGACCACGCUUGCUUGUCAUUUGUGCUCAUUCGCACAUACUUGCGAGGGUCGCUCCCUACAAUUAUUUGUGCUCAUUCGCACAUACUUGCGAGGGUCGCUCCCUACAAGCCGGCACUCCGGAGUUAGCCUAUGCGACUUAUGUUCGCUCGUGCGGCAUUGAGAAGCUUACGGGACCGGGUGGGACAGACUCAUUCCUCGAGUGGGAAUGUUGUGCUACCACAGGCACUUAGGCGGCACAAGCUGGACUACCUUGGGUAGGUCCUUAAUGGGAAAUAGAAAUCGACACAGUGUCGCAUAAGUAAAAUCACUACUAAAUAGAUUGUAGUAGUUGGGUUUCUUGGACAUGCUUAUAGCAUAGGUUUGGACUUAUAGUAUACUUGAUUAUAGCGCUCUUUGCACUUUAGUAUACUUGCUUGCCAUGUGGGAUCACACUAGUUUUGAGUUGGACAUAUUUGAGCAUGAUAGAAUCUAUGUACUACAUAUUGCCAUCAUAUUUGUCACGCCCCGGGACCGGCGGAGGCCCUCCCGGUGGCGUGCCCAGACCCGCCAUAUGUCUACACAUAUAAGGCGUCUACAAUAAAGCGGAAGUAAAAGCAAGAAAUAGAACAAAUGGAAUAAUAACAACUAACGAUAUCAGAGCGAGCAAAGUUCUAUCAUCUAAACCAGAGUAAAAGAAAUAUAACUAGACAAAGAAAGUAAAGCAUAAGGUGAUACAAUACUAACUCCUCGAACGAAAUAUCAAGAUCCAAAAGAAAGGUGGUCUCUAUACACAUACGGGUACAACUCUCAACCUCUCACAAAAUAAAAAUAUCGAGAGGUAGACCACCUAGCGACUCGUCACUCGCUGAAGAGCUAGCUCGAAGCCACGCCCUUCCCUCGGUCCCUAGCCUCUCCCGUCGUGGAAGGCUCUGAAAGAAAACACAAAACAGAGGGCGUGAGAACUGUAAUUUAUAGUUCCCAGUGGGCAAUUACUGACCUCAGCUCAAUGCACCACUAGGCCCCAAAAGAAAAUGGUAAGUAACGACAAUAAUAAUAAGCAAUAAGGAGCGUGUACAAUAACUACUGAAAGAAAGUAUAUACGAAAUGCUAUAUUACUAUGUCUCAAGUAAGCAUGAUGUAAGUAUGAUGUGAGUAUGAUGUACAUCUACUCUAGCAUAAACAAGUUCGUCCGAUGGCAAGAAGUAAACGCUACUGUCCAAGAUGUCAUGCAUAAAGAAUGAGCUCUAUCAUGCGAGCCAGUAUACUAUGACACAAUGAAUGAAACAGGCAAGUAUACUAUAUGUAUCCCAAUGCUAUGUCAUGGGCGUGUCAGGUAACCCAACUACUGAGCCUAUCUAGCAGUGAUUAUUCAUUUUUAACACCGUGUCGAUUUCCAUUUCCAAUUAAGGACCUACCAAGGGUAGUCCAGCUUGUGCCGCCUAAGUGCCUGUGGUAGCCCGACAUCCCUACUCUUGGAAUGUGUCUGUCCCACUCGACCCCGUAGGCUUCUCAAUACCGCACGAGCGAACAUAAGUCGCAUAGGCUAACUCCGGAGUGCCGGCUUGUAGGGAGCGACCCUCACAAGCAUGUGCGAAUGAGCACAAAUGGCAAACAAGCAAGGUUAAAGUCUCAAGUACUCUACUCUCAUGCCUCUCACAUGGAAAGGUCACUAGCAUCCCAAGGAUCUAGUCCAAAGUCUCAAAGUGACGCUCCUACGCACACACUUGCUUAGUGCCUCUUUAUGACACUUAAGCAUCACAACUAAUCAUGCCCAAUUCAUGUUCCAUUUUCCAAUUGAAACAAUACUAGCAAGGUUCACUUUAGCCAGGGCCCAAUGCCUCUUUAUGACAUUGGCCCAAUCUGUCACGCCCCGCGACCGCUACCAAUUUGGCUCGGCUCGGGCGCGUCGAACAGACGCCGGACGGACAGCACCUCCCCUGUCCGCCCAAGGCUAACAACGAGAUUGUGUACAACAAGUUCCCAGGAAACUAACUUGAAUACAUACACAAUCAAUAAUUACAACGAGAGCACAAUCGGUGCAAAACAACCAAGAGCAAGAUACAAGUAUAGAACAUACAAGUAAUGAUAAAGAGAGGAACAUCUAUCGAUUACAUUCAUUCAGCCUUUAUAAUACAACUUGAUUAUGCAUUAAGCUUCUAAACAUAAUAUAAGGCUUACAUCUUCCAAAAUACAAACACUACUUACAUUCAUCCCAAAAUAGCUCACAACCUAUACAUCAUCUACUCUCAAUGUAUAUAAAGGUAACUCUAAUGCAGAAAUAGGAAAGUAAACUAAUGCAACUAGGGCGCUAGGCCCUUACCGCGAUCCUCGCCGUGUGAACUCGCUCUCGGCCCUGUAGUAAAAUGGGGGUGAGAACUAACUUCCUUAGUUCCCAGUGGGUUCGGCCGCCGACUCCGCCGAUCUCCCCACUAGGUCCAAGUUCGGCACAAGUAGAUAAUCGAUAGAUAGAUAGAUAAGGAAAGCGGUAAAUGACAGAGGUAAAGCCACGCUACUAUGCCCAAUCAUAAAUAUAUGAAUGCAUGUACAAUGAAAUAGGUAAGCAGCUAACCUGUUAUCAUGUCCAAAGGUAAAGAUAUUCACUCGUUCGUUUACCUCAUUUAUUCAUCAAUCUCAUGGCUUACCCGGAGGCUCGCCUACAGCUCACUAGCCAUCUCGACACGUAGGGAGAAUUAACUCACACUACGGACCCGAGACCGUCUGGCGGGGCCAAAUAGGCAAUCCCUUGGGACCCAAAAUAGGCAAUCCCACGUGACCAACUCCGGAGCGCACUACUUGUGUGGGGCUUCCAUCACAAGAUUUAAAAACAGACCGUGAGCAUGAUCCAAUCCUCGUCUCAAGAAUACCCUAUCCUCUAGGGUUACAACCAUCAUAGAGUCCAUAGGUUUCAUAUACACUAUGACUCACAUAUGCCACUUGUUCUUUUGUUUCCUAUCAACUAGAUGCCACUCGUUCUUUACAAGUUUCCAAUGCAAUAGCCAAUGCAUUAUUAAAUUCCCAUCCACACUUAUCAUCUCAUUAUAGGGUUCCACAUCACAUAUAUAAACCUCAAGCAUGCUAGAUAUAAGUAUUAAGCCAAAUACAUUAUUCUACCAAAGAACAUGCAAGGUAUAGGACCAAACCAUCAUUUAUCACCCUAUAAUGCAAGAUGUCAAUAUGUCAAUAUGCAAUUUGAUCAAUAUAAAACUUAGACAUAAAAGGGAGCCCGAUUGCUUCGGGAUGGACACCACCCACCUUUUACAGCGUUCCGAUUGCUCGUCGUCACUUGCAAUCGGCCUCCCGCGGCGCACGCCGCUCGGCUUGACCCAAUCCGCGCGCGCGACCACCAAACGACCUCCGAUCCGCGAUCCAGAAAUUAAAGGUCUUCGGUUUCUUAUCACAAUGCUUCAAAUCCGUUUCCAGGAUUUUACGACGUCGCCUUGGCCCUCUAGGCGGAAACGAAGCCUAAACGUCCGUUUCUUUAAUAACUUUGCACCGGCUCGACGAAUCGCCAAACCGUCGCUUCCAACGCGUUCAGUGACCUAUCAAUUAGGUUUACGAAGGGUCAAAUUAGAUCAAACCCCACCUAAUUUGUAAACCCCCAUUUUCACACCUUAGCCUCAACAUAUGCUCCAAACAAUCCAAAUAUUAAGGAUUUAACAAGCUAACUUCACAUUAGAGGCUAUUAGAACACUUAAACUUAAGGAUUAAGCCAAAUCCCAAUAGCUUACCAAAAUAUGAACGCCGAGACGGAAGCACGCCACUCCAACGGGCGCACGAAAGCUCGAUCCGUCGCUCCCAACGCGUUCGCAAGCUCGUUCUCCACCAACGCCGCGAAUUCGGGCGAAAGAUCUAGAGAGAUGAGAGAGUUAUUUAGAGAGAGAAAGUGAGGAUUUCUCUCACUACACCAUGAACGUGUGGUGUUGUGGAGUGGUGGUGGCUGUGAAGAGGAAGAAGCCUAGUAGCUUCUACUUAUAGUCAACACCUCAACAGUAGUGUACACUAUUCACAUCAGGCAGCUCGAAAUCUGAUAUCUUUCGCCGGAGCUCCCUGAAUAUCCGUUUGAGCUCAAAUCUGACAGUCAUAUUCGGUUUUACUUAAAGAGUCCAAACAAAUUUUAAUAUUUCAGUUUCGACCCCGUUUGGUCACCGAAAACUGUGCCGAACUGUAAUCUUUAUCAGAUGGCUUUCGGAUUUUAUUUCUCACUCUAUGGGUGUCAGAAAAAUAUGAAACUUUAAAUCUAGCCUCAUUAAAAUAUUUCUGACAUCCCCGCCAAUUUUCAUAAUUUUCUGAGACAGUGCCUUUUCUGCUAAUUUUUCUGUCCCGUUUCCAACAGAAAAUUCUAGAUCUUCUGUUUUCAUCCCGAUUUCAGCACAAGUCACUUCUGACUUAUGUUUUACUUCUCUAAAUCCAAUAAAAAUAGUAUCUCAUACUAUUUUUAUUUAUUCCCAUUUUUAUAUUUAAAAUCCGGUAUAUUACAUUCCACCGCAACCUCACCGGAACCAUUCAAAUGUACACCGUAACUUCAUUGUUUUAGAAGUCCGGUACCUUACACAAUCUCUUAAAUAGUCUAAGUCCUCAAGCCUCUCUAGGCUUCCAAAAAUCCCUAAUGUCACAAUUGGCAAAUAAGCUAAAUGUAUGAAAGCAAGGUUCAUUUUCAUAAUAGGGAUCUCAGUUUCAUAUCUCAACCAGAAUGCUAUAUCACACAUGCAUGCUCUCUACUACAUAGAGGCCCAAAAUUUUACUAUAUGCAACAUAAGUAUUUUAAGCAUUCUAAAAUUCACAAUAAAUACAUAUAACAAGAAUAUGCAUGCUUUUUCAUUUUAUAACACUUAAAUCGUCAACAAUGAGAUUUUCUCAUUGUGUGGCUAGGUGAAACCCACCGAACCGUCGCGUGCUCCUUCGAUUCGCCGAACGGAGUUGUCCACGAGUCUCAAAAUACCCUAAAAGUAUUGAGCGAAGAGAUACACGGGCAUUACGAUCAACUAUAGGAUCAAACAUAAACCAUCUCAAAAAUAGGGUCAAAACUCACCCCUAGUGCAAAAUCUCUUCCUAAACUCCAAAAGAGAGCUAAAUCCCUUCCAAUCCAAUCCCAAAGGAAGGCUCUAAUCCAAGUGAUUAAGCUCCAAAAGCCCUAGAUCAAAAAGCCCCAAAAUCAACCCUAAAAUCUCAUUCUAGGGUUCUAACACAAGAAAACCUCAAAUCCAAAGUCUAGAUGGAGAGAAAGGGCUACCAACCUCUAAGAAGCUUCAAUCCAAGCUUAAAGGGUGAAGAUCUUCUCUCUUGCAAGCUCCAAGUCCAAGCACCAAGCACCAAGCACCAAGGAAGAAGAUAGGGUGAGGAAGAUGCUCCAAGUCCACUAGUAGCUCUCAAACUUCUUCUUCUUCCCUCCUUCUUCCCCUUCUCCUUCUUCUUCUUCUUCUCUAUCAAGGGUGUAGAGAGAGUGGAGAGAAGAGAAAUGAGGUGAAGAGAGAGUGGAUGGGUCAUAUAGACCCUCUAUUGUAACAAAAUCCAACUAGGUCCCUCAAAAAUCCAAUAUUGCAAUAGCCCGGUCUGGGCAGUUUUCACCCAGAGGGACCGAUCUCUCCCCAGCAGGGACUGGUCUCUCGCUGCGAACCCGAGAAACCAACGUUCGGGAACCAGUCUCUCCCUGCGCGGGACCGGUCUCUCACUGCGUAGAUGCGCUCGGGGACCGGUCUCGCCCGCCAGGGACCGGUUGCCUCAGGGCUGCCGCAAUACUGCUCACUGGGGGACCGGUCUCUCCUUUCAGGGACCGGUCCCCGAGAGUAAAAACUCUCAGGACUUGUCCAGAAUUCUAGUUUUCGAACUUUUUAGGUCGGAAAAACAUUCUACAACCCUCCACCAAGUGUGGAAAAGCUCGAAAUACAUCCAAACACUCGGUCCUCGCAAUUUGCGAAGGUCCAGUGUGCUACAUUCACCCCUCCUAAAAGGGAGUUUCGUCCGCGAAACUCGAGAUGACAAGUACCUCAAGCCUCCAUCUGAAAAAGAUGGGGAUAGCGCUCCCUCAAUGCGCUCUCCAGCUCCCAAGUAGCCUCGCGCUCGUCGUGGUUGCUCCAAAGCACCUUCACGUAGGGAAUCUCACGGUUCCGCAAUCUUUUCACUUCGCGAGCCAAAACCCUCAAAGGUUGCUCCUCGAAGCUCAAAUCAUCCCUCAGCUCUAUAGGCGUAGCAUCCAACACGUGAGCCGGGUCGUGGAUGUACUUCCGAAGGACCGAUACAUGAAACACAUUGUGUACACCCGAUAGGUUUGGCGAUAGAGCGAGUCGAUACGCUACCGGGCCUACACGCUCCAAAACCUCAUACGGUCCAAUGUAUCGGGGGCUCAACUUGCGCCGGAUUCCAAAUCGUCUAAUCCCCCGAGUCGGCGAGACUUUCAAGAACACAUGGUCUCCAAUCUGAAACUCCAAGUCCCGUCGACGCCGAUCAGCAUAACUUUUUUGCCUACUCUGGGCUGUCAACAGUCGCUCCCGAGCAAUGCGAACCUUGUCUUCUGCUUCCUGGAGCACAUCUGGGCCUAAAGCCAAUCUCUCGCCAACUUCACUCCAAUGAAGUGGCGAUCUACACUUCAGUCCGUAGAGUGCCUCGAACGGUGCCAUCUUACUAUUCACUUAAGUGAAUACUCCAGAUCGUGUAACUUCUCCAUCCUAACUCAUUUUCUCCUAAAACUUGACGAGUGCUUAUGUCAUUAAAUUACACACAAAAAUAUCGUCAACAGAGAGUUUAGCUACACUGCCCAAAAUCUCAGUCCUUACACAUCAGCACAGCUGGUACCUCAGCAAUCUUAUGGGGCACCGCCGAGUUGCCUCCAGGAGGAUGGAGCAUCUGUGCCGCAUCAGGGUGAGCGGCAACAGCAGGCUCCGAGUGGUAGAGUCUACGCAGCUCAGGUGGAGAACUCUACAGUAGCCGAUCGAGUGGUGGCAGGUAUUAUUUUGAUUUUCGGCAUUAGAGCUCGUACUCUUUUCGAUUCCGGUGCAUCGCAUUCUUUUGUUAGCCGAGCAUUUGCAUUGUUACAUAGUCUAGAGGUAGGGCCAUUGUUGCAUACACGAGAGGUGCAGGUUUCCAACCAUACUUUGUAGGUGGUAGAGUGUUGUUGGUCAUGUCCAGUGCAGUUAGAUAUGUGGAUCAUGCCCGCAGACCUGUUGGUGUUAGGGCAGCUGUAGGACUUUGACGUAGUGCUCGGCAUUGAUUGGCUGGCGCGGUAUUAUGGUACUAUUGAUUGUGGAUUGAGGACGGUGACAUUCCGCGAGCCAGGCCAAGAGGAGUUCACUUUUAGAGGCUGCAGAUGUACGUUGUUUGCCACUUGGAUUUCGUCGGCGAGGGCUCGACAACUGAUGAGUAGAGAAUACAUUGCUUUUCUAGCGACGGUUGUAGAGGUGCCUACGGCGGCACCGGGACUCAAGGAUAUCCCUGUAGUCUGCGAGUUUCCGGAUGUGUUUCCCCCGGAGUUGACGACGAUGCCGCUGGAGAGAAAGAUUGAGUUUGUGAUUGAUGUAGUUCCUGGAACUGCACCAAUCUCGAAGGUAUCCUACCAUAUGGCAUCUGUAAAGCUGAGAGAGCUAAAGGCGCAGCUUCAGGAUCUGAUGGAUAAAGGGUAUGUGAGACCCAGUGUGUCGCCUUGGGGAGCGCCGGUGUUAUUUGUGAAGAAGAAUGAUGGUUCACUUAGGUUGUGUGUGGAUUAUCGGGACCUGAAUAAAGUGACCAUCAAGAACAAAUAUCCUUUGCCGCGCAUUGACGAUCUGUUCGAUCAGCUGCAAAGAUCUUAUGUCUUCUUGAAGAUUGAUCUCCAGUCAGGUUACCACCAGUUGAGGGUGAGGGCCGAGAAUGUUUCCAAGACGGCUUUCCGGACUCGGUACGGGCAUUAUGAGUUUACAGUGAUGCCUUUUGGAUUGAAGAAUGCCCUUGCCGCAUUUAUGAAUUUGAUGAACAGAAUGUUCAAGCCGUUCUUGGAUAGAUUUGUAGUAGUCUUCAUCGAUGACAUCUUGAUAUAUUUCUGGAGUGAUACUGAGCAUGAGGAGCACUUGAGGAUUGUGCUGCAACUUCUGAGAGAGAAGAAGUUAUAUACCAAGUUGAAGAAGUGCGGGUUCUGGUUGCGGGAGGUUGCUUUCUUGGGCUAUGUGAUUUUUGCAGUUGGAGUAGCAGUGGACCCGAAGAAGAUUGAUGCUAUUCGGGAUUGGCCCAGACCGACGACGGUGACUGAGUCCUGGGACUGGCAGGAUAUUACCGUCGGUUUGUGGAAGGCUUUGCGAAGCUUUCCACACCCCUCACUUGAUUGACUCGAAAGGGGGUUAGAUUCAUCUGGAGUAAGGAUUGUCAGAGGAGCUUUGAUGAGUUGAGACAGAGGUUGAUGUCAGCUCCUAUCCUUGCCCUUCCAGUGAUGGGAGAAGGAUUUGUGAUCUACAGUGAUGCAUCGCACAGUGGUUUGGGUUGUCUGCUGAUGCAGCAUGGCGGGGUAAUUACUUAUGCUUCACGGCAAUUGAAGGAUUACGAGAAGAAUUACUCUACGCAUGACUUGGAGCUUGCCACGGUAGUUUUUGCCUUGAAGUUGUGGCGGCAUGACUUGUAUGGCGAGCACUGCGAGGUUUUCACCGAUCAUAAAAGUCUCAAGUAUCUGUUCACCCAGUAGGAGUUGAACAUGAGGCAAUACCGGUGGUUGGAGUUACUGAAGGACAAUGAUGUUAGUAUUCAGUAUCAUCCCGACAAGACGAAUGUAGUGGCAGAUGUGUUGAGCAGGAAGUCAGUGCAGAGCUCGAGCUUGUUGAUUACUCAGCAAAGGCUGUUACUCGAGGAGUUGUAGUGGUUGAGGCUCGAGAUUGUGUCCCCGGGUCUACUGCGAGACUGAUGUCUAUGGUUUUGCAGCCUACUUUGUUGGAUAGGAUUCGAGAGAAACAGAGUGGAGACCCGCAUUUGUUGAGGGUUCGAGAGCAGCUAGAGAUGGGACAGGCAGAGGGCUUUGUUGUAGACAGUUCGGAAGUACUGCGAUACAGGGACCGACUGUGUGUGUCUGUGGAUUCAGAGAUCCGAGAGGAUAUUUUGAGAGAGGCUCAUUGUUCACCUUAUAUGGUUCACCCUGGUGGAACCAAGAUGUAUAAGGAUUUGAAGGCACAGUUCUGGUGGAAUGGAAUGAAGAGAGACAUUGGCAGAUAUGUGGCUCAGUGUUUGACUUGCCAACAGGUGAAGGCAGAGCAUCAGGUACCUGCUGGCAAGCUUCAGAGUCUGCCAGUGCCCGAGUGGAAAUGGGAGCAAAUCAUGAUGGACUUCGUCAUGCGGUUGCCUAGAGCACAGGGUGGUUUCGAUGCUAUUUGGUUGAUAGUGGACAGACUGACUAAGUCUGCUCACUUUCUACCAUUUCUGACUACCUGGUCCAUGGAGAGGCUCGCUCAGCUGUAUUUGGAUGAGAUCGUGAGAUUGCAUGGAGUACCGAUUUCGAUCGUUUUUGACAGGGAUCUGAGGCUUGUAUCACACUUCUGGAAGAGUCUUCAAACAGCCUUGGGUACACAGUUGCAUUUCAGCACGACGUUUCACCCACAUACAGAUGGUCAGUCAGAGCGGACCAUUCAGACUGUGGAGGAUAUGCUGAGGGCAUGUGUCCUGAACUUUGGAGGAGGAUGGUAUCGACAUUUAAAAUUGACUGAGUUUGCGUACAACAACAGCUAUCAAACGAGCAUUCAGAUGGCUCCGUUUGAAGCGUUGUAUGGACGCAGAUGUCGAUCCCCUUUGUUUUGGAGUGAUGUGGGUGAAAGGAAGACGGUAGGGCCUGAGAUCUUGCUAGAGGUUGAGGAAAAGGUUAGGACAGUGUGACGACACCUUUUGACAGCCCAUAGCCGCCAGAGGAGCUACGGCGAUACCAGGAGAUGAGACUUAAGAGUUCCAGAUUGGAGAUCAUGUUUUUCUCAAAGUCUCGCCGUCCAGAGGCAUACGCAGAUUUGGAGUGCGUGGAAAGCUCAGUCCACGCUUUGUAGGCCCUUUUGAGGUAAUUGAGCGAGUUGGACCAGUCGCCUACAGGAUUGCUUUACCCCCACGAUUGGUCGGUAUCCAUGAUGUUUUCCACGUCUCGGCUUUGAGGAAGUACGUGUUUGACCCCUCGCACGUGAUUGUCUUCACUCCGCUGGAGCUUGGCGAGGACUUGAGAUAUAAGAAAAGACCAGUGCGAAUUCUGGCUCGUGAAACGAAGGAAUUGCGCAACCGGGUCAUUCCUUAUGUAAAAGUAUAGUGGAGUCAUCACGAGGAGCGGGAUGCGACCUAAGAGCCGAAGAUGGUGAUGCAGGAAUCCUAUCCCUACUUGUUUGAUGCUAAGGAUUGAUGUAUGCUUAAGUUUCGAGGACGAAACUUUUUGUAGUGGGGGAGGGUGUAGUAUCCCUGGAGUUCAGCAUUUGAGGCUUAACGACAGCUCUGGAGAGUGUCGGGACAAGUCCGAGUCCUGUUGGCGCGAAAUAGACACAAACUGGACUCAGCGGGACGCGAGAGCAGGAAGUUAGCAUUGCAAUAUGCAAAUAGCAUAUUUUCAACAAUUGGUACAGGUACCACACAGGGGCGUACCGGUACCUAGUGCAUUUUCUGCGCAGACUGCUCUCGGGUUGGCCAUCUUGCUGCGUGGUACCGGUAUAACAUUGAUGUUUUACCGGUACACCAGGGUAGGCAAGGGGCCUUUUGGUUUUUUCUUGUCUCGUUACUUGCACCUUUAUCCUUCCAACCUAUAUAGGAUUGAGAGGCUAAGAGAGAGAGAGAGUUUUGGUUGCUGCCUUCUCUCUCUCUAGCUGAAGCCGUGCGCAAGGAGGGAGGCUUUGGGUGGAGUUGGAGCGACGUCGACAUUGCGCCGCGGUGUCGUUCGAGCGCGCGUUCGUUGUAGUAGCACCGUUGGGAGGCCGGGCGAGCGUGUGGUUCCACUUCUAUCGACUUCUCGCCGUGGUUGAAUGCGCUUUUGAGGUGGGUUAAAGUGAUGCUUACCGGAUUCUAUGGGUUUUCUCCUAAUUCUUUAUGUGUCGACAACAUGUAUUUUUUAGCUUUGUUUAGUAUAUUGUUUAACUCUAUUCUUGGAAUGGCAUGUUUUUGAACUUGAAUUGGAGCUUAGAUAAAUUAGCUAAAUUAUGCAUGUUGGACUUGGAUUUGACUUAGGAGAAAACUGACGUUUUUACACCGUCAUUUGAUCAAACUACCAGAUUUAGCUCACGGAGCCGUAGUUUGUUUGUAUCGCCGCAGUUUGUGGGCAGUGGAUAUCCAGAAUAGUGUAGAAUAUAUUUACGCUCGUGCUGAGGUGCCGAGUGUAUUUUUACAGCAGUGUUUAGGCUGUUCCAGAUUGUCGGGUGCCGUUGAAGUUGACGGCGGACCGAGAUUACUGUUUUUGCAUCAGAUUGUGCUGAGAACACGUGAGUUCAGUUGUAAGACCAUGUUUACUUGACUAUAGCCUAUGAGAGCCUGAUUGAGCUCGACAGAGAUACACUUGCAUACUCGGUUGGGUAGCGUCCGCGAGUGCCACUCCGGAGUUGGGCUUUGUGCUUUUGCGUUGGUGUCGUUUGGUCCUGGUUGGACUUGCUCUCCACUGACGACCUAGUUUGGUGUCAGAUUGUGUAGCUUUGACAGGCAGAAUGGGUGUGUUCACAGUUUGUAAUACACUAGAUCUUAGCAAAUUGCAAGAUUCGAGUGUUUGAUCUGUGUGUGGAGCCUUUCCACAGUUUUUGGAUGGUCGUUGAUAGUGUUCCGACCCCUGGCACGCACCCCGAGGAUGUUGGUUUGAAGCUUGGUACCAAAAUCCCAAAAUUAGAAUUUUUGGUCAGCUCUCGGGUAGCCUGCAGCAGGGCUUGUACCGAAACAAGACUGACCCUGUACCGGUACAAGGAUUGAUGGUUGUACCGGUACAGCCAUCGGGCUUGUACCGGUACAGAGCCGCAGACCGCGCGAGCCCGGCCUUCGGUUUGCAUUUUCGUGGCUUUGUAACUGUACAAGAACCGUCUACUGAUAUUAAGAGGCAAUUUCUGCAUUUUGGUCUGCAGGGGUUUUUUGCGAUUUUGACGCUUUUUAUAACAGGCACCCACGCCCCUACGCUUUUUGUGCUGGAAACCCAGUAGGAGAGGAAGUGAGUGACAGCUCCCCCCUGUCCCAUUUGAUUUUGAUCCUCAUUUUGCCUGCUUGUUUGAUCGGAUUUGCUUCUCUUUUGCCUCCUUUGGUGCGCAUUCCACCAUGGAUGAAGCUAGCUUGAGAUUGAGGCUAAGUGAGGAUCGAUCUGAUUAAAGAAUUUAGAGCUUGACUUUGAACUUCUAAGAGGUAACAUUAUAUAUCAUUCCUCUAGAAAAGGAUUUCUUGAGAUAACCCUAAGUUGAUAUAGUUUAUUUUGGGUAUUGAAUCUAGGCUUUUGAAAGCUAAAGAUUGAGUAUUAGCGCCUUCCAUAAAGGUUCGGAUGAUGACCCUUAGCUUCAUUUUGGAGCAUUUAGAAGGAAUUUGCAGUAAGGGAUUUCGCUCACCUAAUGCUGAUUACUAAUGAUGACUAAAGUUGUUGUUCGGCCUCGUUUACACAUGCUUCUAUAACUCUUAUAGGUACUAGGAGAACUAAUGGUAUACCCCGUGGGAGCGCACGAGGAGUUUCGUUGUCAUCGUGGUUUGCUCGGAAAUGGCGAAUUGCCCAUGCUCUUCUAGCUUGUUGUACAAUAUUUUUAAGUUCAUUCUAUGCCAAAUGGGAAUUAUAUGAAUUUUAGAGCACUUAAAAUGCAUGCCUUGUGUAUUAUGAAAAUUUUCCUAUAUAGUAGAGCUAUAUGAGUAGAAUGCAUGCAUACGGAAGAAGUGUUUAUUUUGCAAGUGAAAAAUACAUCUCUUAUGAGGAUCAUGACUUGGAAUAUGUACCUUGGAACAUAGUUGCCAUGUUUUGUCAUAGAGAGCAAGAGUGUCAUAAAGGGGCACUUGAAACUAGUAAACUAUGAAACUGCAAUAUAGAGACAUAUUGAUAGGCCACUACAUAUCUGCUAUAUUCCAUGUUAGAGACAUGAUGACAUAGGGAUAGGCCAUUGAGAUACUUGACACAUUCCAUGUUAUUAGACAUGAGGACUUGGUACUUGCGACGGAUCGUUUGACUACUUGCCAUUGUGCUCAUUCGCACAUGCUUGUGAGGGUCGCUCCCUACAAGCCGGCACUCCGGAGAUGGCCAUCGCGAUUCAUAUUCGCCGUGCGGGAUUGGGCGCCGAAGUGGAUUGCCGUGGGCCAGGCUCAUUCCUAGGGUGGGGAUGAUGACUACCACGGGGCCAUUAGGCUCGGCACCGGCCAGACAGCCUACGGGUGGGUCUCAGGGCCAUAGACAGCCUUCGGGUGGGUCUCUUCAGAUUGGGCUUUAUAUAUCCAUUAUGACAUGUGGACAGAUGAUGACUCAGUGUACUACUUGGACAUUGAUUAGAAUAGUAAACAACGGAACUUUACUAUUUCACAUUGUGAACAUCAUGAUAGUUGGAGACAUUUACUUUAUGCAUAGUUGCUUUCAUACUUACGCUAUUCAUGCUAAGUAGAGAUAUCAUGUCGUAGUAGGUUACAUAUUUACUUACCUGUCGCCUUUCUACUUUUAUAGUCACUGACAUCUUUUGUAGCUUUGGGCCUUGUGGUGCAUUCACUGAAGUCAGUAAUUGCCCACUGGGAACUAUUUUUAAUAGUUCUCAUGCCCUCGUUUUGUGGUUUACUUUUCAGAGCCUUCGGCACCGGCGGAGGCACGGGAUCGCGGCAAGGGUGUCGCGUAGCUAGCUCGGGAGAGUUUCUUUUGCGCUAGGUGGUUAUUUCUUCUCCAUUUUAUAUUUUGGGAGAGAGGGAGAGGUUUUGUACCCUGUAUAGAGAGACCAUCGUGUACUCUUUUUAGCACUUGUUAUGGGAUCCCUCUUGUACUUACUUUAUGUUUUAUUUAGUGAAUUUACAGUUUUAACUUUAUCCCUUGUUGUAGCAUUUAGACUUUUAUUAUGCUCUGAUACUACUAGACGUCUUGUAUUAUUGCUGUUAUUAUUGUUGUUUUUAGACGCCUUAUAUGUUGUAGACAUAUGGCGGGUCUGGGCACGCGCCGGGCGGGCCUCCGCUGGGUCCCGGGGCGUGACACAGUUCCUAGUGAGAUUGGGUCAGGCUUUACUAUUUCCUACAGAUUGUUGGUGUUCGACCGAGAUAGUAUAGGUACAUAUAGCUGUAGAUUUAUUCUAGUUUUCUUACUGUACUUGUUUACAUUUGUAAACUUAGUGGGUGAGCCGUUGAGGUCGUAGCGGUACCCACUGAGGACUACUUCUUUUUGUAGUAGUUCUCACGCCCAGUUGUUGAAAUCUUUUGCAGAGCCUUCUUCUUCGGCUGCUGCUGUUGCGGAUUCGGACCGUGGAAAGGGAUUCGCGAGUUAGAUCCCUUCCCAGUUGCCGCUGAGCUAGAGUAUACCAGCUUCAGGCAAUGAUAGUUUUUGAGUACAUAUGCAUACUUUUGUUGUAUCUCGCUGAAGCGAGUGUUUUGUACAUCAGGAUGCUUGUAUGUAUAGUGAACUUCUGUUUUUAUAUAUAUCAUUUCUUUUAGUAGCUCUAUACUACUGGUUGUAGUAUUGUAUGUUUACAGGUACAGCUAUCGCUUCGUAUAUAGGGAAAAUUCUUUUGUAUACGACGGAUUUGUCGGCGUGCCCGGGGAAAUGAGUAAUCCGGGGCAUGAUAUAUAAAAAUUAAUUUCAGAAUAACUAUGUAAUAUUACAGACAAAUUACGAAAUAAUUUUAAAUAAAUGCAGCUAUCUUUUCUAAUAUAGAAAAUAUAAGGAGCUCUCUCAACAAUAAGAUAUUUUGAAAUAGUUCUUCAACUUUAUUAAAUAUUUUUUCAUCUUGUUCUCUUUUGUUUUUUUUGAUAUUACUAAUUUCGUAAGGUUAUCUAUAAUAUUUCUAAUAUUUUUAGGGGUACGAAUGAAAUUAUUCCAUACUAAUUUUUCCAAACAUGACCGCAUGUCUAAGGGGUUGAGAAAUAAUAAAUGGUGCAAUAAGUACAUAAAAAAUUUUUAGUAGGCAUGGUAGUCCCCCAUUAGUUAGCGAGAUAAUUUUUAGUAGUUAUCGUAGUCCCCCAGUAGUUAGUGAAUGAGAAGAGAAAUCAUUGGUUGUGAUUCUCGCAAUUAACUUUCUUCAAAUAUAAAAUUAACCUAAGCUGCAUCAAUCUUUUUUUUUUUUUAUUUUAAUGUACAAUUUAUAUGUGAAUGCUUAAUAUUAUAAAAUUAACAUUUAUAUCUAAUGCCAAUAGUCUAAAUUAUUUAACAUUUAUUUAUAUAUUUUACAUUUUAUAAAAAUAAAUAGUAAAUUAUAUAAUAAAUUAUUAUAUAAUAAUAUAUCUAUAUAUAAAUAAAUAAAAUUAUAUACUUUAUAAAUAACAUUUUAUAUAUAUAAUAUAUAUAAUAUAUAUAUAUAUAUAUAUAUAUAUAAUUGAACGCUCACUAUGCUUUUAAAAGUAACCAAGUCAUUGGCUAUUGUAAGUUUUCGCGCCUUGAUUAAAGGAUGUGCGUUACGGAUGAUGUGGGCCCUAAGGAGUUGAGUGGGUGGUUAGUGUGAUAUAAUAUAAUCUAUACGGGUAAAACAAAAUGAUCAAAGCAGAGAUCUAACGUAAAAUUUAGCAAGGGGCACCAAAGUGGCUUGGUACUGUUACAAGCACCAGCACCAUAAGCCGAAACUCUCUCUCUCGUCCUUUUCAUCUCUCCACGCUCCAUCAUCUCUCCUGUCUCCGAGAGGGACCUCGGGCCGCACGUCCUUCCACUCUGCACUCCGUCUCUCUCUCUCUCUCUCUAUAAUAUAUUCAUAUAUAUAUAUAUAGGGCUAGGCUGGUAUCUGGCCUCUGUGUUACCAAGUUGUUUUGCCAAUGGAUCUGGCUUCAAAUCGACGGAUACGGUUCGUUAGACUUGAUCUACAUUCUAUUAAAAAAAUUUGGAACAUUCAUAAUUUUUCGACAUCAUUUGGCUAGUGAUCAAAGGUCUCAAAAUUGACAAUUUAAUGAUAGAUGUGAUGAGCGUUUGUGAAUUUAAUGCGGUGUAGAAAGCAAUUCAAGAAUGCUGAUGAAGAUUUUUAUAGACAACAUUUCUUUCACAUAUUUAAGAGUAAGAUCAGUACAUCUGAUCUUUAAAUUCAAAGGUCUUUUAUCAUCUUUUUUUAAUAAAAUUUAUUUUCAAGCCAUUGCAUUUUUAGGCUACUUGUUUGAAGGUAAACUGAUACCGAAAAAUUAUGAAAUUUAGUUUCAAAUACUUUUAAUAUGUAGAUUAAGCUAACGGACCGAUCGUCGAUUUGGAAGGGCCGCAUCAUUAGAAAUAAAAACUUGGUAGCCGGAGGUUCCGUCCCUAAAACCUAUGGCUACGAUAGUAUAGACUACGUACGCCGGCGCUCUCUCUCUCUCCGUCGUUCUCCGUCUCCUCAUCUUAUAUAUAUAUAUUAAUAUAUAUAUAUAGAAAGAAUGAGAGGGAGGUCACGGUGGUCCAGGAGGACCGAAGUUGGCCUCGUGGAUCAAAAAACCCCCAAUAUGAGCCGCGCUUUGUUCGGUCGUCAGACGGACUGCACCGCGGGCCGUGCGGCCCCCCACGCGGCCCCGCCCGCUUCUCCCUAUAAGCUCACACGGUCUUGCAAGACCCUCGGCUAAGCGGGGCCCGGCGAGCCUUGCAUCUGGCCAAAAUCUCAGAUCGGCGCCAGGCUGGCGGCUCGCGAUCGCACCCCCACGGCUCGCCCAGGGACGCCCUAGGCCCGCACCGCCCCCCGGGCCUCCGGCCCUCGCUGCGUCCACGGCCAGCGCCGGAGCCCCGCUCAGCGACCCAGGGCACGCGUUCUCGCUCGCGGCACUGCCCAUUGCGCCCGCGCCUACGCCCGCGCCCUUGCCCUCGCUCUCGCGUGCCCGCCCCCGCGCUGCGUCGUGCCCGCCCCCCGCGCCCGCUGGCGGCUCCGCUGCCACGUGUUGCCGUUCCCUCGAAGCUAUUGAGGAAUAAUAUAUCUAUAUAUAUAGAUUGCAAAAAAAAAAAAAGAAAAAAAAAGAUACCUUAAAACAACCAUGGAAAGGUUAGUCACAAAUUGCGCAAUUAACCUUAAUUAAUAACAGAUAACUAGGUUUUCCACCUACAUAAAUUGCACUGAACUUUCAAAAUUGAUGUAAUGUAAUUGGGGAAAGAAAACCUAGUUUAGUAUUUGUAGCAUCCGUCUUCCUUUUGACUUCUGAGGCACCGAGUAUCUCCGCCGUCCCGCACGAAACCAUUUUCGUUCUUCCUUGCUCACUUGCCCGGCUCGAAAUCCAUUUACUUCUUCCUCACGCACAUCGCUCUCUCCUUUUGCAAGGCGGCGGCGGUGCUUCAUUCAAGUUGCUGCCAGCAGUGGUUGCCUGGCUCACCCGUGACGUCAAUCUGGGUUAGAUUUGUUUUCUAUAACUGGCUUAGCUGUGUAAGCUUCGCUGCAGAUGGUUUCUGCUUGAUUAGAUUAGGACGUAUUAAACAGCAUGAAUCUAGAGGAAAUAAUAAAAAGAAGAAAAGGUAAGUGGAGUUAAGGAACUGAAAAUGGGAGAGGUGGUCAAUCUGUUUCGAUUCAAUAAUUUCGGUCUGUCCACUCUUUCUUGCAGCAAAUUAGGCUCACUCACACACAAAGGAAAAUGGUUCAUCGAAAAACUCAAUGUGCAUGCGCAUGCACAUGACAGCUACAAAUCUGUUCUGAUGGUAAACCACUUGAUCCAAAUCUAAUUAUAGUGGUUUGCAGCAAUUGCUUCUGCUGCACUGAUCACCCUUGGGAUGGCUAGCAUCAGGUUGCGUUCGGCUUGUUCUGCUAGAACAUCAGUUUCGUUUUAGGUUUCUCUCAAAUGAACCGUUUUCGUAAUAUCGGCGGUUCCAGCAGUUUCAAUUUCAAUGAUCGAUAUUUGUGAGAAGGUCUUUUAACACUUCAGAAAGAUCAAAUAAAUAUAGAGAAUAGAAAUAAUCACAGUAAAGCUUAUUUCACUAUUAUUUCACUAUAUUCCAAUAUAUUACAAAGAUGACUUUCAUAUCUCUACCUACCAUACAGGUAAAAUUACGAUAAAUGAAUACACAAAGAUUCAUAGAAUUGUUAAUUAUUUCCCUAUAAUCUUGUUUUGGUCAAUUUUGAUUAAUAUUGUGAAUUAAACUCCCUCUUUUACCCAUUAUAACUGAAAUUCAAGUUUUUUGGUUCAAAUUGGUUUUUGUUCCUAACUUUAUCGGACCUACUGAAGCUGAAAAGGUUUAGUCGUGGUUUAGAAGUUUCAGCCAAAGCUUCAAACCAUGCAUGAAAUAUUCAAGUUAGCUUGAAGAUGGCUUGGUAGCAUGACAUGAGAGAUAAAUGAUAGCUAUUUUAACUGAUAAAAGUUUGCGAAUGCAACUUAUAGGCAUACUUCAUAAAAACUUACAUGCAGUUAUACACAAUGUUAUGAAAUCAACAGAGCUCAAUCUGGUUGAAAAUAGUUCAAGCUCGGCUCGCAUAUCUAAUCGAGCUCCAAAAUGUGGCUCCAAGCUCGGUCAUUUAAUUAGUCAUCGAGCUCUAGCUUAAUUGAUGGAUCAAGCGUUUUUUGCUUUCUAAAGCAAAGCUAGGCUUCGUAUUAUUUUUGGUGUUGGUUCAGUUCCUAAGAUUAUUGAUAAUUCUUUUGACUGAUGUACUAGUGAACUGAAAAGGUUAGGUAUUUAUUGCCAAAUUACUGACUGUUCAAGAGAUGUGCAAUGCACUAACAGUGAAUUGGAUCUAAGGUUAAUUCUUAAAUAGGAUCUAAAGUUAAUUCUUAAUAAAAUGUUGGAAAUUAAUGGCAUUGAAUGGCUAAGAGACUUAUUUGGUCUGGGUUCUUUUGGAGUUAUCAUCCUAGCCAUCUAUAAAAUUGAACGAAUAGCUAUCUUUUGGGAAAAAAAAAAAAUAUGGAUGCAUGUCACAGUUUUCAAUGAUGCAAGUUCUGUCAAAUCUAAGGAAUCUAUUGGAGAAAAUAAGUGAAAAAUAGAGAGGAAUAUGAGGUGAUGGCUGUUAAACAAAAAUUUUAAAAAAUAGUAGUUGGAGGAGAAAGGUGCUCUACUGUCUAGGAGGUCUUUUCUAUGCUAUACUCUCUACCUGUUAGUUGCUAUUCCUGGGUUAAAUUUAUUGUCUGAUCGAUUGGAUUGCAUUAGCUUUUUCAAAUUGAUUCAACCGCGAAGUAUAAACUCCUCUCUCUGGAAUGUAAUAGAUGUAGAUACUGUAGUAUUUCAGUUUUCUUUCCUACACACUAUUUUCUGCUAUUGGAGCUGUAUUUCUUCUUCUAUUGCCUUCUUACUCUAGAAUCACUGACAACCCUGUCCGUAGGACUCGGCUGUCCCAUUCAUACCUUUCUCAAAUUUUAGUUGCUCGUCUUUAUUAUUUUCAGUAAGCUAAGUGUGAAGAAUAGACAUGGAUAUAUUGUAACAUGUGUAUGUUUGCUACAGUCCUGAAUGAGUAUUUCCGUUUUCUCUUCAUUGGCUGUAAUAUUUAGUUUGAUCACAACAAUAGAGAUUGUUUAGUUUGAUCACAACAAUAGAGAUUAUCUUUACCAUUGAGCUUCGCCUUGUAACAUGUUUAUCUUUUCCAUCUUCUCUGCCUUUGUGAGUUGCACUUUUGGAGAGAUAGGCUGAUGCAGUCAUCUGCUAGCAAACUCCAUAUAGAUUUUAGGAGUUGUUAUCAAACUAAAAAAGAGAAAACCAAAAAAAUGGAAAGGUAGUCAAAUGACGUGGGCCUUAAUUUUCCACUUCUUUUUUAAUUUUAUUCAACAAUAACACAAUAUUUAAGGUAUGCAAGUAUACAGCAGUGUGAUUGCUAUUUUCUGAUUUGAACACAAUUCUUACCCUAGUUUGUCUGCAAGUUUCCCAUUAAAUUAUUAUUCUAAAUAUCUCAAAUCUUGCAGAACGAAAACAGAUAUCUUCUCCCUAAAUUUGACAAAUUGUUUCUACAAAAACUUUGUUUCUUAUGUUUACUUUUCCAUCUUUAUAUUAAUUUGCUGUACCUAGCUUGUGUUAAUAGUACUUUUACUAAACCAGUUACUAUAUUGAUCGAUAUCUUUUGUUGUGCUUGUGACUCUCUUUAUUUAGAGAAAUAUUAGACUAAGCAUUGGUUGUACUUAUGCUGUGUUACCACAAAUACAUGCUCCUUGCCACCUUAACAAGAAUACGAUUAUGCUGAUCCUCAAACUUUGCCAUCUGAAAAGAAUUGAGUUUGUUUCUUCUUUACCUUUUCUAGUCUCUCAUAAUUGAUACGUAGCUGUUAUAUCAGGUAGGAGUGUACGUUACGCUCGAUUUUGAACAUGGAGGAGAACGGUAAAAGCAUUACAUCCAGUCUCCUCAGAAGUGUGUCUCGCUUCUUACGAAAUUGCCUUUUCGCUAUGCUCUCCUUCGGACCCAUGCCUAAUCAUAUUGCAUUUAUUAUGGAUGGAAGCCGCAGAUAUGCCAAAAACAGGAUAGUCCAACAGGGCACCGGCCAUAGGGUCGGUUUCAAAGUGCUCACCUCCACGCUCCAGUACUGCUACGAGAUGGGGGUGAAGUAUGUGACAGUAUAUGCCUUCAGUAUCGACAAUUUCAAACGAGAACCUGCUGAGGUCCAAUCUUUAAUGGAUUUAAUGAAGGAGAAAAUUGAUGAAUUGUUGAAUCGAGAGAGCAUUGUUAGCAAGUAUGGUAUUAGGAUUAACUUCUGGGGGAACUUAAACCUCUUGACCGAGCCAGUGAGAUUAGCAGCUAUGAAGGCAAUGACAGCCACUGCUAAGAACACGGGUCCAGUGCUUUCGAUAUGUGUAGCCUACACUUCUACGAACGAGAUUAUGCGCGCCGUUGAAAAAGCAUGGGAAGAAAAGAGGAAAGAAAUAGAACAAAUGGACAGUGCGAUUUCUGUUGGUGAUUUGGAGAGGCACUUAUAUACAGCUAACUGCCCAGAUCCAGAUAUAGUGAUUAGGACUUCUGGAGAGACUCGGCUCAGUAAUUUCCUUCUCUGGCAGAGUGAUUACGGUCACUUGCAGAACCGACAUCCUCUAUGGCCUGAAUUCUGUCUUAGGCACCUCAUUUGGGCUAUAUUAGAGUUCCAGAGAGUCUACCCUUAUCUGCAAGAGAGGAGAGGCUGGUGUAAGAAGGAAGGGUGAAGCCCAACUAUGGUACUUGGCUUUGGAGAAUAAGACUGCAUGCAUUGUUGGAUCAGAGUGACUUGGAGAGAGAAAAUAAGGACUUAUGCCAAAGGCAAUAACUGCAGAUGAGCUAUCGUGUAACUUUUUAAGCAGUUUGCAUAUGAUUUUUUCAGGUUGAUAGCCUGUUAUAAAAGAUUAUUGCUUGACAAAUUUUCACUACAAAUUAGAAGUUUCUUGGACAAUUUUAUAUAGCUGCUUGUUUGAGAAAGUAAUAUUUUGCUCACUACAAAAUAAGAUGCUGCGAAGCUGUUUGUUCGUGUUUUUCCCCUCUACCGCAUACUUUUACUACAUAUGAAUUCGAAUUCUAAGCCCAAGUUGUUCGUCACUAUUAUCGACUAGUUUACUUGAUCUAUGUAGUAAGUUACUUCAUCUCUUUGCAAGCAACAAAGGAAUUCUUUUUCACAGAGAACAGUGCAAUAUUGGAUCAUAAUUUGGUCUCUGCUAAUUUGCUUUAAAGAACAAAGAGAGCAUUUUCGUUAAAAGGUGCUGUAAGCUGACCUGUAUUAUGGAUAUACUGUAGCUGCAUGUAUCUGCUACUUCCCAAAUGCUUGGUGUUUAAUUGCUUUUCUGUCUAUUGACGUAGUACGUUUAUUUUCUUUUUUCUGGUAGUAUUAACCCUAGGUUACAAUGGAAGCUCACAAGGAUGUUAACAUAUCUGUCCUAUCUAUACAAAUUUUCUGCACAUACGAAACGUUAAGAAACAUGUGUCUCAAUCGAAACAAUUCUAGGAGUACGAAAUGUUAAGAAACAUGUGUCUCAAUCAAAACAAUUCUAGGAGUCCACAAUUAAUUAGAGAGCUUAGGAGUCUACAACUAAACAAUACAGGUAUCAGAGUCUAUAUAAUAAACUAGUCUAUAUAAUAAACUAUACUAAUAUAACUACACUGUACAUAUAUAUCAACUACCACGCACAUAUACAAUACAAAAUAGAAAUCAUAUAUAUAAAACACCCGUCUGACAUAACUAGUCCCAAAAUGUACAGUAUGUUAUAUACAUAGCUCAGCUCGGGUCUUCUAACUCAGGCAUAUGGCAUAUGGGUAAGAGACGCUAGUUAGCUCACUGGCCCCUUACCUCAAUCACAAGCAGGCAUUGAAAACUCUGAAACAGAAAAUAGUAAAGGAGGGUGUGAGAACUACUGAACAAUAGUCCCUAUUAGGUAACAACCGCCAACCACGAUGACCUACACCAAAUAGAUUUAGAAGAGGCAAAAAUAGUAAUAACUAAACAGGUAAAGAAACAUAAGCUGAAUUGAAAAGAAAGCUAAUUAUCAUGUCUCUAAUUUAAUACUGCUAACUAUAACUCUAAACACGUAAGUGAAUAACUGCAAACUGUAAAUAUGCAUUAACUAAUUAAGUAGAUAACGAAUGUCAUAUUUUUAAAAAUGUAUAAUUACUAAACUCAAAUUUUGAUUUUUUUUAAAAAAAAAGUCAUGUCUCUUGUUGUACAUUUUUAAGAGGGUUAAUUGCAUGCAGCUUCGUGUGAAUAUAGCAAAUUACAAAUAUAUUCCUGAAAAGUUUAAUUUUCUUAUGUUAUUCCUACAAAAGUCUUAGGUAUCGUUUGGUUCGAGAAUAAGGAAAAAGUGGCUAUUCCAGGGAUAGGUAUAAAUUGAGGUAUAAGCGGGGAUUAGAUCAAUUUUGCGUUUGGAUGAAAAUUGGGUUAUUCCUGAGAAUAAAAAAAAUAGCGUUUGGUUAGGUAAGAUGGAAUAAGAAAGAUAGUGGGUUUUAUGAAUAGAAAAUAAUCAUAUUAUCCUCUUAUUAUAUUUGAAUUUAAAUUUUUAAAAUUUUAAAUAUAUAUUUUUAAAUUUAAAAUUUUAACUUUGAAAUUUCAAAUUUUGAAAUUUAAAAUCUCAAAUUUUAAAUUCAAAACUUUAAAUUUAAGAUCAAAUUUAAAUUUGAAAAAUAUAAAAUAUAAAAUUUUAAAUUUCAAAAGUAAAAUAUCGAAAUUUAAUUUUAAAAUUUAAAAAUUAAAAUUAUAAACUUUAAUUUUGAGAUUAUAUAUUAUAAAUUUUAACAAUUUAAAUUUUUAAUUUUUAAAAUUUUAAAAUAAGAAUAGGGGUGGGAACAAUUAAUAAAAAUAAUUUAUUAUAAUAAAUUUAUAAAUUUUUUAAAAAUUCUACUUAAACUUAAAUUUAAUAAAAAGAAUUUAUUAUAAUAUUUAAAUAUAAUUUAUUAUAAAUUUUAUUAUAAUAUUUAAAUAUAAAUAAUAUGUAUUAAUAUAGUACAAUUAAUAAUUUUAUAAUAAAAAUAAUGUAUUAUAAUAUAUAACAUAUUAUAUUUAUAUAAUGUAGUUUUAAUUCAAUUUAUAAUUUUAAUUAAGUUUGAAAUUAAGCAUUGGAAUAGUGCUAUUCCAUCAAAAUGGUGGAAUAGCAAAUUCUUUGCUAUUCCGGAAUAACCGGGAAUAGCAAGGUUUGACCGGGAUAAAAUAUCCCGGCCAAAUUUCACCCCGUUUGGCGGAAUAGCGGGGAUAACUUUCGUUAUCCCCGCUUAUCCCCCCAACCAAACGGUGCCUUAAUGUUUUUAAAUAUGCCCCUACUGUUAGGAUCCGUUAGAAAAAUUUAGUUAAGCAUAGGUAAAAUUCUUAACCCUUAUUAGUCAAUGAGAUAAAUUGACAUUUUUACCUCUCUUAUAUUAUACCUUCUUCUCUCAAUCAAAGCUCUAGCAAUGAAAACUCUUUCUUUUCCUUUUCCUCUUGCUCUAGCUCUCUCUUUUUUGCUAGUUUCGCACUCAUAACUAGAAUUUCUCUGUCCCCAUUCAUCAACGAAGCGUGUUGCUUCGCCCACGUCGAACGCAUGUUGCUUUCCUAUUUAAUUUUCUCCAUGAUUUUUUCUUACUUUGAGCAAAAGAAAAGGUUUAUGAGAAAAGGAUAGAGAAAUGAUUGCAUCAAUGAUGGAUUGGAUUGGGUAUUAAAGAGGAAGAAGAUGAGGAGGAAGACGACCAUUGAAAAUUUUUUGAGCUUACACUGGUUUUUUGAGGGACAUAUUUGUGAUGGCAAAAUUAGCAUUUCACUUAUCUGCUAUUAAAAAUUAAAUAGUUCUCUAACAACAACAAACUAGAGGGGAAAAUAUGAAUAUCGCUGGACUUUUGCAGGAAUAAGAGUUAAAAGUUGAACUUUGGAGAGAAAUAUUUGCCAUUCAAUAUGUUUACAGGGAGUUGUAUGCAAUUAACCCUAUUAAAAAAUACUUAAUUUUUACUUUUUUAAGGGAGAGCGCAAAUAAUUUGGUCAUACAAAAUACAAAGAGAAAUCUAUAUUUCUCAGUGAGAGAGAAAGAGUGUAGUACACUGAACUUUAGCAAAUUGUAAGAUUUUAAUGUUAGAAUAGUAUUUGGUACUAUUUCUGGUGUGUUUGAGGGUCGUAGUCGGUGUACUGACCUGUUACUCGCGUUUUGUGAAGCGAGCGUGUGUGCUUAGCAUCAAAAUCUACAAACUGCAGGUUUUGGGGUGCUGAGUACCGGUACCACAGUAGGGUACCGAUACCCCGACGCGUGAUCGAGAGGGCUGUUCUCGGGUUUGAGCUGAGGGGUGCUGAGUACCGGUACAGAGUUGGCGGGUACCAGUACUGGGGUCGGGUACCGGUACUGCAUUGGGCUGGUACCGGUACUAUAUUGAGUUGGUACCGAUACACUGUAAAUAACCCGCUUGACAGAGGCUCGGGUUUUGCUGGAUUGGUUGCCGAGUAAUGGUACUCCUCUUCGAGUACUGGUACGCAACGUAGUUUGCAGUUUGGUUGUUUUUGAGGGGUUUUUUGAGAAUUGUACACUUCUAUAAAUACCCCAACAACCCCAUGAGGGGUUCCUUGUGCUUGGAACCAGAGAAGGGUGGUGAGUCUCCUUCUCUUCCCCUCUCUUUAGAUUUCUUCUCUUUUGGUUAGAGAUUUUAGUGGAUUGAUCUCUUCUUUUUCCUUCUCCUUCAUGGGUGGUUGUUCUUGGACCUUGGAGAAGCUUUGGACUUCAGGAAUAGAGCCUGGUUGAGGAAAUAUCUCCAACCCUAGCAUUAUCCUAACUUGGUUUCAAGCUCUAUAAGAGGUUAGUAGCAUUAUUGCUCUCUUGAGAUGUGAUUUUGGAAAAGAUUUUGGAAGUUUAACCUAGUUUUGGAAAACUAGGGUUUCAUUUUGGGUUUUCUUUUCGUAAAGCCUUUAUGGGUUAAUUGUUGGUUCCAAUACUUCAUUUUAGGUUGGAAUUGAAGCAUCCUAACCUCUAUUGGGAGUUUGGAAGGGUUUUUCCACCAUCUAAGGUAUUUUCUAAGGUAUUUUCCACCUAUUUAUGGUGUGAUUUUUGAGGGCUUUCAUGGGAUGUUCGUUCGAAGCUCCUAACCUCCUUAGAAUUUUUGUUAGGGUGCUAGUAGGCUAGUGGACAACUCUGUUCGUGCAAACGAAGGAGUUUCAAGGAGUAUCUGAUGGGUUUGACCUUAUCGAAAUGGGUGAAUUCUUCUAUGUCAUUCUCUAUAUUGUAAAAUGAAAAAUCAUGCAUAUUCAUGCUGGAUAUAACCUAAAUGAAUUUUUGAAUGUUUAAGAUAUGCAUGUUAUAUGUCAAGCUUCGCAUCCUCUAUAUAGUAGAGUGAGAAUUGUAUAUGAAACUUGUAUAUAAAAUGACAUCCUUCAUAUCAUGUCAGAGAUCAUAUUAUGAUUAGUGAAAUGACAAGUUUUACAUGCUCAUGGACAAAUGAUUUAUACAUGACAUAGUUGAUAUGAACUUCAUGUAGUGACAUUUGACUUAGUUAAAUGACUAAACCUCUACAAUGUGACAUAGAGACCGACCGUUGGGUCGCUAGUACUUGUACCAUGUUUUAGACAUGAUGACUGAGGACUUAAUAUGGAUGAUCAUACUUGCUUGCCAUUGUGCUUAUUCGCACAUGCUUCUGAGGGUUGAUCCCUACAAGUCGGCACUCUGGAGUUAGCCUAGGCGACAUAUGUUCGCCUGUGCGGGAUUAAUUGGGCGCCGAAGUGGAUCGCCAUAGGGAGCCUCAUUCCUAGAGGGGGAAUGUUGACUACCACGGGGCCAUUAGGAGGCGCAAGCCGGACUACACUUGUGUAGGUCCUAGUUGAAUUGAACAAUGACAUUUAAAAGUGUAAUGUGACCAACACUACUUGAUAGUGUAUGUUAGUUAGACUUGUUGGACAUGCUCAUUCAUGAUAGAAUAGCCGCAUUAUAUGUUAAACAUCAUGUUAAAUUGGAGGAAUAGUAGCUUAGUAGAUUAACAUAUGCUUAUAAUCAUGUUAUCUCUUUAAUUAUGCUCACAUACUAUUUAUGCCCCGGGUUCCCUUUUUGACUUAAAACCAAUGUGGAAGUGCCCAAUUUUUUUUUCUUUUUUGAAAACCUUGACCCCUAGGGUAUGUCAGAUCCGUCACAAAUAUAGGGAGUCCACUGUUCACACGGACAGAGAUUUCUCUGUAUUUGCACGGCGUCGCACAAGUACAAGAUACAACUAUAACAUAUGAACAUCCACAUAUCAUUCACAUCCACAUUCAGUUCAUCACAAAUUUUCAUAAGUUCACAUCUAUCAGUUUAAAAUGUUUCCUACCCGAAAACUCGUUUUGAAAUACUAAUAACCAGGAAAAUCAGAAAACCCUUUUAAAACCAUUUCUCACACAGAAACGUUUUUCUUUUAAAAGCACGCUACCACGAGGGAUAGAAAAUAAUUUUCAUAAUCUCAUAUAAAAACCAUGCUUACUUUACACAUCUCACAAAACCACGUGAAUCCAAAUAAGAUAGAACCAACUGAACCAUAAUAUGUCUAAGUCAUUUAUUUAGGAAAGUAAGGUUAGAAAUUAAACCAAAUCCACCGGGUCGGAACACUCUACGACCACUAACUGUAUGCCUCACGUACCGUCCCGACUCGGACCCGCAGCGUCACCUGAAAGAGGGUGGGGGGUGAGAACAUGUACACAUGUCUCCCCUCCCAGUAGGUACCGCAAGCCUGAAAGAGGGCGAGGGGUACUCACCAGUUAAGGAGGAUAAACAAAAGUACUGAUAAUGGUAAUACAGUAGCAAUGAUAAAUAAGGAAACGAUAUAUAUAUAUAUAUAUAUAUAUAUAUAUAUAUAUAUAUAUAUAUAUAUAUAUAUAUAUAUAUAUAUAUAUAUAUAUAUAUAAUGAAUUACUACCGCUACUGUAUGCAUGCAUCAACCGGACGACAAGUCCAAAAGUAACCCAAUCGGAAACCUGCCAUAUUGGUCCGCACACCUCAGACCUGUGCCACAACUGCUCUAACCUGUAAAUGACCCUCGCAUAAGCACCCGGGUCUGUCAGGUAUAUGACCCUCGCAUAAGUAUGUUGAGGACUUUUCUAAGUUGGAGGAUUUCGUGAAGUUGAAUGGAGUCUUGAAGAAUUGAAGACGAAGAUUGCGGGAUUCCAGAUCAAAAGACUCGUUCGUGAUGCUCGGUAAUUCAGGCAUUGUGUGUUAAUAAUUUGUGGUGAAAAUCAACACAUGUUAGGAAGCGACCGGCUGGUGGUUCCGCCGAGCAGUCGAGUUCCAAGCGACCCCCUCGGCACCCUAGAUCGCAAUGGCGGCGAGAUAAGAGCCAGACAAGGAGUCAGAUGAGUUCCUCCCCGUGUGUAAUCUGCGGUGGGAAUCAUAGGCCGAGUGAGUGCUCUCAGCGUGACGGGAGGUGUUUCCGAUGCGGCCAAGCGGGACACAUGUGUAAUACACUGAAUUGUUUUGCAAAUUGCGAAAUUCGAAUGUGAGGGAAUGAUAUAUGACAUGUUCUAGAAGGCUUGCACAAGUUUUGGACAAUUAGAGAGUGUUUGGAAAGCUAGAAGUGAGAAAAUGGCUUUGCAAUUGCGAAAUCAGAUUUCUGCAUUGGUUGACCGGUACAAGCCUAAUGCCUGUACAGUACAGCAAGCAGCAGUAGCUGCAGCUGCGUCGCAGCAGGGCUGUUUUGGUCUUUUCACAUCUUUUAUCUCAUCCUUAUCCUCCAGCUCGACCCCUUGGACCUCUUUGAAGGCUGGAGCUCAGAGAAGAUCCCUUCACUCUCCCGCUCUCUCUCUCUAGCGUUUUUCUCUCUCUAGAGAAAAGUCGCCGAUUUACGCCGUUUUCGCGCCGUGCUCGUUGUUUGCUGAUUGGGAGGACUCAAGGGAAGUCCCUGGCAUGUGGCGGAGAUGGAGUUUUGCUGUGUUUUCUAUAAGGUUCUUACCAGGGGAAGCUAAUCUCAGCUUUAGAGAGGUACUCAAUCAUGAUUUCUCUCUAGUUUUCCGAUCUCGCAUUGAAUUUGGACGUCGUUUAGUCUCGUUGCUUUCUCAACUGAGCUAGAGGUUGUUUACAGCAGUUAAGAGAGGUUAUAUUUUACUGUGAAUUACCUACUUUAACUCAGAAGCAAGUUGUUUUAAGGUUUGAUAAAAAACAAUGAAUGAAUUAUGAUUCUAAUUCAAAGCUAUAUGUGGAUUGAUCGAGCGAGUUGAUGCUGUUUGAAUUUUUCUUUUCGCAGCAGGUUUGCGAUCAUAUUAAUCUAUUUUGGUGACCUCAGAGUUGAUUCAGUGGGUGUUUUGACCCAGGGUAAACAAGAAUUUCAGCCAGAAAACUGAAAAAUUUUUUAAUUCGACUAUAUAUAGCUUAUAUACAAGCAUAUUGACGCCGUUUCGGUUUGUUCGGCAGCGAGAGGGCAUUUGACCCUUGAUCGUCUUGAUGGCAGUAGAAGUCUUUUGGAAGCCUAAUUUGAGGUAUCAAACUAGUCCUAAACAGGGAUUUAAAUUCCUACUUCGCUUUAAGUGUGAUUGUACCGAAAUUGGACUUUCCGGUUAUAGUAUUGACUCGACUCUGCGUACCUUGUUUUCAGCAGCUUUGGGGUUUCGUUGAGCCGACUUUGGGACUUCCUUUGGACUGUUGGAGCUUAGUAAUAGGUGGGUUUUGACCUAACCAGAGCAAGUUGAAGCUCUCUGUGUCUAUAUACUUAAAGAAUUACGCGUAGGUGCAUUUAGUGAUCUAAGAUUGAUUAGAAUUUAAGGAUGUGUCACGUAUUGUUUGUUUUAAAGAUCUCUAUAAAGUAGAGAACACAUAUAUGAAGUAUCUACAUCUAUAUUCAAUUUGUUGAAUUUUUAUGGUGUAGAAUACACUUAUAAAGUAGAGAAAAUGAUAUUCUCGGUGACUCUAAAAUAGAGAACCAUAACUAUGCUUAUGAUCAUGUGAUAGUGCCAUAGUAUGAAAAGAUUCUAAAUACCAUGUAUAAUUGAGCAUUACUCUCACAUGUUUAUUAAUCUAGUAGAUACUAGUUGUUGUCAAGUUGAUUAUAUUGAAAUUCCGAUCAAAGGAUCGAGAGCGAGAAUGUUGUGAACCAAAAUAUGAUAAUUGAAUAUGUUGGACUGUGGAUUUUGCUUGCUUGUCAUUGUGCUCAUUCGCACACGCUUGUGAGGGUAGCUCCUACAAAGCCGGCCCUGGAGUUGCCUACGCGAAGUGCUCGCCCGUGCGGGUUGGGUGCGAAGUGGAUUGCGUGGGGAGUAUAUACUACCACGGGGCCUACUAGGCGCGGCGCAGCUGGACUAAUCUUGGGUUCCUUGGUAAUGAAAGAACACNNNNNNNNNNNNNNNNNNNNNNNNNNNNNNNNNNNNNNNNNNNNNNNNNNNNNNNNNNNNNNNNNNNNNNNNNNNNNNNNNNNNNNNNNNNNNNNNNNNNUAGUCUAAUGUUGUUCCGGUUUUGGUUCUUGUGAACGUUGACAUCGAUUAGUUCCAAAUUUACUCUCUCGGGGCAUAAUAGAACAAUGUUAUUAGCUUUUACGUUUUAUUCGAUUGAACGAGAAAAAGUACUCGUCGCAAUGUUGUACUGUUAUGGCGCAACUGAGUAGUCAAAUGUAGUUCCGGUUUUGGUUCUUGUAAACGUUGACACCGAUUCGUUCCAAAUUCACACUCUCGGUGCAUAGUAGAAUGCUUUUACUCAUUUUUCGAUAGAAUAAGAAAAAUUACUCGUUGCAAAGUUAUACUGUUAUGGCGCAACUGAGUAGUCUANCAGUUUUCAUAAUUUUCUGACACUGUGCAUUUUCUGCUAAUUUAUCUGCCCCAUUCCUCACAGAAAAUUCUAAAUCUUCGGUUUUCGCUCCGAUUUCAGCAAAGGUCAUUUCCAACUUAUACUUUACUUCUAUGAGUCCAAUAAAAUAGUAUCUCACACUAUUUUUAUUUAUAUUUAUUUUUAUAAUAAACUCCGACAUACUAUCCUACCGUAACUUCCUAUUUUCAGAAGUUCGGUAUCCUACAGAUUCGUUCCAAAUUUACACUCUCGGGGCAUAAUAGAACAAUAUAAUUAGAUUUUACUCUUUGUUCGAAGAACGAGAAAAAGCACUCGUUGCAAAUUUAUACUGUUAGGGCGCAACAGAGUAGUCUAUUGUUGUUCCGGUUUUGGUUCUUGUGAAUGUUGACAUCGAUUCGUUCCAAAUUUACACUCUCGGGGCAUAAUAGAAUAAUAUAAAAAGGCUUUACUCUUUGUUCGAUUGAAUGCGAAAAAGCACUCAUUGCAAAUUUAUACUGUUAGGGCGCAACAACGUAGUCUAUUGUUGUUCCGGUUUUGGUUCUUGUUAUGGUUGACAUCGAGUCGUUCGAAAUUUACACUCUCGGGGCAUAAUAGAACAAUAUAAUUAUGUUUUACUCUUUAUUCGAUAGAAUGCGAAAAAGUACUCGUUGCAAAGUUAUACUGUUAGGGCGCAACUCAGUAGUCAAUUGUUGUUCCGGUUUUGGUUCUUGUGAAUGUUCACAUCGAUUCGUUCCAAAUUUACACUCUCGGGGCAUAAUAGAAUAAUAUAAAUAGCUUUUAUACUUUGUUCGAUUGAAUGAGAAAAAGUACUCGUUGCAAAGUUAUAUUGUUAGGGCGCAACUUAGUUGUCUAAUGUUGUUCCGGUUUUGGCUCUUGCGAACGUUGACAUCGAUUAGUUCCAAAUUUACUCUCUCGGGGUAUAAUAGAACAAUAUAAUUAGGUUUUACUUUUUGUUCGAUAGAAUGCGAAAAAGCACUCGUUGCAAAUUUAUACUGUGAGGGCGCAACUGAGUAGUCUAAUGUUGUUCCGGUAUUGGCUCUUGCGAACGUUGACAUCGAUUAGUUGCAAAUUUACUCUCUCGGGGUAUAAUAGAACAAUAUAAUUAGGUUUUACUCAUUAUUCGAUAGAAUGCGAAAAAGUACUCGUUGCAAAGUUACUAUUAGGGCGCAACUGAGUUGUCUAAUGUUUCUCCGGUUUUGGCUCUUGUGAACGUUGACAUCGAUUCGUUCCAAAUUUACUCUCUCGGGGUAUAAUAGAACAAUAUAAUUAGGUUUUACUUUUUGUUCGAUAGAAUGCGAAAAAGCACUCGUUGCAAAUUUGUACUGUUAGGGCGCAACAGAGUAGUCUAUUGUUGUUCCGGUUUUGGUUCUUGUGAAUGUUGACAUCGAUUCGUUCCAAAUUUACACUCUCGUACGGUCUCACUGGUCAUGCACGAUGCCCUUGCUGUGGUCCUCUCUCAGCAGCCCUGUACCUACCACUGGAAAUAGAGUGGGGUGAGAACUAUCUUCCAUAGUUCCCAAUGGGCUCGGCCGCCAACUCUGUCGAUAUCCCCACUAGGUCCAAGUGGGCACAAGCAACAACAGAUAGAUAGAUAGAUGGAUAGAUAUUUGAAAGCUGUAAAUGCAAUAGUAGGAAAACUAAGCUACUAUGCCUAUAAUCAUAUGCAGUGAAUGCAUGCAUCAUAUCGUAAAGAUUUACUAUCAUGCUAACAAAUUCGAUCCAUAUUCGAAUGAUAAUGUUCAAUGACAUUGUUUACUGUUCCUUUUUACUCAAUCUGUGGCGAAGCCCUUGGGUUCACCAAUAACUCACCUUUCAAUCCCAAAAUGGGGAGGGAGCUCCAAGUGCACCCAAGCCCAGGACCGUCUGCGGACCUCCAUGUGGUCCGGACUUCCAAGUGGUCCUAGUUGCACGAUACUCCGGAGUACUCGACGACAAUCCCCUCCAUGUAGGGAUAUGGAUGGCUAUACCACCCCAAAAGCAGACUGUGAGCUAGAUCUAUCCCCUCCAAGUGAGGAUACCCUACAACUAGGGUCAACAACCCAAUCGAAUCCUCUCCAAGUGAGGAUGCCCUACAGUUAGGGUCAAUGUCUCAAUAACUCAUCGACAACCUCUCCAUGCGAGGGUACUUAGGUUUACUAAGUUCUUUAUCCACAAGGCAUUUUCUAAGGGAUUCACCUAUCCCUAGGUUCUCAAACCUCUAGUGUCAUUUACACUACAUUAAUGCCACUCGUUAUUCUUUAACAAUAGGAUGCCACUCGUUUGUUCUUUAACAUUUAACACUACUUUCUAUGUCAUCAACACCCCCAUCGGGUUCAUCUCUUUUCUUUCGCAUUAUAGGAUCCACGUUCCGACCCAAUCCUCACCUAUCUAAGUUACCAAGCGUUCCAAGUACAUUAGGUUAUCAAUUAGAAAGCAUAAGAACUGGAGCUACUAUGCAAUCCUACAAUGCAACAUGUAAGAGAUGAGAUUAAAUGCAAUCUAAGAUAUAAAAAGGAGUUCGAAAGCUUCGGGAUGGCACCCCCCACCUUUUACCGAUGUAGAGGCUUUAGAAACUGUAAUAUACGAAAAAUUUCGGAUUGCGAUGCUAACUUUGAUUUGGAAGAUUAAAGUGAAGUUUGAAUUAGAUGUGCAUCAUUUUAGAGUGUUUCUAGAUGUGUGGGAAUGAUGUCUGGAGGUAAUUGAGUAUCCGGGCACAAAUCGGACGCGAAAUGAACUUGAAAGGGGAUUUUUGGAUUUUGACGCUAACUUUGACCUACGCGACCAAAGUGGGGUAUGAAUAUUAAUUGUAGUACCUCCGGAUUAUUUUGGAAGUGCGAGGAUAGUUAGUGGCAAAUUCCGGAGAUGCUUGGAUGUAAAAUAUCGGAUUUUUGAUUGCGUUGUUAAUUUUGAUCAAAUUGAUCGAAGUGAGGCCAAAAUGAAAUUGAUUUGUUUCCGAGCUUAAUUAGUAGCUUGUGGAGGUGUAUUAGUAUAUUUUGGAAGUGUUGGGAUGGACUCGGAGUGAGCAAGACGUGCCAAAAGGGCUGUAAUUGCUGCUGCUAGGCUGUUGGUUAGUGCACGGACUGAUUUGCGAACCUGCAGGGACUGAUUUGCGAACCUGCAGGGACUGUUUUGCAAACUGCUGGACUGCAAUGCAGUUUCAGCCUUGUUAGGGAUUAGUUGGCAAUUAGUUGAUCUUAUCACUUCAGCCAGCAGCCCCCAGCCCUGUCUACGUGUUGGACUUCCUCCCUCUCCUUCUUUUCUUAUCUCUAUCUCCUCUUUUAUCUCUCUAGAACCUGGUUGAAGCCUUGUGAGAGAGAGAGCUUGUGGAGUGGAAAUUUUUGUUGAUAGAGCUAAGAAGAGAAACUGUGGAGCUGACAAGAAGCUUGUGGAGCUGAAGAAACCCUUGGGGAAACUCCAAAUCCAAGUAGAGUUGAUGCUUAAUUCCUGGUUGAGUUGGCAGCUUGGAAGAGCUUGUGGGCUGAGGAAGAAAUCUGAGCCAAGCAAGAAAUUUCUGCUGAUUUGUAAGGACUGAGAUUUUUACAGUGCAACUAAACUCUCUGUUGAUGAUGUUUAUGUGUGUAAUUUAAUUACAUAAGCACUCGUCAAGUUUCAGGAGAAAAUGAGCUAGAAUGGAGAAGUUACGGGAUUAUUAGUUUCACUUAAGUGAAUAGUAACUCCGGUUUUCCGGAGAAGCCACGGAGUAGAGUUGGCUUUCGGCGCGUAUCGGACUCCGUUCAUAGCGAUCCAAUAGCUCGUUUUGAACGGUUCAGCUAUUCUGGAACCAAUGGCACUGACGGAUUUUAGAUCUGAUGCACGAUUUUUGAGAAAAUCUGGAAAUACAUGUUUCUUAUGUAAUUGUGCAUCAUUUUGGCCUUUUGGAGAGAGAAUGGAUUUCGUCGUGAAUCGGAGAUCAAAUCUGAUGAAACGAAAUGCUAGAUUCGAUGCCUCGACGUGCUGAAUGCGUUGGCGUGAUCCGAUCGAAAAUCCGAUAGACGGAUCUUUGGGAAUUGCAAUAAGUUGGCUAAGGGGUCGAGAGUGGAAAAUUGGGAAAUUCACAAAAGUCGUAAUAUUUUAUGUACCGAAUCGCGCGAGAUCGAUUGUGGAGGUGCAAAAGCGCGAGAGUUACCCAUUGUGAGGGACUAGGGUUGAAAUUUGUAGUUCAGGUGGACUUUUGUGCAAUUUGCACAUUGCAUACAAUGUGCAUCUAGGGUUCUUUUGCAAGGAACCCUAGAUCUAGCCGACCUAGUUCCCCAACCGUGCCCUAGAUAGCCCCAGUAGGUCCCUGCCCUACCUGUGCUCGUGCCCAAACCUCCGGCGAGCAACUCCGACCGCCGGAAAACUCAUGGUCAUCUUCCUCUCCUACCCUCUCGGCCACCCUCUCCUCCUUUCUGCCGAAGUUGCUAGGGAAGCGACCACUGACCCUCUUGGAAGCUUCCUGGGAAGAUAUCUCCCUCUCCGGCGCCGGCACCGGCCAUCCCCGCCGUCCUCGCGCGCCGCCGGCGCCGCCUAAGCAAGCCGCGGGCAACCCAGACGAGCUCGGCCCGCCGCCUAAGCAAGCCGCGGGCAACCCAGACGAGCUCGGCCCGAGCAGACCUUAGCUCGAGGCUUGCGAGCCGUAGCAGCCCUAGCUCGGCCGCCCUGCCUCAUCUAGCCUUCGGUGUGAUCUGCGCGCCAUCGCCGCCGCUCCCGACGCCGCCGGCCGCCGCCCCUGCUCUCUGCGGCCGCCCAGACCGAGUGCGGGUCGAGCCGGGGCUAGCUCUGCCUCCGCACGACGCCGCCGUUCCUGGCCGGCCGAGUCGCCCUUACUCCACCUCCAGCAACGUGCUGCCGUCGCCCCGACCCUCCUCCGGUUGCCGCCGUGGCCGCCGCUGCCCUAGGAGGCGAGGUGAACCCGCGCGGGCUGGGGUUGUUCGAGCGCCGCCAUCGCCGCCUUCCGCCGCCGGCCAGCGGGAUCGCCGGCUCCGCCUGGCCGGCCGCACCCGUCCACCGCCGGCUAACCCGCCGCCGGAGCUCCCUAUCAACCGUGGUGAGCCCAUGCUCUCCUCGGGUUGUGUGACUAGGGCAUCUUUGCCCGACGUCGUCGCCGCCUCCCGUCGCCUGUUGACGCGAGCCCCGGCCUCCUCUGACCUGGAGCACCUUACCCUGGCCGGCCUGCCCGCCGUCCGGCCGCCGCCGGCCACCCCGAGCCCUGCCUAGCUUCGGUAAGCUUGUAUUGCAAUUAUUCUGCACCUUGUCUUGGGGUUUCGGUCAUUGUUCCGGUGAACCGAGGCCACCCCGAGUCCUCUGAAGGUGAGCACGAUGAUCCUGGUUCAGUGCUGAUCAUCGUGGCCAACUACAUUGGAGUCUGAGAGCUUCUGAUUUGCGAGAUAAGCAUGUUCUUCAUGCUGUGCGCGCUGUUCGCAGAUUUUCGCGUCACUCUCGCGCUCUCCGCUGUGGCCGAUAUUGCUCCGAAAGGUGAGCACGGCCUCCGGCACGUCGAAACCUGUCAGUGGGUAUUUUGACUCGGCUGAUUGAUCUCUGGUUUGCAUAAACGGACCAUAAAAGCGCCGAAAUCGCAUGAAAUAAUGCGAUUUCGGGUAUUUGGAAGGGCUUUUAUGCAACUUUGUCCGUCGUGGCUGCUGUUGGCAUCAAGUAUGGGUUGAGGAUAACCUCCGGACUAAUUGUCCAAGGCCCCGGACCUUUGCGAAGACCGGAAAUGCAUUUCCGGAGCGUUUUUCGGCGAAAUCCGCCGAUAGAACGCGUUUUCGAUUCGGAAUUCUUCCGACGGUACUUGGGGAUCAUUUGUUUCAUCGCUGAGCCUUGUUGGCUGGUCACCCGCAUCGUUUCGUGGGUUUGGAAACGACGGGUGAGCGACGGUGAAGUUCCGGUGCGGUUUUCGGGACUUUCGGUUUGUUCGGUAAUCGGUUUUGGGAAAUCGAUUCUCGUGGGUUAAUUUAUGGGGUUAUGCUUUUAGGGUUUCUUAGUUGUGGGUUAGACACUAACCCAGUGGACCCCCCUUAGGUCCUGUUGACGUUCUUUUGCAGUCAGGAGACAGGCGCGGCAGUUGUACAGGUGGGUACUUCGAUCCGACGUUGGUACAGUGGUGCACGCUCGGUGACGUUUCCUUUACCCUUGUUGUUUAUAUCUUUUACCAUAUAUAUAUGUUGAGCCUUGCACCCAUGCUGUUUCCUUAUUACUCUCUACUUAGUUGUUGCCAGGUAUAGUAUCAUGUGUAGGAGUAGAGUAGACUUUAUCUGUAUAUGAUAUUUAUGAUUUGGUUGGUCUGAUCUCCUAUGUGAUCUCCAUGACCUGGUUGGUCGACGUUGCAUCUCCUACACUUGUGACCUGGUUGGUGGUUUCUUGUACCUCGUAUCAGUAACCUGGUUGGUCGGUCCUUUGACUUCUGUUGUCCGAUUACUGUUGAGGUCGGUGUACCCUGAGGGGUCGGAUUGUCGGCUAGUGGCCGACGGUAGUUCUAGAUUAUAUACUUGUGACCUGGUUGGUCGUUUUGGUUACAUGAUGACCCAUGCGGUCGAUGGUUCCAUGUUGAUAUUAUGCUUAGGAGUAGAGUCGACUUAUCUGUUCACUAUAUCUGUGAUUUGGUUGGGCAGUUCCCCUAUUUUGAUAUCUAUGACCUAUUCGGUUGAGUUGUUACAGUUCUAUCUUGACAUACGUAGCCGACUAGUUGUUGAUGGCAUAUACGGUCGGUGUGCCCUGAGGGGCUGGAUUGUCGGCUAGUUGCCGAUGGAAGAUCUUUGAGCAUACUACAUUGAUCGCCACUGCAGGUAUGCAUUUCAUGAACACCAGCGGUCUGAUCCACCGCAAGAGGGUGUUCUUUUCUGGAAAAGUGGUUGGAUUGCCAACCCGUGAGCCCAGGGGCUUUAUUGCGAGGGUAUAUGCUUCUGACCCAGGGGCUUCAUUGCGAGGGUCAGGUACUAUGCUUCUGACCCAGGGGCUUCAUUGCGAGGGUCAGGAACAGGUUGAGCAGUGUGGCAUGGGCCUGAGGUCUUCGGACCAAUAGGGCAACGAGAUUGGGUACUUUUGAGAUUAUCGUCAGUUGACGCAUAUGUCUAUAGUAGCAGUCGUGCAUGCAUAUUUACAGUUCUUACUUUAUAGUUGUCAUGCUACUAUAGUAGAUAUUCAUGUAUGCUUUCGGUUCCAGUUACAGUAGCGGUAGCCGUUGUUCAGUCUAGUUCUUACUUUCUGUCAGUUUAUUGCUACUGUAUUUAGUAUAUCUGCUCAUUACUUUAUACAUCUCUUUCGCUUACUAUUGUUCCUACUGUAUUUCCACUGACCCGUGUUGUUGUAUAGCUCUUCCUGAUCCGGUGAGUACUCCUCGCCUUCUUCGGCUUGCGGUACCCACUGGGAGGGGAGACAUGUUUACAUGUUCUCACCUCCCCCACCAUUUUUUCAGGUAUCGCAGGCGGUGUGUAUUGGGACGAGACGCGAGAUACGUAUGUAGCGGUCGAUAGAUCUUCCGACCCAGGUUGUUCGGUUUAGUUUCUACCCUUACUAUUCUGUUGUUAUAGCAUAGAUAGCUUGUAUGGUUCAGCAUUUAUUUACAUUUGAAAAUGUGGAUUUUCAUGAAUGUAAUAAAAGAAUUUCUGGAUUUGGUAAACUAAAAUGUUUUCUACCCCUCGUGGUAGCGUUUCUAAAGAAUAAAGGUUUCCGUGUAGGAAACAGUUUUCAAAAGGAUUUUUCGUGGAUUUCUGUUUAAACAUUGAAUGUACAACUGUGAUGUGAAUGGUGAAUGUAUGAAUGUAUAGUUAUCUUUAUACUCAUCUAGUUGUGGUUGUAUCCUGGUUGUACUCUUGUACUUGUGCGACGCCGUGCAAAUACAGGGGAGACUCUGUCCGUGUGAACAGUGGAUCUCCUGUAUUUGUGGCGGAUCUGGCAUACUCUAGGGUCAGAUAUAUAUAUAUAUAUAUAUAAAAAAAAAAAAAAUUCAGACGCUUUUCCGCUAUCUUUUAAACUGAAAGGGACCCCGGGGCGUGACAGAUUAAAGGUCUCAAAGAAUACUACCAUUAUAUUCAACAAAUUUUACCACUUUUUUGAGAAGGGCAGACUCAUCACUCCAAUAUAGAACAGUUUACCCAUCAAUUGAUGCUGCAGUUCUCGCAGCUUUUCCUGUAUCACAUUGCCCGCUUCUUCCUACGUAAAGAUAGGACGACACUGCUGCAAUGUCUCCAUUUCUUUGUACAUAUAUGAAUGUUCCUCGUCUGUUAUCUAUGACGGAAGAGUCAAUUACUUACUGGAUUGAAAGAUCAAUCAUCUGCCUUGUUUUUAUUUAGUGCAUCCCUUUAUAGAAACUAUUUAAAAAACCUAAAUAAUCGACAUGACUAAAUAAAUAUAAUAAAUUUACUAAAAAUGUCUUUCUUAAGUUAUAAAAAAGUUAAACACUAUUAUACUAGUUGAAUAAAUAAAAUGUUUGCAAUGUAAUAAUGUUUGUAAUAUAAUGUUUGGGAGAAGAAUCGAUAUGCUGUGCCCCAUGAAUUUUUUUGAUCCAGUAAUCACCUUCGUCUGUGUCGGUACCGUAUCCGACAACUAGAACGUCAUGAUCUGGUUCCUCUGGGGCAUAGGCGUCAAAAAUACCACCAUCAUAUUCGGCAAAUUUUGCGUUACAAGCAAAGCUGCAGGAAACAGGUCCUUUUGUCACUUUCUCGAGAAGGACAGCCUCAUCACUCCAAUAUAAAAUAGUGAACCUGUCAAUUGAUGCUGCGGUACUCGCAGCUCUUCUUGUAUCACAUUGUCCGCGUCUUCUACGUAAAGAUAGAACGACGCUGCUGCAAUUCCUCUAUUUCUUUGUACGUAUCUGAAUGCUCCUCGUCUGUCAUCUGUGAUGGAGCAGUCAAUUACUUGCUGGAUUGAAAGAUUAAUCAUCUGCUUUGUUCUGAUCUAGUGCAUCCCUUCAUAGAAACUCUUUCAAAACUUAAAUAAUCGACAUGACUAAAUAAAUAUAAUAAAUUUACUAAAAAUUUUCUUUCUUUAUAAUAAUGUUUAUAAUAUAAUAUUUGGGAGGAGAAUGGAUAUGCUGUGCCCCAUAAAUUUUUAAUGAUCCAGUAAUCACCUUCGUCUAUGUUGGUACCAUAUCCGACAACAAGAACGACAUGUUCUGGUUCAUCUGGGACAUAGGACUCAAAGAAUACCACCAUCAGAUUCGGCAAAUUUUGCGGUAUAAGCAAAGCUGCUGGAAAUAGGUCAUUUUGCCACUUUCUCGAGAAGGGCAGACUCGUCACUCCAAUUUAGAACAGUGUACCUGUCAAUUAAUGUUGCGGUCCUUAUAGCCCUUUCUGUAUCACUUUGCCCGUAUCUUCCUACGUAAAGAUAGGAUGACGCUACUGCAAUGCCUUGAUUCUUUGUACAUUUCUGAAUGCUCCUGGCUUGUCAUAUGUGGCGAAGCAGUCAAUUACUUGCUUGAUUGAAAGAUCGAUUAUCCGUGGUGCCUCCCUUAAUAGAAACUCUUUCAAAACAUAAAAAAUAAACAUCACUAGAUAAAUACAAUAAAUUUACUAAAAAUAUCUUUCUUAAGUUAUAAGAAAGUUAAACACUAUUAUACUAGUUGAAUUAAUAAAAUAUUUGUAUUAUAAUAAUAUUUGUAAUAUAACGUUUACGGGGAGAAUGAAUGCGAUGUGCCCCAUGANGAAAGGAAGUUAUAUGGAUUUCUUGCUGCUGACAGCUUGAGGAAAUUGAGAUAGCAACCUUGAGACUUGCAAUUUAAGUUCUUCUUGAUGUGGAACUGGAAAGAGACCAUGUGGAGCUAAAGAAGGAAGCUUUUGGAGAGCUUCAAAUUCAGAUUUGAGCUUUUGGAUUGAUGGGCUGCUCAGUUGGGGCUGUUGCUGCAGAAGAAUUAAAGUGAAGUGCUGUUGGUGUUGCUGAAAUUCAGGAGUGAGCCAUUUGAUGCAGUGAGCAAGCUAGUUCAGCAUCUAAUUGACGUAAGUUGAUUCUAAUAAUCAAUAUUAAUCAAGUUAAUUGAUUGGAACUAAGUGGUAACCUGAGGGGAGCUGCUGCCAUAGAAGAGAAGUGGGAUUUGUUGAAGCUGCCUAGCAGGAAGUUGAUUGUUGGAGCUGAAGGAAUGUUGAGCUGAGCGCAACUUAAGGGAUUUUCGAAUUCAGGUAUGGAUGAAGUCUAAUUCCUGAAUAAAAGUGUGUUUAAUUGUUGUAUAAAGAGGUCUAGUAAUUACGUGCUGCAGAAAUGAGACCUAAAAAGAGUUUAGUUGCUGAAAUUUCAGAUUUGGAGCUGAAAUGGCAAUCUUGGUGGAACUUGGUGGAUUAGUAAAGCAGUCACCCUUUGGUAAAGCUUUUAACUAAGUUAAAUUCAGUUAUUAAGUAAAUAACUUGGAGUUAAUCACAUCUGGACUGAUUUACAUAAAGGAAAUUGCUACGAGAAGUAGAAUAGUUGAACUUCAAGUUGACGGAAGCUACCAAAUUGGAAACUCAGCAUGUGGCCUUAGUUAUAGGAGCUGAAUUAAAACUUGAUUGAGUUUUAAUCUUAAAUAAGAUUAAUGUGAACUCUUAGAUCAGCGUAAAUUAUUCUAAGGAAAGUACAAAUAUUAGAACUAAUUGUUCUAUGCUUAUAGUGACUACACAAUGGAAGUAUUAGUGCUGAAAUUUCAGAACUAUGUAGAAUUCUGCAUGGUGCAGAAUUCAUAUGAGUUGAAAAUAGGCCGAUUGAACUAUGAAUUGAGAUAAAUUUAAUUAAAUCCUGAUUAAGGUUGAGUUACAGUUAGAAUUGCUGCUGUAGUGCGUAGAUUUCAGCGAUGAAAUCUGUUAAUUAGGAAGUUUGAAAGUGGACCGUGAGGCACAAAUGCUGAAAUUCAGCAAAAGCUGAAUUUCAGCAUUGAAGUUGAGUGGCAUUGAGAAGCUCUUAGUUGAAAUGCAAGUUUUGAUAGAAUGUGAGAAUAACUCCAGUUUAACCCCUUUUAUUCCUUUAUAGAUUAAAGUUAAACUUGCUCGAAAGUCUAAAUUGAUGUUCCGACAGGUCGACGGCGCGCUAAUUACGUUAGAAGCCAAUUCGGCUCUAGUUGCAUUGGGUCGCGUGAUAUUGCUGUUAGCGCACUUCGAGACGUGGAUCUUAAUUGUUGACACCACUACAAGUGGGUGGUGCUAUCCGAAGUCUUUGAAUCACCUUUUAUGUCUAUAAUAAUUCAUUGAGUAUAUUUAUAUUUGUAGUCAUGCAUUAUAGGGUAUUUGGCAUUGUGCAAGUGAAAGUGUGAAUUCCUAUCAAUAGUGAGAACAUGUGAACAUUAGAAUGUGGACAUAGAACCCUAUGAAUGUAUGGACUAUAACAAUAGUGAACUUGGUGACAUUCUAACUAGAGAUUUGGUUAGCAUCGAGAAAUGAAAUUGCAACUAGCAUAAAGAGCUAGUUAGAGUUAAAGUGUGACAUUGUCUGAUGUUGAAUCCUCUAAAGGAGGAUCAGAUCAUACUCACAUAGUCUGUUUUUAGCUUGGUGGUGGUCGCUCCCCCCAGGCAGUGCGCUCCGGAGUGGUCACUUGAUGGGCUAAAGUAUUUGCCCAUAGACUAAAGUAUUUGCCCAUGGACUAAAGUAUCUGUCCAGCAGACGGUCCCGUCGGGAGGCAGCUUAGGGCCCGCCAGGGAUUGAGUUGGUGAGUUGCAGUUAACCAAAUGGUUAGCUAGAUUGAUUGGGCAGUGGUAUAUUACAAUAUGCAUGCAUAUUUACAGUUUUCCUAUAUUGCUUUCUUUCAGCUUUGUACAGGCAUUGUAGUAGUUACAUGUUGUAGUUGGUUACUAUCUGUUUACUUCUUUUGUCUACAUAUGCCUGAAUAGACCUAGUGGGUGAGUCGGCGAGGUCGGCGGCCGAACCCACUGGGAACUUUUAGUAGUUCUCACACCACUAACAUACAGGUUCCAGCGCGAGCGGUGUGACCGAGGAUCGCGGCAAGAACCCAACAGCUUAGCUAGUGGACACCCGAGUGCUAGUGGCAUACCAUUUUGAGUUCAUGUGAGAUAUUUUGAUGUAUAGAGACAUGUAAAUGAAUGUAUUAAAGAGCAUGUAUAUAACUAAAUGUUUCAGUUAUUCAGUUCAGUUUAAAAGUUUUAAAUGACAGUGAAUUUCAAUUAUUGUUAGUUACUUUCACUUGUGCUUGUUGCUUGCCCUCGUGCAAGCCAUGUAUAUUGAAAUGUCAUCCUGGGAAUUGUUUAUUUCUUUAUACAUGUACUCCUUGUUGUUGAGCCUUGGGCGGACAGAGAAGGUUCUGUCCGUUCGGCAUCUGUGUACGGGCCCGGAUCGACUAAAUUGGCCAUAGCGGGACCUGACAGAAACGCUCCUCGGCGAACCUUACGAUGAGGUCUUGGCCUUCUUGGUCCAAGACAAGGCUAAAGCGGCCGUAUUUCGCUGAUAGCUCCCAAUCCGCUCGACGAAUCGCGAAAUCGACUUCGCCCCCGCGUUUUGUGACCUACCAAUUAGGUUUACAAGGCCUCAAAUGAGAUCAAUCUCAUACUUUACCAAAAACCCCAUUCUGGGUGCCCUAGGGUUACCAUCUUGCCAUUUGCAAUUUGGAACCCUAACUCUAGCUUUGAUCCACCAACAAUGGUGCUAGGGGUCCAUUUGACCCCAUUUCCAAAGCUCAAAAUCCAAAAACCCUAAGUUCUACAAGCUAGGGUUUGUAGCUUACCUCUUGAGCUACCCCAAUGGAGAGGAGAGAAAGAGAGGAAGAUGCUCCAAGCCUUCUCCUUGAUCUCCUUCUUCUUCUCCACCUUCUUCUUCUUUUCCCCUUUCUUCUUCUCCUCCUUCUCUUCUUUCAUUUCUUUCUAGAGAGAGAGAGAGCAAGAGAGUGAUGGAGUGAGGGGAAUGAGAGAAAGAGAGAGAGAGGCCUCUCCCUUAACCCCUCUCAUGGUUAUUUUGCACUUAAACCCUUCAACUUUCUGUUCCUUGCGCUGCCCUUACUGGGCAGAAUUCGCGCGGAGGGACCGGUCUCCCCGACUUGGGACCGGUCCCCGAGAGCCUCCCUCGGGGGCACGCGUUCGGGAAUCAGUCUCUCC
rnacentral:lncRNA from 1 species